AAACACGCGUGGAGCUUCUCAAGCACCCACUUCUUCACCUCUUUUUUCUUCUGCAUUGCCUCCAAACUACUAUCCCGACUAGAAUUCACGUCCCCAGCUCCACCGCCCUUGGUGUCUCUGCAAUGCCCAUCACCCCAAAUCAAGGCAGGUCCACCAGAUUUCGAGCUAACAGCCCGCCAGAAAAUGGCAUACUUCCAAGACCCACCUAGACAACCGCCUAAAUUGUGACUCACUUAGACAGAAAAUAGAUAACUUUCAUUUUGCAUUUUAUUUUUCUUAAUAAAUUACAAGAGACUUGUUAAAUACUUAUAUGAACACACGUUAUACGCUUGUUCCUCAUUUUUUCAUUAUGUUUCAAUACUUCAUAAUAUAUAUGUCAUUAUAUUUUGUAAUUUAUGAUGAAAUUAUGUAUAUUUCAAGUAUAAAUAGACACUUAUUUACACGAAAUAUAAUGCAUUUACUUAAAUCCGCCUAGUUCGUCUUGUCACGCCCUGAUCCCGACCUACAUCCAGGAUCGACGCGCGACAGUAGACUGUAGGGGGAUGCCAGGAAAUACAAACUGAAAUACUGAACUGAAAACAACCAUAAUCACAUCUGUUUAAGGAAAAGUAUAGGGGUAACCUAACACUCCAAGCCCUUUGAACUCAGGUUGCUACCCCAAAGCUCCUCAUAUCUACUACCACCUGCACAAUCGCCCCUACACCGUGGGAAAUGGUGCAUCGGGCAAACAACAACCCGGAUAAGCCGCAAAGCUAAUGUGAGUGACAAUAAUGCGACGUAUGUGAUGACGUUAAAAACCAACCAUCGAUUCAGUUUAGAAACGUUAAAUAUAAUUUUUUUUUCCUCCUCUUGCGGCUAAAGUUUGUCUAAGCCACUACCCCCGAUGUCAGCAUUUGGCUUUGGAGUCGGCAGCAAUCCUUCUUCAUCUCGUCAUUGUCUUUCUUUUCCUAUUUUAGGUAGUGGUCGAUCUCUCACUUUGUCGAGGAGAGUCUUGUGGUAAUUGUGGUCACUUUGUCUUUCUGAGGAGGAGAGAUUACGGUUCUAUAGCAGUUAUGAUUUAUUACACACCGGAUCUUAAGGGAACAAUUAUUGUUCAAAGUUCUAAGGUGGUGACUUUGUUGUUUGUGUGCUUGGCAAGAAUUAUGCGGAGGAAACUCGGCAUUUGUUGGAGUUGACUUGUAGCGUUUUUACUAACGAUUACAAGAUCAUCAAAGGGUGACACUGUCUUGCCUUCGUGUGGUCAUUUUAGUGGUUCAAAGGAUUCACAAUCAGGUUUUCUUGUCGUUACAAAGUCUUCAGGUGAUGGUACAAUGUUUAACUUAUGUUUCUUGAUAGUGUUAUUACGUCCGGCUCAUAAGGCUUAGACCUUGUGAGCUUAUCUUUCCUGUUCGCUAGGAGCAGGUCUCUCAUGAUUGAGGAAUCGUACUUCUGAAGAGUUUAUUUUAUGUUUUGACGGUUUUUUUUUUUGUUUGUUUUGGUUGUGGUCUCGUUGUUUGUACGCCUAACAAAGGACUAUGACGACAUUUUCGUGAUGUCUCAUAGCAAGGCAUCUUUGCUGAAGGAGUGUCGUCUUUGUAAGUUCAUAAAAAAAGAUGCAAGGUUUUGUCGACGAGUGUUUCUUUCUAUUUGGCUAGAUGUGGUUAUGUAGGGUAAGUUUUGUAUAGUCUUUUUGUUGUGUUUGAAAUUGUAUUCCUAAUGGAUGAUGUUCUUCGUUAUAUUUGAUUAAUGACCUUACCUUAAAAAAAACUUUAUAUUCCUUAUUUAAUUUACAAAUAUUACUGGCUAAUUAGUACAACAACAACAACAACAACAACAAAGCCUUUUCCCACUAAGUGGGGUCGGCUAUAUGAAUCCUAGAACGCCAUUGCGCUCGGUUUUGUGUCAUGUCCUCCGUUAGAUCCAAGUACUCAAGUCUUUUCUUAGGGUCUCUUCCAAAGUUUUCCUAGGUCUUCCUCUACCCCUUUGGCCCUGAACCUCUGUCCCGUAGUCACAUUUUCGAACCGGAGCGUCAGUAGGCCUUCUUUGCACAUGUCCAAACCACCGAAACCGAUUUUCUCUCAUAUUUCCUUCAAUUUCGACUACUCCUACUUUACCUCGGAUAUCCUCAUUCCCAAUCUUAUCCUUUCUCGUGUGCCCACACAUCCCACGAAGCAUCCUCAUCUCCGCUACACCCAUUUUGUGUACGUGUUGAUGCUUCACCGCCCAACAUUCUGUGCCAUACAACAUCGCUGGCCUUAUUGCCGUCCUAUAAAAUUUUCCCUUGAGCUUAAGUGGCCUACGACGGUCACACAACACGCCGGAUGCACUCUUACACUUCAUCCAUCCAGCUUGUAUUCUAUGGUUGAGAUCUCCAUCUAAUUCUCCGUUCUCUUGCAAGAUAGAUCCUAGGUAGCGAAAACGGUCACUUUUUGUGAUCUUCGCUAGAUUGCUCCGGUCAUUAGUGUGGAUAAGUAUAUAAAUGGAUAGAGAUAGGAAAGCAAACACAAGAUGUACGUGGUUCACCCAGAUUGGCUACGUCCACGGAAUAGAGGAGUUCUCAUUAAUUGUGAAGGGUUUACACAAGUACAUAGGUUCAAGCUCUCCUUUAGUGAGUACAAGUGAAUGAUUUAGUACAAAUGACAUUAGAAAAUAUUGUGGGAGAAUGAUCUCGUAAUCACGAAACUUCUAAGUACCGGGGUGUGGUAUCGUCUUGACUUGCCUUAUUUGUCUCAUAUGUAGAUGUGGCAUCUUUUCUGGAAGUACUCUUCCUCCAUCCAGGGGUGGUAUCUUUAACUGGUGGAGAUGCACAAGGUAAUGUAUCAAUUUCACUUGAAGCUUACUUGUAGUUUCAGGCUUGGUCAAGCGCGAUACAAACCAUGUAGUAGGAGUCCCCCAAGUCGCCGAGCUAGGGGAUCUGCUGAAAGAGGUGACAGACAAGGUAAGCAAUCAGAGCUCCGGCUGAUUGUUCACAUUCUCCCUAUCUUGCAGGCAGCAUGAAGGACAAAGAGAAGAAAAAUGAGAAGAGAUGAUAUGGGAUACUUUUGCUUUUGAAGAAGUAACUUUCCACAGGCUUAUUCUUGAACUGGGCUGGAGGGUUUUCUGGUUUCCUCCAGAGUAUAAGGCCGACUGAAGAAUUUGAGGGUCAAAACAAGUCCAUCAAAUCUAGAGUACGUUUGACCCUGCUGAUAUGGGAUACUUUUGCUUUUGACAGAGUAGUGGAUGUAUCGGCACGUGUGCUAUUACGCUUGUCUCCACAUGCUUCUUUGUAUCCUUCUCACUUGCUCUAUCUGUUCAUCAGGCAGAUGCGGUAUCUUCCCUGGAAGCAUAAGAUGUUGAAGAUGAGUACUUGAGAGCAAUGCCAGGUAAGUACUCAGGUAAGGGGUUCCAGGCAGUCAGUUCCUGGCUGGAAGCUUGAUUCCAAGUGCUGACUGAUUGCUCUCUUUCUCCUUGUCUUGCAGGUAAGAACAAGGCCAAAGGAAAAGACAGGGAAAAAGCAUGAUAUGGGAUACUCUUGCUUUUAACCCUGAUGAUAUGAGAUAUUCUUGCUCUAGUAUAGCUUGUUUGCAGAGGUAUUAUCGGGGGGAAAGAAAGCUGAAUAUUUCGAAAGGCUUCGUUGGGAGUGCCCUCUCAGAUAAGAGGAAGGGUUGAGCAUUUUUGCAGGUCUGCCUGUCCGUUGGGGAUGGAGGUCGACAUAUAUAGGAGUCUCCCUAACAUCAAGUAAUAAUGCUAUUCCUUUACCCUGCUUGGUCAUAGCACGGUAGUGGGAGCUGUCAGCUUCACAUGUUUUAACUCUGUCAGAGCACUUUGAAAAAGUGGUCUGUGGUAUCUGGAAAGCUGAUGUUGUGUGUGAAGAUUACAGACAAGCUUUAUCCAAGGAGAUCCAGCUUUUGAAGUUGGAAAAGUGGUGCCUCUUCGGUUUUCGAACAAGCAAUCCUGUCGGGGAUCUGGCUCUCGAGAUUCAGAGAACGAUGCCUCUUCGAUUUUUGAGAAAACAAUCCUGCUGGGGGUCUGGCUCUCGAGAUUCGGAGAGCGGUGUCUCUUCGAUUUUUUAGAAAGUAAUCAUGUUGGGAGUCUGGCUCUCGAGAUUCGGAGGGCGGUGCCUCUUCGAUUUUGGAGCAAGUAAUCUUGUUGGGAGUGUUUUCUCGAAUGUGAGUAAAGGUUGGGCAUGUUUGCUAGUCUACAUUGCCACGAAGCACAGAGGUUGACACACAUGGACUUUCCAAUUAUCCAGCAGUGGUACUGUUCCUUUACCCUCUCUUCGAUUUUUGAGAAAGUAAUCAUGUUGGGAGUCUGGCUCUCAAGAUUCGGAGGGCGGUGCCUCUUCGAUUUUGGAGCAAGCAAUCUUGUUGGGAGUGUUUUCUCGAAUGUGAGUAAAGGUUGGGCAUGUUUGCUAGUCUACCUUGCCACGAAGCACAGAGGUUGACACACAGGGACUUUCCAAUUAUCCAGCAGUGGUACUGUUCCUUUACCCUCUCUUCGAUUUUUGAGAAAGUAAUCAUGUUGGAAGUCUGGCUCUCGAGAUUCGGAAGGCGGUGCCUCUUCGAUUUUGGAGCAAGCAAUCUUGUUGGGAGUGUUUUCUCGAAUGUGAGUAAAGGUUGGGCAUGUUUGCUAGUCUACUGUGCCACGAAGUACAGAGGUUGACACACCGGGACCUUCCAAUUAUCCAGCAGUGGUACUGUUCCUUUACCCUUGUGGGUAAUAAUAUGGUAGCUAGACCUUCAAAAUUUAUGUGUCUAAACUUUGUUAGUGUUGUUUCUUUGCUAUUCUUUUACCCUUCUUGGUCAGAGCGAUGUAGUGGGAGCUGCAAGCUUCACGUGUCUCAACUUUGUCAGAUAACUUUGGCAAAGUUAUCUGUGGUACCCAUGAGCUACUGUUGCGUGUGGGAAGUGGGUGAUUGAACAGUACGAUUCAUGUGCUUUCUACUUUACCAGAAAUCUUCGACAGAAUGCCCAUAAUUUCCGCAGAGCUGAGUGUGCGUGUGACAGGUGCUGACAAGGCUGGAAAAGUAUGUGCCUCUUCGAUUUCUGAGAUCGGCCCUCGUAGUCUCUGAGCAGCCCAGCUUUUGAGAAAGCAAGCCUCUUCGAUUUCUGAGAUAGGCCUUCGUGGUCUUUGAGCAGCCCAGCUUUUGAGAAAGCAAACGCCUCUUCGAUUUCUGAGCAGGCGCCUCUUCGAUUUCUGAAGCUUCGUCAAGUGCAGAUUUUUAUAGGGGCUGGCAUUAAGUUCCAAAGGACACUUGAAUCUCCACCAGUAGAAGCUCCAUUCUUGCACUUCUAAGAUCUUGAUUUGUCUGACCUCUUCUCUCUUCAACACCUUUGAAAAUGUCUGGCCCCUCCGACCGUCGUUUUGACUUGAACCUUGUUGAAGAGGCAGCCCCGCCUUCUCCAGACAACAUAUGGCGCCCAUCCUUCGUCUCCCCUACUGGUUCUCUUACCGUUGAGGAUUCCGUGAUGAAGAAUGAUAUGACCGCUGCGGUAGUGGCCAGGAACCUUCUCACUCCCAUAGAUAACAGACUACUUUCCAAACGGUCUGAUGAGUUGGCUGUUAAGGAUUCUCUGGCUCUCAGUGUUCAGUGUGCAGGUUCUGUGUCUAAUAUGGCCCAACGCCUAUUUGCUCGAACCCGCCAAGUUGAAUCAUUGGCGGCUGAAGUGAUGAGUCUCAAACAGGAGAUUAGAGGACUCAAGCAUGAGAAUAAACAGUUGCACCGGCUCGCACAUGACUAUGCUACAAACAUGAAGAGGAAGCUUGACCAGAUGAAGGAAUCUGAUGGUCAGGUUUUACUUGAUCAUCAGAGAUUUGUGGGUUUGUUCCAAAGGCAUUUAUUGCCUUCGUCUUCUGGGGCUGUACCGCGUAAUGAAGCUCCAAAUGAUCAACCUCUGAUGCCUCCUCCUUCUAGGGUUCUGUCCAGUACUGAGGCUCCGAAUGAUCCCCCUCCGAUGCCUUCUCUUUCUGGGGCUCUACCGACUGCUGAGACUUCUCCUAAACAACCUUUGUGAAGGCUCCCUCUUGUUUGUUUAUUUUGACUCAUGUAUAUGUACAUAUUUGUAACUUAUCAGGGCUAUCAAUAAAUAAGUUUUCCUUCAUUUCAACGUAUUAUGUUAAAUACACCAAAGCCUUCUUCGCUAAGUUCUUUGAAUUUUCUUUUGUUGAAGCUUGUAUGUUGAAGCUUUGUGAGUGGAGCAUGUAGGUUGAGGUAGUGUUCCCUUAAUUUCCCGAGUGAGGAAAACUUCUCGGUUGGAGACUUGGAAAAUCCAAGUCACUAAGUGGGAUCGGCUAUAUGAAUCUUAGAACGCCAUUGUGUUCUGUCCUGUGUCAUGUCCUCCGUUAGAUCCAAGUACUCUAAGUCUUUUCUUAGGGUCUCUUCCAAAGUUUUCCUAGGUCUUCCUCUACCCCUUCGGCCCUGAACCUCUGUCCCAUAGUCGCAUCUUCUAAUCGGAGCGUCAGUAGGCCUUCUUUGCACAUGUCCAAACCAUCGUAACCGAUUUUAUCUCAUCUUUCCUUCAAUUUCGGCUACUCCUACUUUACCUCGGAUAUCCUCAUUCCUAAUCUUAUCCUUUCUCGUGUGCCCACACAUCCAAUGAAGCAUCCUCAUCUCUGCUACACCCAUUUUGUGUACGUGUUGAUGCUUCACCGCCCAACAUUCUGUGCCAUACAGCAUCGCCGGCCUUAUUGCCGUCCUAUAAAAUUUUCCCUUGAGCUUCAGUGGCAUACGGCGGUCACACAAUACGCCGGAUGUACUCUUCCACUUCAUCCAUCCAGCUUGUAUUCUAUGGUUGAGAUCUCCAUCUAAUUCUCCGUUCUUUUGCAAGAUAGAUCCUAGGUAACGAAAACGGUCGCUCUUUGGUAUUUCUUGAUCUCCGAUCCUCACCCCUAACUCGUUUUGGCCUCCAUUUGCACUGAACUUGCACUCCAUAUAUUCUGUCUUUGAUCGGCUUAGGCGAAGACCUUUAGAUUCCAACACUUCUCUCCAAAGGUUAAGCUUUGCAUUUACCCCUUCCUGAGUUUCAUCUAUCAACACUAUAUCGUCUGCGAAAAGCAUACACCAAGGAAUAUCAUCUUGAAUAUGUCCUGUUAACUCAUCCAUUACCAACGCAAAAAGGUAAGGACUUAAGGAUGAGCCUUGAUGUAAUCCUACAGUUAUGGGAAAGCUUUCGGUUUGUUCUUCAUGAGUUCUUACGGCAGUCUUUGCUCCUUCAUACAUAUCCUUUAUAGCUUGGAUAUAUGCUACUCGUACUCCUUUCUUCUCUAAAAUCCUCCAAAGAAUGUCUCUUGGGACCCUAUCAUACGCUUUUUCCAAAUCUAUAAAGACCAUGUGUAAAUCCUUUUUCCCAUCUCUAUAUCUUUCCAUCAAUCUUCGUAAGAGAUAGAUUGCCUCCAUGGUUGAGCGCCCUGGCAUGAACCCGAAUUGGUUGUCCGAAAAAAAUAUAUAUGCAAUAAAAUACAUGUAUACAUCCAAAAUACACAUACACGGCCAAGCAUACACCUAUUUUUACUUGCCACACACCCCUUGUUAAUUUCAGUUUUUACAUCUUCUCCAGUUUAUUGCAUCCGAUGGCUUAAAAUUGAGAGGAGGGUAUGAAAAGCAAAAGGAAUAAUGUGUGUGUGUGUGUGUGUGUGUAUUAUGCACAUUUCAUCGCUUGCUUGUGACUUUUUUAGAGUAGGUGCUUCAGAUGAUCUCUGAAGAGCUUCCACUCGUUGAUUAUAAUCAGUUGCAAUGGCCGUUGCCGCGUUCAGGGGAUGCACGGAUUGGGACCAGAAGGUGGCACUGAACCUCUAGCCUGUGGCAGAAGCGCCGUCUUUGGAACAAAAGUCUUCGGCUUCAUCGUGCAGCCCAGAGGUCGAGCAGCAGCUGUUACAUGAUCAGAGGGUAAUUUGGCGGUCAAAAUGAUCAAGAGAAUAAGCAUCAAUAACUUCAUAGCGUGCAUGGUUUUAUAUGGUGACCGAAAAAUGAUGUCGAAUGUGCUUUCUCUCUAUGGAAAGAUGGAAGAUAAGGUGUGUGGAAUAAGCUUUCUUGUGCUGAAUUUAUAUAGAGAUUGAGUUAAGAACUACAAGUGGGACAUGAAUUCAACUUCGAAACUGCUAAGAAAAGGGGGGCUGACCGCAUGAAAGAUACACAAUUUGAGACAUUCUUAACGAACAAGUUAAGGAAAAAGGAAAAAUAAAAGGAAGCCAAAUUACACAAUUUAUGAGGAAAUUGUUGGAAUAGGAUCCUCUCCUGAUCCUCUUUGUGGGGAUCCGGAUGAUCAAUCAAUCGAGUUCGUUCAUCGUACAUCGUGCGUUUAGAAAUUAUUUUGAAUUUUUAAUUUUGAAUUUAAAAUUGAAUAUAAAUAGUACUUAAUGAAAUUAACCGUACGAUGUACGAUGAACGGACAUGAUUGAUUGAUCCCUAGAUCACCACAAACUGGAUCUGAAGAGGAUCCUCAUCCGAAAUUGUUUACAUUUUUUUAGCCCGCCACUUUGGUCAAAAGAAACCAAUUAUAUAUAUUAUAUUUGAGGAUUUUAAGGUAAAAGAGUCUCACAUUAUGAAAUGAAACAGAUUGAACUACUUCUAAUAUUGCCAAUUGAUUUUAUGGUGGAACCCUAACUUUCUUCAUAGAAUCAGAGCACGUGCUCCAUGUCACCCAAUUCUUGUUGUCCAAGUGUUUGACUUGAAAAUUCGCUAUACGUGAGGGGUCGUGUGAAGAUGUGAAGGUAAAAGAGUCUCAUAUCAGUGAAAGGAGAAACAUUAUGAGGGUUUAUAAGAAGUUAAAUUACUCUCCAUAUUGCCAAUUAGCUUUAAACUCCAACUUUCUUCAAUAUACAUAAGUGUUACCACACACUAGGAUUGUGUAUCUAAGUAUAGUGAUAGAUAUGUGUUUAUGUUGGAUUUAUCCAAUAUAAAUCAACCUUUAAGUGGUCUACUACAUGUAAUAGGAAUGUAAUAUUGGAGAAUAAUGUUAAUUGUGAUUUGAUCUCUUAAAAAUAUCAAUUCUAUAUAAGGUGUCUUAUAUUGGAAAUAUGAUUGAUGGAAUCCUUAAUAAUAUAUGAUUAUGAUAUUUUACUUGAGAGCCAAGAAAGGAGAGUUUUAGCUUUCCCUUAUGGAUGGAAUCUAAGACUUUUUGGCUAAUAUAUAAACACUGGUCCCUGCUAACCCUAGACACGACAACUAAGGCUUCCCAUAGAGCAUUGUCAUAAAGCUAGGAGUUUACAGAAGAGUUGGUGUUUUCUGUUUGUCACGGCAAACAUAAAGAUUGAAAUUUUAUCGAUCACGUCUUGAUUGCAUGGCUGCUACAUCUUCGACAACUGUCAUUGGAAUCAGGUCAGUCACUCAUUUGUUUGUGUUUUAAUUGUAUAACCUUGUAAGGCUAACAAUUGGUAUCAGAGCCACUGGUUAUAUGAUUAAAACCUAUUAAGUUUGAAGUUUGAUUAUAUAAUAUUUUCCUUUUUGGAUUGCGGUUUUGAUCUUAAAAUUCAAAUUGUGUUCCGGGUCGAUGAGGACUUCUUGAAUCAGACACAUCUGCGGUCAUGAACGAGAUCUACGCCCUGCAUUGGUUCAAGGACGUUCACGUGAGAACCGUCCGUGUAUUGGUCGGUAACCUUAUUCCAAACGUAGGCUUUUCUAAUUGAAGCACCUAAUGAUGAUAUCAAAUUAACUAUAAUAAAGGAAGAUUGAUAUAGUUGAUUCAUUAUUUUAUGGAAUUGUAUAAUUGGAAUACCAUGGUGCUUAACGUUUUCUAUUUCACAUAUGCAUCGCAUAUGAGAUCUUGAUGGAGGUGGGUUAAAGAGCGGAUAAAGCGCCGAGGCAUAAAAAAACACGGUCGUCAGUAUCAUGAACUCUGGCAUCGCAGUACACACGGUCACAUCUCCACUCUAAUUGGUUCCAAACCCCAAAGGCUGGAGUAGGACCCCCACCAAAUAUCAACCUAGCUAUUUGUGCAUUGAUGGUCUUAAACUUUAACUAACGGACGUUAAGUUACUUCCAAGACAUGUGUAGCCUUGCAGGGAAUCACAUAUUUUGCUAUCGGAUAUAUGAAACAUAAAUUGGUAAACUAAUCAUUGUUGAAUGGUAGGUUUUCAAGCACUUCAAGCUUUCUUUCUUGUAUUUAGUUCUCAUAAAGAAAGAUUGGAAUCGUUUGCUCAUCUUUACUGAAUUAAUUAUGACUGGAAGAAUAUGGCAUGUUUUAAACUUUCUAUUUCGAUAUUCAUGCCAAUGUUUUUGGUUGAAUUGAUUUAGUGGUAGAUACAACUAUUUUGGCUAACGUUGUUGUCAAUUUUGUAAGGAUAUACAAAUAUGUACUUCUGUAAUAAUGUUGUCAAGAAAGAAUAUGAAACAUCUCAAGUUAGCAAGCUCGGUAAAGUCUCCUAUCAAAGCAAACAAUUUUGAUCAUUAUAUGUGUCAAUUGCGAAUUAAUUAGUUGAUCAUGCAUAUGGUUAGUUUUGACUAUUAAGUUUUAAACUUGGUUAUCAAAACAAAGAGAAAAUAUAUGUUUUGAACAUGAUUAAUUCUUAUAUGCAUAUAAGUGGCAUAUAGAACGAGGGAAAAGUAGAAUUUUUAAGACAUGCCAAGAUGCAUGCAUAUAAAAGUGCAAAUCUAUCUUGUUUGUUUGCGGCUAAUUUUGUUAGUGCCACAUGAGAGCGAGCUUGCUGGAAUCAAAAUCUCCAACCGCAGGUUUAGGGCGGGUUAUUACUGCCACACGCGAGAACACCUGUGUGAGGUGGGUCCUGGGUGGACAGGCGACAAGGGGACACUAACCACCCUUCAAAUGCCUCACGGAUUAUUGCAGGUUCUGUUUUUGCAUUACAUGAUUAUGUGUAGUAAAUAUAUAGACUGAAUUGGAUAGCCAUGUCAUUGGUUGCUGUCGGAAAUAUCUAAUAUGGAUUCAAUUUUAAGUAUGCAAGCAUGGAGCAAAAUUGACAUAUGGCGUGUUUUAUUAAAAGGAUUGGGUUGUCCUAUAUUGCUUUAAGCUUGAGAUGAUCUUAUAUAAAGACACAAAUGUGUUGAUUAGUAAUGCAGUAUGCUAGCACUUAAGUAUGAUGGGGGAUUAAUUCAAGUACGGUUUAUAAUGAUAUUAACUCCAUACGGAAUUUGCAUGACUAAUCAAAUUAGUUUUGUCUACAAUUUUGCUUUCCUAUCUCAGUAUAGUCAUUUAAUUGUACAUGACUAAUGCAUAACUUAUGGAUUGACUGAGAAUGACAGAAAGCAUCCAAUGACAAGAAUGAGGGUAUAAUACAAGUGAAUAAGGUUUGUAGUAAUUAUGUGACAAUUCUCAUUUGUAUUUUUAUCUAUUCUUAUAUGAGAAUUUUGGUUGGUCAUGUGAUUAUAUAUAUGUUUACAAAGAAGUGAUGAACAUAUGAAGGCAUGAGGUAUGUAAUCCAUUCAAAGUAUGUGGCUUAAUUGAUAAGCAUGAAUUUCCAAACAUGUAUUAUUGUUUGUGGUUUUUCCUAUGCCUAAAGAAUUUAAACAGUGCUUUGAUUAGUAAAUUUUUAUGUGUCAUAAGGGGAGAAGAAAAUAAACUUUUCAAGGCUAAUGUAGGGCAUAUAUUGGAGAUGUUUUCUAUGGAAGAAAAGAAUUUUGGUUGUUCCUUUUAUUUAAUUUGGUAUUUACAAAGCUAAUGCAUGAUUUUAAUGCUAUGUUUAGUAGUUUUGUACUACGGAAAGAAAUAUAUAAAAGGAAAGGAACCCAUUUGAUAUAUAUUUGAGCGAUUUAGCUUUUAAAUUAAAGGAAUGUAUUGUUCUUUCCCAUUACAUAAAUAAUUUCUGUUUUAAGUAAUUGACUCCAUAAUGAUAAGUAUUGACAUUCGUGUGGUGGAAUAAAACUUGUUCUAUAUGUGAUUAAUCUCUUUCAAGUAUGCUGUCAGGUUUCUUGAGAUUAAUUUAAUGUCAAAGGGAGUCCUGAAGGAAUUAGUGCCAUUUGUUGGCAAGACUUGACGCUCGAAUCAGGUUAUCAUAAUUUUGUCACUUACAGUUGAUUAAUUCAUGUGACUUUUUGUAUUGUUUCAGGGCGAAGUUGAUAAAUGUCUUUUCAACUAAAGCAAGCCACAACGACUUAGUUGAUGAUGAGACUGUGUUUUUGAGUUACUUCAGUCAACUUUGCAUCUUAAUUAGAAUAAAAGGGAUAAUCUUCUUGCCUACAGGUGUGGAUUAUUUCUUUUAGUUUAAUUAAGAUGGCAUAGUAUGGGUUUUAUUUUACAAAAGUUGUGAAAAUCUUCAUCUUGCCUACAGGUGUUGAAGUUUUUCAUGAAGGUACUUUUGUGACAUAAAAUCUAGUACUAGAAACUAGUUAAUUUUCUUGCCUACAGGUGUAAAUUAAUUUAGUUUCAUGAAGUCUAUUGGGGACAAAGUUCCAUGCCAUCAGUUAAAAUAUUUCCACUAUGAGCCCAUAAUAGGUUGUGGUUUUAAGGCAUGGAAAUCGGUUGCAUCAUGACAUAUUUUAUCUCUUCAUGAGACUUGUUGAUGCAAAGUAUUGGACCCAUGAAAGUUAAUCAAGGAUUGCUAAGGUACACAUUUGUUUAAGUCUUAUGCUUGUAAAUCUUUUCAAUUGAAACUAUGAUGUCGGUUUAGAGGAUGAAUUUUGACUACUAAAGUUUCUUUUGGACAUCGAAAUUGAAAUGAUAUGAAAUUGAAUUUGUUAUGGAUGCAUAAAUUCAUGAUAGAUGCACAUAAUUGUUUCUGGCAGAUUGCGUGUCUUGAAUUAAAUCGGGUGAAUGACACGUCUAAUGGUCACCAAAUGACCUGAAUUUUGGAUAUGUUCAACAUAUAGAUGUCUACUAUUUGUCUGCAAAUUUUCGUAAUUUUCUGCCAUCUAUGUUAAUUAUGGUGAAUUUACUACUAACCCAUACUCGUAUAGACAGUUUUUACUGACAGAUUGUGUUGGUCUUUUUGAGACGUCACUUUAGACUACUAUUUUGACCCAAAAUAGCUCCAUAUUUUUAUUUUAUGAAUAUUAGUAUGUCUAUUUUGAUCAGUAUAAAUUUGGUAGCAAUCAAGCUUGUAAAUUAAUUAUGAUUAAUUCUAAAGUGAGUGUACCUUGCUACUGAAAUUCUGGUUGACAACUUUGUGUUGGUUGUAAUGUCUAUUUUAUUGUGUCUAAAAUAUAAAGCAAUUUUAUUUAGGUACAUUUUUGAAAGAGUGUUUGCCCAAGUGGGAGAAUUAGUGAACGAAAAUUGGGCUUCACACUCAUUAACUUAUUUGCAAGUAUAAACUCCGAGAACUUAGUGGGAGUUAUUCUAAAAUUGUGAGCAUUAAGUGGACUUGCAUGAAUCUAUUAAAGCAUUAUUCUAUCUUCAUGAAUUUGGGUUACUCGAAUAUCUAUAAUAUGUUUAAGUUACAUGCGUACAUUUUUCUGUUACUUGCAAUCAUUUGGAUUUCGGUUGAUCAUUUGUUUUGGGGCUCAUAAGGACUUAGCAUGAAUGUGAACUUAUUAAUACAUAUAAGAUGGUUGUUGGAUGCAUGUUUUGUGUAACAGCGGUGAAUGCUUUCAUUCUUUGUUGUACCUUUCAUUGAGGUAAUAUGCAUUCAUUGACUAAGUAAGGCUAUUCCCAAAGGCAUAUUUUCAAAAAUAUGAUUUAAGUAUUGAUUUGCAAAUUAAGUAAUGAUGUUGCAGAUCAGUGGGAGUUUGAGUUUAGUAAUGCCUUACAUUUGCAGAUGACCUAUAAGGUAUGUGUAGAAUCCAUGUAUUCAUUUUAAUCUCCAGUUGGAUUCAUUAAGUCACAUUUUUCGUGUGCUAGUCAAUUAUCUGAUGAAAUAUAUAUCGGAUAUCAAGUUGUUAUCAAAUUGCAUAUUAAAUGGCAUGGCAUGGUUUGUGCACUGCCUCAGUUGUGAGGAUUUCCAUCUUGCCCGCAGGUGUUGGAAAUCACUAUGAAAGUAACUGGUAUGGUGCAUAGAUCAAUGUCAAAAACAUAUUAAUUCAUCUUGCUCACAAGUGUUGAAUUAAUUUGUUUUAUGAAGUUUUGGGAUAUUUUACUUGGACAUGUGCCUAUUUGGUAUUUUCAGUUGUGUCCGUUGGCUACAAACAUUGUUUGUAUUGUUACUUAUCUAAUGAAAGUAACGCAUGACUGUUUUGGAGAUGUAUUCACACCUGCAGGUUAUGGUCGUUUCAUUAGAUGAAGGAUAUUUGCAUUGGCAAACUAAAGGCUUUGAAGAAGCAUAAAGUGUAACAUGUGUGUUACAAUAAGGUGGACCUGAGAUGAUAUAAAGUAAGACAUUUUGGUUAAUUUAAAGUUUCAUCUCUUGAUCAUAAUUUGUGUUUCAUGUAAAUGUGGAUCUUAGCAUGAGUGAUUAUGAAGGUUCUGGGUUGUGUCAACCCUACAACCUUGUUAAUUCCAUGUUAAGAAAUGCAUUUGACAGAAGCUACAUUAAGGACGAGAUGUAAUCACUGUUACAUGGCCACUAAAGUGACAUUAGUCUCCAAUCUCAAGUAUAAACGUGAAUAUUACAUUUUGUAGACCAAGUGGGAGAAUGUUGGAUUUAUCCAAUAUAAAUCAACCUUUAAGUGGUCUACUACAUGUAAUAGGAAUGUAAUAUUGGAGAAUAAUGUUAAUUGUGAUUUGAUCUCUUAAAAAUAUCAAUUCUAUAUAAGGUGUCUUAUAUUGGAAAUAUGAUUGAUGGAAUCCUUAAUAAUAUAUGAUUAUGAUAUUUUACUUGAGAGCCAAGAAAGGAGAGUUUUAGCUUUCCCUUAUGGAUGGAAUCUAAGACUUUUUGGCUAAUAUAUAAACACUGGUCCCUGCUAACCCUAGACACAACUAAGGCUUCCCAUAGAGCAUUGUCAUAAAGCUAGGAGUUUACAGAAGAGUUGGUGUUUUCUGUUUGUCACGGCAAACAUAAAGAUUGAAAUUUUAUCGAUCACGUCUUGAUUGCAUGGCUGCUACAUCUUCGACAACUGUCAUUGGAAUCAGGUCAGUCACUCAUUUGUUUGUGUUUUAAUUGUAUAACCUUGUAAGGCUAACAGUUUAACCUUAAUCUAGAGCGGUUGCUAGACAGAGUUUUCAUGCGCACUUUCGACCUAGGAGAGUUUUGCAAAGUAAUGUGAAGCAAUAAGACAAAAAGGAAAACAUAGGUCAUACGCAUAUACCAAAACUCAGUACACAUUGAUAUCUAUUUCGUUUUUAAAUUUGGGACUUUUGUAGAUAUGAAAAAAUAUAUAAGGAAAAAGAAUAAUAGAGAAGAAGUGGUGAGAGAAAAGAAUAAAUAAAAAUGGAUAAAUACGAAAUCUUAAAAGUGAAAAAGCUUAAAAUAGUUUUGAGUUUGAAUCAGUUUUCUUCUUGUGUAUGCUUCUAAAAAUUCAAAGAAAAAUGUAUUUCUUCCACAUUUUUGUACCCGUUGUUGUCUACUAUAUUCCUCUCUAUUUUUAACACAAAACUAAAAACUAAAAACUAAAAACGAAAAAACAGAAUGUAUUUCAUGCUCUCUAGUUACAACUUCAUACCAAUACACGUGAAAUUGAAAUUCACCUGCAAUGAGGUGUCGAUUUUUGUUGUUUUGUAUGAUUGCCAUUUUUCAUAGCACGCAAAAAUGUCAACCUACGUUUAUACGCGUUAUGAGCGCCGAAUCAGUUUAAUAGACGUGUGGCUUUUGUUUAAUUAUAAUGAGUGCUAAAAAGUAAAUUCGGACAAGUGGUCAUCUACCACAGUGGUGGAAAAGAGCGUUACCCUUACAUCACGAUGUGAGUUCGAACUUUGUCAGCUUCUUUAUCUAACAUCUAAUUUAACAAAUUUAUCGUCUGAAAAAAAAAAAUUGUAAACUCGGUUAUUUUUGUCGGGAAACCUUAUCCUGUUCAUGUUGACCUCACUGGCACAAUGUUUUUUGUUUGUUUUAAUUUGAUUUUGGCAUUUGGGCUUUUGAUUCCCUCACACAAAUGACACCCUUGCUAUGCGCUUUAUGAUAAUAGCGUGCGGGUUCGUUAAGAAGUUUUUUUAAAACGAUCUUAGUGAGUAUGUCUUGGAAAUUCAAAAGUAUUUGAAAUAUUUCUUUCAAGAAGCACCAAUUAUGUAUUUCUUGCAAGAAGCACUGCAAGUGUUUUUCUAAAAUUUAUUUGCAUUUUUACUUAAUUGAUUCCCUAUUUUUACUAAAAAUGUUUUCAGUUAAUUUAAAAGUACUCAGAAAAGAGUCUUUGUUUUCUAUGGUGACAUAGUGAUGAGCAAAGUGCUUACGCUGCAGAUUGUGUGAUGUUUUAUACAGAAACGGACGGAGGUUGAAACUCCUGGGAAAAAGGGCGCUGACUCAUUACACGAACCCAAUUGUCAAGUCAUAAUUUUAGAUAAUUAGAUGAAAUAAAAACUCAAUUUAUGCAACUUCCUUGCAAUUUGUUGGAAGUUUUUAACACUAGUUUGCAGGCCCCCGCUUUAAACGUUUUCCGUACAUCUAUAUUUGUUCACACACACACACACAUAUAUUAUAAAAGAAUGGAAAUAACUUCUUCUCUUCCAUUUUUUCUUCAAUAUACAUCGAUUUCUGUUUGGUUCUAGUUAUAUAUAAUUAGGUAAAUUAAGAAACAUAAAUAAACAAAGUGUAUAAAAAGAUAGGUAAAAAAAAUGUGCAAAAGUUAUACUUAGAUAAAUGAGUUAAUUAACUAGUGAGUGGUAGUUACGUAAGAUUUUUCUAUCCACAAUAUAAUUUAACGAAAUUGGGUUGAAAUCUACGUUUCUAUUAUAACAAAUAGUGAUGACAAAUCACUAAAAUAACAACAAUCAAUUAUAAAACAAACGAGGAAGAGGGAACGUAAUUUUGUUCGUGUUUGUUUCUUUAAACAUGGUUUUAGUAAAGCCAAUUUUAUGCCUGAUUCGCUUGCUAAUUUUGGUUAUUCGCAAAACUAUGAUUGUAUUGGGCUAGAUUUUGUUCCUCCUUUUGCUAGCCAAGCUUUAAUUUGGGACUCUCGUUGACGUAACAUUUGCCCGGAGACUUUGUGUUUUAAUUUAAUUUUCGCACUUGAGGAAAACAAAUGAGAAAAAGGGUACUCAAGUCAAAGCUCAGCGUGUUUAUAGAUAUAUAUAUUGUUGAAAAUGCUGGUGGGUGGUGAAUGCCCAGUGCAUUUGGUAAAGUUUUUAAUGCCCAUGAAAUUUGGAAUAGACUUUGGCAAUUAAGGAUGUCAUUUUUCAAAACAUGCGAUGUAAAUUUUUCAAACUAUAUGAACUUGUUUGUAUAGAGCUGCUCUAUAAAUAAAGCGCUCAUACUAUGGUUAAAGUAGAUAGAAAAACAUACAGCAGAAAACAGAAAGAAAGAAAUCUUUUCCUCCAUUUUUUAUUUGUUAUUCUCUUGUGCUAUCAUUUUCAGUGUGACAUUUUACACCUGCUUCAUUCCAUUUACUAAAAGGUUAUCUUUCUAACUUUGACAUAUUUAUAACACGUUAUCAGCACAAAUCUCUAAAAUAUAACUAUUUCUCAUUCCUCUUCGCCGAAUGCAAAUCAUUUCUCUUCGCCGAACAAAAGAAAAAAAAAAGUUUCCUCUAAGGUUUUUACUGUUCAUCUUCUUUCUCUGCCUCAACUGCUCAGUAUACCCUCGCAAUGAACUGUUUGCUCCAUGCCUGCUUCUAGUUCUCAACCUAACGGUUACAUACAUCUUUGAUUUCUUGUUUGAUAUAGAUAUUGAUUACUAACCCAGUAUUUAUUUAUGUUGAUUUUACUGCAAUCCAAGAUGGUGCGGUACAAUCGCCCAUCUUGAACUGCAAAUUUAAUCUUAUUGCCAUCCAAGAUGGUGUGGUAUCAUCGCCUAUCUUGGACUACAGAUUUAAUUUUACUGCAAAUUUUAGGUGGAGCGGUAUAAUCGCUCACCCUACCCUGCAUAUUUAAUUUGCCUGCAGUUUAAUUUCAUUGCAAUUUUAGGUGGUGCGGUAUAAUCACCCACACUGCUAUGCGUAUUUAAAUUUUUCUGCUACUUGAGUGGUGCGGUACAAUCGCCCUCCUCAUUCACCCUGAAAAUCUCAAUCCAGAAGUUUCAAGUGCUUAUCAUUUUGGCCUGAAGAUCAAAAUGAAAAAUUUGUAAGAACUAGAAGUUAUAACACUAUAUUCCUCCAGGAAUACAUAUUAUUGCAAGUUCUUACACAUCUCAUUUUCUUUCAGAAAAAAAGAAAAUGGCGAACUUGGCGAAGCUUGAUUAUGCUACCCUGGACAUUACCAGAAGAAUUACCUUACCUGGGUACUGGAUACCAAGAUCCAUGUGGAAGCAGGGAAUCUUGGAGAUACCAUCAAGGAAGAGAGCAACUCAUCCUCUUAAGAGCAGGCAAAGGCUAUGAUUUUUAUUCGUCGCCAUCUUGAUAAGGUACUAAAGAGUGAGUACUUAACAGUUGAAAAUCCGUUAACUCUUUGGAAUGCAUUGAGAAGCAGAUACAAUCACUAGACAACGGUGAUUCUUCCAAGAGCUCGCUAUGAAUGGACUCACCUAAAGAUCCAAGAUUUCAAGUCAGGGGCAGAAUACAAUUCUGCGUUGUUCAGAAUUACCUCUCAGCUGAAGCUCUGUGGGGAUACUAUUACUAAGGAAAAUUUGCUGGAAAAGACUUUCAGCACAUUUCAUGCCUCUAAAGUGCUCAUGUAGUAGCAGUAUAGAGCACGAGGCUUCACUGAAUACAACCAGCUCAUAUUUGUGCUCCUGGUAGCUGAACAGAAUAAUGAGCUCUAGAUGAAAAACCAUAAUUCCUGACCUACUGGAUUUGAACCAUUCCCAGAAGUGAAUGUUACUUCCCUCGAACUGAACGCCACAUCCUCUGGUGGCUAUAAUCAUAAACGAGGACGUGGCCACAAACAAGGUUGGUGGAACAGGAAAAGAAAGAACCAUGGUGGUCAGUUUCACAACUAGGUUCCGAGGCAUAAUUCAGGCCCGAGCUUUAAAAAUGUGAAUCGCCACAAAGGCAAAGCUCACAUGAACAAUGCUCCCAGGAACUCCAAAGGAGCCUGCCAUAGGUGUGGUGGCAAUGGGCAUUGGACGCAUACUUUUUAUACCCCAAACAUCUGGUGGAUCUGUAUCAAGCCUCCCUCAAGGAGAAGGGUGUCGAAACCAAUUUUCUCGACCAGGCUAAACCAAUGGAUAUACCUGAUCAAGUGUGUGACUUAUCAAGACAGUUGAACACAACCCACCUAGAUGUUUCAGACUUCAUUAUGGAAAGGGGGAAUGAAGUAUACCGGUCCGACUGAAUCGUUUAUGUUUGAUGUACUUUUGUUAUGCUGAACUUGUAGUUUAAAAUUGGCAUUUCAGAUUCAAUAAAAGUGGCAUGUAAAUUUCUUGUUAUAACUUGCUUUUAACUCUGAUUUCUUUACUCAGAAGGCAUGGAUAAAAACUAUGGUCAUUCUCAAAACAUGAGAAAUGGCGGAGACAUUUGUCUUGCAGACUGCGCAACUACGCAUACAAUACUUCGUGAUCGAAAGUAUUUCUUAAGCUUGAUACUUACAAGAAUAAGGGUAACAACAAUAUCAGGCAAAUAAGAUGUAAUUGAAGGCUCAGGGAAAGCCCAGAUUAUGUUACCAAAUGGAACAAUAUUGUCCAUACAGAAUGCGUUGUAUGCUACUCGAUCUACUCAAAAUUUGUUGAGUUUCAAAGACAUACGUUUAAAUGGAUACCACAUUGAAACGAAAAGUGUAGAAAAUGUGGAGUAUCUAUGUAUUACCUCCAAUGAUACCCAGAAGCGUAUAUUGGAGAAGUUGCGUGGUUUGUUGAGUGGAUUGUAUUAUACAUACAUAAAGACAAUUGAAUCACAUACUGUCAUGAACCAGAAGUUCAUUGAUUCAAAAGUUUACAUGCUUUGGCAUGACCGUCUGGGUCACCCAGGAUCUACCAUGAUGCGUAGAAUCAUUACCAACUCUAAUGGACAUCCAUUAUUGAGUAGGGACAUUGCUAUCACAAAUGAUAACCCUUGCAAAGCUUGUUCUCAAGGGAAGUUGGUAAUCAGACCAUCACAACUAAAGGUUGAUAUUGAAUCCCCAUCAUUUCUGCAAAGAGUACAAGGGGAUAUUUGUGAACCUAUUCAACCAUCUUGUGUUUGGUUGAUGCAUCUACCAUAUGGUCACAUGUUUGUCUAUUGUCUACUCGAAAUGUAGCUUUUGAGAGACUUCUUGCUCAGAUAACUAAGUUACGAGCACAGUUCCCAGAUUAUCCCAUUAAGUCAAUCCGACUUGAUAACGCUGGUGAAUUUACGUCUUAAACUUUUGAUGAUUAUUGCAUGACAUUGGGCAUUGAUGUUGAACACCCUAUUCCUCAUGUCCAUACUCAAAAUGGUUUGGUAGAAGCAUUGCUCAAGCGACUUCAGUAAUAGCUCGCACUCUACUUAUGAAAACCACAUUACCAGUUUCUGCAUUGGGACAUGCCAUCCUACAUGCUGCAUCAUUGGUUUGAUUGAGACCUAUAGCCAACCACCAAUACUCCUCAAUACAACUCGUGUUUGGACAUCAGCCAAACAUUUCACAUUUACGAGUUUUUGGUUGUGCUGUUUAUGUGCCUAUUGUACCCCCGCAACACACUAAAAUUGGACCUCAGCAUAGACUGGGAAUUUAUGUGGGUUUUGAUUCAUCAUCUAUCAUUAGAUAUUUGGAACCCUUGACAGGUGAUAUGUUUACAACUCAUUUUGCUGAUUGUCACUUUGAUGAGACGGUCUUCCCAUAAUCAGGGGGAGAAAAGACCGUUCCAGAAGAAUGGAAAGAGUUGACAUAGGUUGUUCCCACCUUGUCUCAUUUUGAUCCUCGAAGCAAAUAGAAUCGUUCAUCUUCAAAGCAUUUCCAAUCAAAUGCCAGAUGCAUUUAAUGAUGCUAUGAAAGUGACAAAAUCACAUAUACCAGCUGCAAAUGCACCUGCCAGAAUUGAUGUCCCUAUUGGACAAAAUAAAGUGGUAGCGAAUGAUUCAUCUGGUGCACGCUUGAAGCAUGGUAGACCUCAAGGUUCAAAAGAUUCAGCCUCUCGAAAGAGAAAGACAAGGGCACAGCUGAAUCCAAAUGAAAUCAUUCAGGAAGAGAGAAUGAAUGACAAAUCUACAAUUCAUGAUUUUGGACUUCCAGAAGAAGAAAAUAUCCUUGAUGAGACACAUGUCCCUGAAGAGACAGCAGUACAUGAGAGCAAAGAAAUCUCUAUAAAUUAUGCAUGUACUAAUGAAUUGUGGGAUCAGAAUGAAAUAAUCAUCGACGAUAUGUUCGCAUUCUCAGUAGCCACUGAAAUCAUAUUAAGUGAUGAUCUUGAGCCCCGCUCUGUUGAUGAGUGCAAACAGAGACAAGAUUGGCCUAAGUGGAAAGAUACAAUCCAGUCAGAAUUAAAUUCUUUGGAAAGGCAAAGUGUUUUUCAACCAGUAGUCCAAACCUCGCCUAGUGUAAACCCCGUGGGUUACAAAUGGGUAUUUACAAGGAAACGCAAUUAGAAAAAUGAGAUUGCAAGAUAUAAAGCACGACUCGUUGCACAAGGUUUUUCACAAAUACCUGGAAUUACUUAUGAGGAGACGUACUCUUCUGUAAUGGACGCAAUUACGUGGUAUAAUCGUCUCAGCGAGUAUUUGAUCAAAGAAUGAUACAUCAACAAUGUCAUUUGCCCUUGUGUGUUCAUUAAGAAAUCCAAUUCUAGAUUUGCUAUAGUGGCAGUUUACGUUGAUGAUAUGAACCUAGUUGGAAUUCCUGAAGAGCUCAAUAAAACUGCUGAAUAUCUGAAAAGCGAAUUUGAAAUGAAAGACCUUGGAAAAACAAAAUUUUGUCUCGGCCUGCAGAUCGAGCAUUGUGCUAGUGGAAUUUUGGUCCACCAAUCAGCUUACAUUGAAAAAAUUCUGAAGCGAUUUGGUAUGGACAAAGCUUAUCCACUAAGCACGCCAAUGGUCAUUCGUUCUUUGGACGUUAAGAAAGAUCCAUUCCAUCCAAAAAAAGAUGAUGAACUGGUCCUUGGUCCAGAAGUACCAUAUCUGAGUGCAAUAGGUGCUUUGUUGUAUUUAGCACUGCGAAAUCUCGUUUUUGGAUUUCACUGUUAUAAUCUACGUAUUUGCAUUAUUGAAAUUUUAUAUUAUUUUUCGAAAAUUUAUAUUAAUUUAUUGAAUUUAGAUUUCAAUUAAAUUAGUUACCAAGAGUGAAGUUUAGAAAAUAAUUAUUUAAAAUUUGUUGACCUUUCGAGGUCACAAGUAACGUUUUCGAAUAGAUCUUAACCACGAACGCAUAGGCGAAAGCCGUUUGCGAGUCCGGAUUAUAAUGGUAUAGUUAUGGCCAUUUGAAAUCAUUUACUAAACUAUAGUUUCAAUUAAUUAAAAUCCCACUUUGUGGGAAAGAGGCCCAAUCAUGUAAGAUUUAAGGUGGACCAAUUAGAAAAGAAAAAAAAAGGUGGACUUUGAGGGUAGCACAGGAGGAAGAAAAGAAAAAGGGGGCGGAAGAAAAAAAAAGAAAAGAAAAGGGGGACUUAGAGGACAGCACGGGAGGAAGAAAAGAAAAAGGAGGGAAGAAGAAAAAAAAAGGGAAGAGAGAAGGAAAAAGGGAGUUGCGAAAGAGAAGGGGAAAAGAACGUUCUUCCACGUUCUUCCGGGCUUUGCGAGGAAAGAAAAAGAAACAGGGAGGAGGUGGCUCUUCCAUAGCUGUUGAAAGAAAAUCCUUCUUUCUUCAGGCAAAAAUCAGAGAGAUAGGAGUUAGAGAACGUGAUUAUGAAGGAAGGAUUCAAAGAUUUAAAGGGUAAAUUCCUUGUUACUUCAUUAUCUUGAUUUUCGAAUUUAACUUUCUUAAGUUGAAUUGAAACUGCCAUGAUAUAUUGGAGUUCUUAAUUCUAUUUAGGGUUUCUAUCAUUCAAUGAACUAGUCUAAACAUGAAUUAAAGUUGGGUAUUUUGGAUUGGGCGUGUAGAUCAAAUUUCUUGAUUAAGGGUUUGGUUCAAAAGGUCAAUUUCUUGUUAAUUUUGAGUCAUGUUAGUUUUGGAUGUUGUAUACAUGACUUCUGGACUACCUGUAAAUUUCUUUGCAAAGAAAACUCAAGUUUCGAGUAGCCUUCUUUGGCUCUUAAUUUCUAGGCCUUUAUGUGCUCCUUUGGAGAAAAUUUUUAGUUUGUUGAAAGUACAUAUGUUCAUGGUCGUAACCCAAUUGUUUUCACUCAGAUAUGUUGAGUUUUGGUUGAUCAAAACCUUAUUUAAACUUGGGUCGCGAGCUGCCAAACAGCAGCAUAAAAUUGGGUGUCCAGUUUCAAGACUCUGUUUUACUUUUGGCAUAACUUCCAAUUUAGAGCUCCGUUUUCUACAAACUUUGUAUGCUUUUAAAGUACAGAACACAAGCUUCAAAACCCAUAUAAUAUUACAUGAUUUGGUUUAGUUUUGAAUGUUCCAAAGGGAGCCUAAACUUGGUCCAAUGGUGCUGUUUUCUGCAGAUUUUGUGGAGAAGCAGAGUACUGUUUUUGCCACACCUAGUUUCUUUCCAGAUUCCUAUCUAAUCUUAUUUACUACUAAUUUAGUGAUGGUAUUAAUAUCAUUUGUGGAUAUGACAUGGUUUUAUAAAUGUGUUUUCUAUUAAAUGUGAUUCUUUAUAAUUGGCCAUCGAUCUAUUUUUAUUAAAUGUGAUUCGAAUUGCAUAUUGAAAUGUGAAUUAUAUAUAUAUGCCAUAGACCCAUGUUAAUUAAAUGUGAAUUCUAUUGAAGUGUUAUUUUAUUUUUUGUCAUUGAUCUAUUUUCAUUAAGUAUGAUUUGACUUAUGCAUUGGAAAUAUGGUUUGUAUUGUAUGAUUGGAUUGAUGUGAUGAAAUGCAAGGGCUAGUAGUGGACCAUUAACCAUUGUUAUGGGGUUUGUUGCCUUCGAAACAUGUUUCAACCCUCGUGUCAUUAUUCAUCCUCGUUUCGUUGAGUCUUUGUACAUUGAGUAACUUGAUCCAUGUCUUGUUUUAUUGAUUGGUGUUACACAUUCUACUCCGCGAUUCUGUUGAAUGAUGAUCCAGAAUCGUAUUCUGGUUUGGAUUCCGUUAAGUGAUGGUCCGGAAUCCCUUCUACUCCACGAUUCCGUUGAGUGAUGAUCCGGAAUUGUAUCCUGGUUUGGAUUCCAUUGAGUGAUGGUCGGGAAUCCCUUCUACUCUGCAAUUCUGUUGAGUGAUAGUCUGGAAUCCCUUCUACUCCGUGAUUCCGUUGAGUGAUGUUUCGGAAUCGUAUCUAACUUGGGUUUCAUUUAGUGGUGGUUAUGCAUUGUCCUCCGCGAUUCCGUUGAGUGAUGGUCCGGAAUCAUAUCUACUUGGAUUCCGUUAAGGGCUAGUCCGGAAUCCCUCAGACUUCGUGAUUCUGUUAAGAGCUAGUUCGGAAUCCUUCAUACUUCGUGAUUCCACUGAGAGAUGGUUCGGGAUCGUGUUCACCUUGGAUUUUAUUGAGUUUGGAUCGAGAUAGCUUCAGAGAUGUAGGCUUCGGCCGAACUGUGUCGCUCUAGCCCUACUUUUCAUGGUGUUGUAUGAUAUUAUGAUUAUGAGCUGUUGUGAUUUGAUCCAGACGAACCGUUGGAUGUCUAGGUGACUCCUUCGGAGUUGUUAGAGUUCCUUGGUUAAAUUUGUGAAAUGAUAUGUUACUGCAUUCAUUGAUUAAACAAUUAAAUGCUAAGAUCAUGUAUCUUUGAUUCAUGAUUAAUUAAUUGAUGUGAUUGUGGAAUGACAUUGGGUAUGAUUGAGAUUAUUAUGAUUAGAGUAAUUGAUUAAUGUGACUUGAGAAUAACAUUGUGCUUCGUUGGUUCUUUGAUAUGUUACAUACUAUGAUUUGCGGUAGUAUGUGAAACAGAGUGAUUUAUAUGAUGGAUGAAUUGGAAAGUAUCUGUGUGAGAAUGGGUUACAUGCGUGUAUGAAAUAUGAUAAUUGUUGUUAACGUAUGGUUGAUGUGUAAUAUGGUAUGGUGCCUUAUGAUUUUCUGUUAGAAGUAUUUUAUGGAAAGAUUAGAGUUAACGAUUGUGGAACUACGAAUGGCUUGAUCCCUAUUGAGUGUACGUAGGCAGUCUAACGAGGAGGUUAGAUGCAGCCAUAAAGUAAACGAAAAAUUACUUUGCAAUUUGAUUCUCGAGUUGUGAUUUGCCAUAUUCCGAAGAUGGGGUAUGUAAGUUAUAUGAGUAAUUGGAGACGUUACGUGUCGAUCCUGGACGUAUGUCGAGAUCGGGGCUUGACAAGCACAAUGUACUAGACCAGAUAUAGCCUUUUCAGUCAACUUGUUAGCCAGGUAUAGCUCUGCUCCAACAAUCCGUCAUUGGAAUGGUGUCAAAGAUGUAUUGCGAUACCUUCGUGGGACAACAGACAUGGGUCUCUUCUACUUAAAGAACUCCACAAAUGACCAAGUCCUUAUUGGAUAUGCAGAUGCUGGUUUCCUCUCUGAUCUGCAUAAAGCCCGCUCACAAACUGGAUAUGUGUUCAAGAAUGGAGAUACAUCAAUCUCAUGGCGCUCGACAAAGCAAACAUUAGUUGCUACAUCUUCAAAUCAUUCAGAAAUAUUUGCUUUACAUGAAGCAAGUCGUGAAUGUUCUUGGUUAAGAACAAUGAUCCAUCAUAUUCGGAAUUCAUGUGGUCUACCUUCAAAGACAGACACUCCAACUGUCAUUCAUGAAGAUAAUGCAGCCUGUGUUGCCUAAAUGAAGGAAGGAUUCAUCAAGGGCGAUAAAACUAAACAUAUAUCUCCAAAGUUUUUCAGUGCACAUAAGCUUCAGAAGGCUAAAGUUAUUGAAGUCAGACAAAUCCUAUCUAAUGAAAAUCUAGCAGACUUGUUCACCAAGUCCCUACCAAAAUGCACGUUUAAGAAGUUAGUGCAAAGUAUCGGAUUACGUCGACUUACCAAAUAGCUAAAUUUGGAGAAUACGAAAUCAGGGGGAGCAUCCAUAAUACAUGCAUGUUGUACUCUUUUUCCUUCGAUUAGGAUUUUUUCCCACUGGGUUUUUCCUAUCAAGGUUUUAACGAGGCAACAUAAGCAUACUUAACACUAUAUCAACAAUCCAGGUAAAGUUGUACUCUUUUCCCUUCGCUAUGGUUUUUUCUCAUUGGGGUUUUCCAAGCAAGGUUCUAAUGAGGCAACUGAUGUUGAUAUGUGGGCAUCCAAGGGGGAGUGUUGAAAAUGCUGGUGGGUAGUGAAUGCCCACAAUGCAUUUGGUAAAGUUUUCAAUGCCCAUGAAAUUUGGAAUAGACUUUGGCAAUGAAGGAUGUCAUUUUUCAAAACAUGCGAUGUAAAUUUUUCAAACUGUAUGAACUUGUUUGUAUGGAGCCGCUCUAUAAAUAGAGCGCUCCUACUACGGUUAAAGUAGAUAGAAAAACAUACAGCAGAAAACAGAAAGAAAGAAAUCUCUUCCUCCAUCUUUUAUUUGUUAUUCUCUUGUGCUAUCAUUUUCAGUGUGACAUUUUACACCUGCUUCAUUCCAUUCACUAAAAGGUUAUCUUUCUAACUUUGACAUAUUUAUAACAUAUAUAUAUAUAUAUGUAAUGGAGUAUAAUUCUCUCUCCUCUUUUUUUCCCUUCCCUUCCUUUUUAUUUGAACAGUUAUAUAUAUAUAUAUAUGUAAUGGAGUAUAAUUCUCUCUCCUCUUUUUUUCCCUUCCCUUCCUUUUUAUUUGAACAGUUACGGUUAAGCCAUGUCAACAUCUUAUAUUAAUUUUUUAUAGCAAGAGAUAGAUACUUCUGAUUCUGAUCCUGAACAACGACUCAAACCUAAGCGGGCAGCCCCAACCAGGAAAAGUACAAGUGCCCAAACCUCCAAGUCUUCCAAAGCUACUUCUGCUUCAAAGACCUCUAUUGCUGCCGUGGGUAAGAAAAAACAAAAAGCCCUCAGUAAGUAUCUUUUCCCUCAAUCUUUCAUCCAUACCUUACGCUUGGGAACCAACGGUUUGGUCCUUUUUGUAAUCAAGACCUUCGGUAUCCAAAUAACCCUCUUUGGUUUUAAAGGACGCUCCAUUGGAUGUAGAAAAGCAGCGAAGGGCCAAAGAUUACCAGGAUGUGGUUCUUGGAGAAUUAGAGGUAUAGACUGCCCCUAUUUUCUUAGAAUUCUUCCCUCUUUUUCUUUUUCUGAUAUCUCUUUCACCCGAUUAUCUGUAUCAGGAGAUUCGGGCAGAAAAGAUCUCUCCGCCCGAAACCUUUUCUCCUUCCGCCCGAUCAAGGCAUGCCCCUUUUUUCCAAGCAAAACCCACUUCGUUAGAGUUGACUCCGAUCUUUCAAUUUGAUCAUUCAACCGGGCAGAUGAUGCACUAUGUGGAAGAUGACAGUGAUUCAGUGAGUUUUUGUUCCUAUCAUCCCAUGUUUAAAACUCUUUUUCUGUACUUACUAUCCUUCAUUUCUUUCAGCCUACCCUGGUACAAGAAUUUCAGCACGUACCAACUUCUACUUUUAGAGAGCCAAUAGUUCCUGAGAUCCAUGUAGUGUCUGAGGUGACUAAUCCACAGGUUUCUCAGGCACUCUUUACUAAUCCGCCCAAGGUUCCUGAGUUACAUGUUUCUCAACCUCAAUUUCCUCCACAAGUAUAUUUGUGAACUUCCCGUUUUUUCUCUUCUUUAGCUACUGGCCUUCACUUCUUCUUUUACUUUUGCAGGCUUCUGUUGAAGUCUUGGGUACUUCAUCUCCUACCCCAGUAGGUGAAGAUAACCCCCUCUAACAAUCACAAGAAAUUACUCCAUCUCCACCUCUUUCUAGAGCUCCGGGUUUAUUUCAGGUAUAUUGACUUUUUGUAUUUUAUCUUUUCCUGGCUUGGACAACCUCUCUCUUAUCAUUUAUGUCUUGUUUGCAAUAGGAUUCCGGAGAGGGCUCGGGCAAGUCUCAUCCACGCUUGGUGCGUAAAUGAGAUCUUCCACACCCUCAUUCGAUCUUCGAAGUUACAGAUGCUUCUAUCUCUAGGCCUGAACAGCGAGCCAAGACUAUUGUAGCAACUUCUUCCACUUCUGCUCCUGCUUCUUAGGACCAUCCCACUCCACCUCCUAAAGUUGUCCCUACUGUUAUGACUGAAAGUGUUAGAGAUUUGCCCCCGACUUCAUCAACAACAUCGUUGCCCGAUCUAAUGAAGAAGUUCGGUCAGACCAAAAACAAACUACAAUCUUCUCCAACAUCUUCUGAGCUUCCUUCAUUUCAGCGUGCUCGCAAUCUUUUCAAGGACUAGACAAAAAGAGGGUUCACAGCUUCUUUUAAUCUUAAGGUCCUUUAUGAUGCAGAAAAAGCCAUUUCUGAACUUCACCAAGCUGAGUUACUGCCCCCAGCUCAAUACAAGUCUUUUAUGAGUUUCUUCGAGAAUUUACGAGCAUUAAUGGAUUAGCAUCUUAAGGCAGAGCGAGCAUCUAAUAGAGUAAACUGCUUUCAAGAAAAGCAUGUGAAGAGUACAAUCGUGCUCCGACAAUUGGUAGAGAAUGAAUCAACAAUGGAAACAAGGAUUUUAGUGGUUGAUUCUGAAAUUCAGAGUUUGGAGGAACAACUUUCAUUAUUCAAGCUGAAAAGAUGACAUUCACCAACCAAUUCUCCCAGAAAGUAGAGGAGAUGGAGAAAGCCUCUUAAGAGGUUGAGGACUCUGAGAAUCAACUAGUAAAUAGCAAUAUGUACUUAGGAGAGCCAGAUAUAAUUUUUGCUGUUAUGCCAACUUACUUCUCUAGAAUAGUUGCUCUAGCCGAAGAUGUAAAUUUGUUGGGUUAAGAUUUCUGUAAUCCCCUUAUGAAAUGGAAUCUUCUUUAAUCCGCAUCCCUAUUUUUGAUUUUCAAUAGCAGAAGUUUCUUUCCUCCUUUCUAAUUUUUGAUCAACUUCUAGAUCAAUUAUGGUUUCUGUUGGGGAUACCUCUAUCUCAUGUCUCUGUUGGUAUUGAUUUGUACAAACAUCCACCCCUUUAUUACAGCUGUUUUGGACUUGUCGGGUAGUUAGAGAGCUCCCUCCAUAGGAUUAUUCAUCCUACUUUUGUCUCCCAAGUGGCUUUUUGCUUCUCCCUUCUGGCCCAUGUUAAGCUGAUCACGUUGAAUAGGGCUUUUGGGAAAAGAUCUGUGUCAAUCAUCAUGUUGGUAUGAGGUUUCUCUAAUAGCAACUUCCCUUUAACCAUGAGAUCUUGUAUCCAAUCUCUGAACUGGACACAAUUGGUGAUAGAGUGGUUGAAGGUGUGGUGCAACUUACAAUACUUUUUCCCCUUUAACUCCUCGUGUUUAGGUAGAUUCUUAGUACUGUCGGGCACAAUCACUCUUGCUCUUACUAGCUCCUCAUAUAUUUCUGCAGCUUUGGUUAAGUCAAAGGAAUAACUCUGGUAUUUUGGAGGUUUCAUGGGGAUAAAUCCUCCAUCAUUCAUCACUACCUUCUGAUCUUUAACCGGUUGGACCAAUCCUUUUACCAUCAAGGGUUUAAAGGGAGUGGUCAUCUCUGCCGCAUACAUGUCUAUUGCUUCUCUAAGUUCUCUCCCAUGACCAUCGUUUUCUUCUGGUCGUUCCUCAAACUCUACUUGGUGAAUGGCAGCUUUAUUUCGAUAGAAAGGUGGUGCUUUAGAGGAGUGUUUCAGUUGUUGGUCUUCAAGCAACAAUUUCUCAUAUUUGGUAGCAGCGAUCACCAACUCUUGCAGUUCAUUAAACUAUACAUCAUAAAACUUCUUUCUCAAGGGUAGACUUAAGGCUUUCUGAGCAAUAGCUAUAAGUUGGAUAUGGUUAAUGGGAAACUAGCAUCUCAUCCUUAUCCUUAUAAACCUCAUAAUGAAAUCUUCUAUAGAUUCAUGCUCAUAUUGUUUCACUUCGACUAGAUCGUUAAUGGUCAUUUCUGGCUCCAUCCUGUAAAACUGCUCAUGGAAAGUCAUCUCUAUUUGCCCCCACUUAGCGAUGGAAUUUGGGGGUAACAAAGAGUCCUAUUGAGAUGCUAAGCCUACGAACGAAUUCCCAAAUAACCUCAUCUUAUAAUUGGGAUUGUCUUCGAACGCCACACAAUGGUUGGAGAAUUUAAAGAUGUGAUCCCUGGAUGACACAUUAUUGUCCUUUCCACUGAACGUUGGGAAUGCGGGCAUUUUGAAGUUAAGAGGAAAGGGAUUUUGUUCAUCAAUGACCUCUGGGUAGGGCUUUUGAUAAGCAAUUCUAAAUAGUGGGCGAGCUUGUGGUUCGGCAUUCCUUACUACCAUUCUUCUUAAUUCAUCUAACUCAUCUCUAAGUUGUUGAUUGGUUGUAUUAUUAGGCGGAGUAUGAGGACGUGGUUCCCACUUCGGGCUACAAUCAUUGCCCGAGGUAUUCUCUUUCCUUGUGUCAGGCCUCCUCCAUUUAGGUUCUCCUCCCUUAUCAGUCAUUGGCGGCGGUCUAUAAGGAAGUGGUUUGUCUACCUUGGCGGGUUCUCCCUUCCUACUAGAUUCCCCAAUCAACUGAGGCAUCCCAUAUUUUGCUCUCUCUUGCCCGACCUGCCCCCUAUUAUUUAGUGAAAACAGGGGGUCGGGUAAUUCUGUUACCAGAAUUUCUUCCAAAACCAGAUGACUCGCUCUGGAUUCUUCCUUGUUCUUCCCUUUAUCCUUCUUUUCCUCAAAUAUAGGAAAUAGAGGAAUAAUUGGCUCCUUCACGAGACUGGCUUCAUUUGUCAUUGUCCUAGCAUGAUCAUUUUCUAAAGUAGGGUAUUCCAGAUCUAGCCUUUUUUGAAAAUUUCCUGUUAAGGAAUAGAGUCUGCUUAUGUCUUCCCUUGUCUUUCGGGAGUUUCCCUCCAUGCUCUGAGAGCUUCUUUCCAUGCUUUGGGAGUUUCUCUCCAUGCUUUUUAUAACAGCCAUCAUGGUGGCUUAUAGGUCUUUCUUUGUAACUUUUCUUUCUGACUUCUCAGAAUAAGUCGGGCUUUCUAUUAAGACGAGUCCUUGCAAGUCUUCGGGGAGAUUUUCCAUGCUGGAUCUUGGUGUGUAGUGGGGUGAUUUCUGUUUUGCUCCCCACCUGAAGGUUUGAUCCUUCCUUCGCCUUAUUGGCAUAUAAGAUGAGAUCCCACCGGGCAUGCCAAAACUAUGUUCGGGCAGGAAUAUCACUGGUGGGCGUUCCUGGUUCGAGCACACAGCUCCCUGAGGAGUUGGCACUUUGGUUGAUUGUCGGUCUCCUGCUCGUUACAAUGCUGCAAAAGGAGAACAAAGUUAGUUUCAAAAAUGUGCCUAUGCAAAGCCUUAGGUAUAGGCUUUGGAGGUUCACAAUCAAAACUAACAUUAAGUUCUUACGCGUGCCACUACCAUCUUUGUAUGGCAGAUGUAAAACAAGUGUAUUUAAGCUGAUUACUUGCGCCCCAAGUUACUCUGACUUCUUGUUAUCAAAUGAUUAUCGUAGAUGGGUUAAGUCUACAUUAAGUUCUGUUUUAUGCCUUGAGGUCAAGGACUUUUGUUCAUCUUGUAUGCUUUAAAGAGUGAAUAUCCAGAUAUGGCUGAAUUGUUUUAUUUCAAUAGUAAUGCCUAAAUGAUACGCUUUGAACCACUAAAAGACUGGAAAUAACUUGGAUAUAUAUCGAAUGAUGCAUGAUAAUACUAGAUCUAUUAGGUAAGGAACAAAACAAAGGGAAUCGAGCUAGAUUUAACCUUGUCGGGCAAGGUUGAAUCUUGUACACCGUCACUUCUUUGUAAGUACAAAGGUUUGGGGAGAAAAGGGAGUGAAUGAUGAGCAGGGUGAACAUAAGAGAAUCAAUACUACUAUGGUUGAAAAAGUAGCAGAGCUAUUAAAUUAGACAAAAGAUGGCUUUUGUGAGGGCUGAUCCUGAAAAUGAUUGAGGUUGGGGGCUGACUACAACUUCGUAGGCAAAUCUGGCUUAAGCAGAGUUUGUGUAGUUGUUUGUUUGAUUGGUUGAGUGUCCUUGUCUCUGGGCCUUCUUCCUCCUUUUAUAGCCGAAUUAUCCUGACUGCUUGCAACUUGGCUCCUGCCCGAAAGCAACUGAGGGGUAGUGACUCAUCAGUAAUUUACGUACUCUGCCAUUCAGAAAAUGCUUUUGGGCUGAGAGUAGGCUAAUUUCCAUCAAAUGUCAUUUCUUUCAAGCUACUAGCCUUUGCAUUUAAUGUGGAAUCAUCAUUUUGCCUUAGGCUGGGCGAAUGGAUAUGAUGCUUGUCCUUCGGGCAGAGUCAUGUCUUCUGGGCUUCCUUUUGGGCUUCUCUUCCUCCAACCCAAAAUUCAAAUAUUAACCCAAACAAUAAGCACUUGAAGUGCUUUUGAAACCACUAAACAUUUUCUUUAAAAACGUUUACAAUUAAAAAAACCCUAUAUUACAACUUCAUCCGAUACAAACUCUUAAUAUAUUGUAUAUAUUCUACUUUCGUUGAUAGUGAGAGUAAUCAAAUGCCUCUCUUUUUUUUCUUUUUUUCUUUUUUUUGCUACAAACAUAUGGUUUGCUACUCCCCUAUUAGUGAUGAUACACAUCUCUCUCAAAGAGAUACGGUUAACUAAAAGCUUACGUCGUACUAGAAUUAGAUCAAGUGACUGCACAAACGAAACUUGAAUAUUGCAAGGUGUACCUCUAGUUAAUGUUCUUAACAAUUUAUAAACUUCUUGUAAACCAAGAUCAAAUUUUACGGUGGUAAAGUUGUAGCAAUUCAUUCAUGAACAUUAAAGUACAUGGAACACCAUCGCAUAGUAUCGUGGCAGAUAUUAUUGAAUAUUAUAACACUUGUUAACCCUAAUAGCUCUCCUAACCAACACGAGGAACCUUAGUGACGACUCCGCGUUCAUUAAUCCAGACCCAGACCUUAUCGCACCCUCUGUCCCUGGUGGUCGCAGACCCUUCCAGUUACACGAUUGCCCGAACACCGUGAUUCUCUUGCUCUAUCUUUGCCGCCGCAUCUUUCCCAUUUUUUCCCACCAGCUCUGGCCAUGACUUACCUGCACCCACACAGACACACACAUAUAUAACAAAACAAAUAAAUAAACUCAUGAUGAAGUACCAGUAAUCCCACAAUUAUAGUAGUUUUACCUGGACACUCUGCCAUUCUAGCUUUUUUCUCACACACUGAUAUAUUUUGUGUUAUCAAACUUUUAUGGGUUGGUAUUUAUAGAUAGAUUGGAGGGCUUCAAGUUUGGUUCUAAAAGUUUCAAGCAUGCACGCAGUCGUGUCAAUGUAUAUAUGCCGAUGUGUUCGAAUGAUGACAAUAGCUAGAUCUAGAUGUCAAUCAAUUGUGCGAGGUAUGUUCAUAUGCCUUUCGUUCGUGCAUGUAAUGUUGUUGUGAUUUGUGCAUGUUUGUGUUAAAUAGCUCCAUAUCCACAUGCAAGCUCAUCCAAAAUCAAAUCAAAAGGUAUCAAAUUGAUAUUUACAUCUAAUUUGAGCGGCUCCGUUUGGAUUCUUCCCCAUCAUUUCUUUGGACUUUAUAUAGUUCAAGAAUUUUCGGGGGUUUAUUGCCACGCGCUGUUAGUGAUCUACAUCAAUGUUAUGAAUUUACUUAAAUUUAACAUUAAUAAUAUAACUUGGAUUCAUAAAAUAUUAAUUUUGUUGUUCAUUAUAUUAUAACAUUUUAUUAUUACUAUUUUUUUAAGGAAAUGACAUAUAUAUUUGAUCCAAUGUAAAGGGGAUGAUAUAAAAUUCACAUAUAUGAAUAACAUGACUCUUAUAUGGGUACUAUCUAAAAAUUAAAAAUGAUAAUCUCUAAUGUUGUAAGACUUACCAUGUAACACAUUCUGUGAAAAAUAUGAAAUUAAAAACAACCUUAAAUCACAUUAACAACAUUAGAACUCUGAAAAAUCUCAUAAAUUUAAGAAUCGCAUUAACAACACUAGAACUCGACAAAUCUGAGAAAUAAUUUAGACUUACCCAUGUAGCAUAUCCUGAGCAAGCUUCCAUAGUUCAUCACUGUUCUAAAAAUCUCCGCCUAACAUCGCCUAGACUUUGCCUAGGCGUUAAGUAGUUGGCCACUGUCCCGAUUAAUCCUUAGGUGUUUGAAAAUUAAGAAAGUGCACAUAGACCUACUUAGGCACCCACCUAGACCACGUAGGCGCUCGCCUAGCCUGUCCAGAAUCGCCUAGGUUGCGACUCUCACAUAGACAGAAAAUAGAUAACUUUCAUUUUGCUUUUAUUGUUUUAAGUAAAUGUUUUUAAUGAACACACAUUAUUGUUGCCGUGAGUAGUAUUAAAAAGGGCAUGUAAUUAUAUUGUAAAUAUUAGAAUCCUUUAUUAGGAAGGUUAGUUGUGUGUCUUUUUGUGUUUUCCUUAUAAAACAAGGAUUGUAUCUUGUAUAUAUAGUCUAUUUUGCAAUACAAUGAAAAUUAAGCCGUAAAAUUCAAUUUGGCAUCAGAGCCAAGCGUAACCCUAAAGUUCCCACCGUGCCGCUGCUACCGUAAAACCAGAAGAAAAAAAAUCUCUGCAAAUCUGUGAUCUCUGCUGCAACUUUGUAGCGAGUCAAGAUUGCCCGUGUGUGUAUUGUUGCUAUCGUGGGAAACAAGAAUCACAGCAGGUUUAGUUUUUUUGUCGCUGCCUACCUGCAUCAAGACCAGUUAUCGUGUAGUGUGUGUGCGCGCGUCGUGCAGUGUGCUUGUCGUGCAGUGUGUGUUUGUUCUGCAAUUGCUGGGAUAUAUGUCGUGUAAGAGCUACAGACAUGGAAGCUUUCUACUGCUGUCGUGAGUAAGUCAAACUGUGCAGCCGUGUGGUUUUUUGCUGCGAUUUCCUCUGCAGAAAAAAAAGGCUGAUGUGGUGUGGUGUUAUGAUUGUCGUGUAUUACUGUCUCGUGAGUUAUUAUAAUGACGAAUGCAGGUUGGAUUCUAGACUCGGGUGCAACCGAUCAUAUGACUUUUGAUAAGAAUUUAUUUACUAGUAUGACAACCAGUUCAUGAAAGUGUAUUGCAACUGCUACCGGAACAAUAACACCAGUUUUGGGGGCCGGCACUGUGAACCUCACGCUAGCCCUUCCCCUCCAUCACUGCCUACUUGUUCCCUCAUUGUCUCAUAAUUUGUUAUCUAUUCCUCAAGUUACUGAGCAAUUAGACUGUGUUGUACAUAUGUAUCCACUGUUUUGUUUGCUUUAGGAUAUUCAGACCAAGGAGAUAAUUGGGCAUGACACUAAGAGAGAGGGGUUAUAUUAUGUGGAGGACGUCGUUCCUGGCAGAGCUAAUGCAGUUUGAGCAUCCCGUACCAGUAAUUUACAUGAAGUUUGGUUAUUGCAUCGUCGGUUAGGACAUGCUUCGUUUGGGUAUUUAAGGCGUAUGUUGCCUAGUUUAUUUCAUGAAAUAAAAGAAUCAGACUUACAUUGUGAGGUAUGUAUUCUCGCGAAAAGUCAUCGCAUUUCGUUUCCUCCUAGUAUGAAUAAAAGAUUGUUUCCUUUUGAACUUGUGCACUCUGAUGUCUGGGGUCCCUCUCGUGUUAGUACUUUGUCUGGAAUUAAAUGGUUUGUUACCUUCGUUGAUGAUUGCACUCGUGUGACUUGGAUUUAUGUGAUGAAGAAUAAAAGUGAUGUGGGUAUGGUGUUUCGAUCAUUCUCUCAAAUGGUUGCAACACAAUAUUCCUCUGUUAUUAAGGUUUUCCGCUCUGAUAAUGGAGGUGAGUAUAUUGGUUCCGAGUUGUCCGGCUUUCUUCGGGAUCAAGGAAUUCUACAUGAGACUACUUGCCCUCAUACCCUACAACAAAAUGGGGUUGCUGAAAGAAAGAACCGUCAUAUCUUGGAAAUUGCUCGUGCCUUGCUCAUUGGUGCAUCUGUACCUAAACAGUUCUGGCCUGAAGUUGUCACCUAUGCCGUGUUUGUGAUUAACCGUAUGCCAUCCCGGGUUGUGGAUUUUCGUACACCUCUCCAAGUAUUGACAGAAUUUGUUCCAGUAGUGUCAACUAAUACUCUUUCUCCUCAUGUAUUUGGGUGUGUAGCCUAUGUUCAUAUUCAUAAGAUUCAUCGUAGUAAGCUCGAUGUUUUUCUGGGAUUUGCUCCUCAACAGAAAGGGUAUAAGUGCUACCACCCUGAAACUCGUCAUAUAUAUGUAACUAUGGAUGUUACCUUUUCCGAAUUUGAGUUCUUUUAUGCUUCGACUCCAUCACCUUCCGAUCACCCGGGGGAGAAUAUGAGUGGUGAUCUUGGGUGGUUGGAAAUAUGUAGCUCAGGGGGAGUAUUUAUUGACAAAAAAAACUAUGAAAGCUCUCGGCAAGACACUAUCGAGAAUGAAGACAGUGAAUUUCGACAAGACACUGCCGAGAAUGUGAGUAUCAUUCAGCCAAGUAGCACCGAACCAGUUGAGUCUUCUCGGCAAUGUGCUACAGAGUGUGAUGGAGAGUGUCAGUAGGAAGCUGCCGAACCAGUUUCACUGCUCCAGCAACCAUUAGCUACCGAACCCCCAACCCCCUCUCUCUCAAGCUCAAUAGUGCCACCCAAUAUGUCUUCUUUAAAUAUUCCUGAGGUAAGUACUACUAAUACUUAUGUAACUAAUCCAGAUAAUGUUAUGAGUACAUAUAAGUUGCCUCCAAGGAAAAAUUGUGGUGUUCCUCCUGACAGGUUUUCUCCUGAAGGAAAAGUGAAGUAUCCAAUAGCUAAUUAUGUGUCAUGCUCAAACCUUGCACCAGAACGUCAAGCCUGGGUAUAUAAGGUGGAAGCAAUCAAAGCACCAACCCGAGUUGAGGAAGCCUUGAAGGAUCCUAAAUGGGCUGCUGCGAUGGAUGAGGAAAUGAUGGCACUAUAUAAGAAUGAUACAUGGGAGGUAACGGAGCUACCUAAAGGAAAGAAACCAGUUGGGUGUAGAUGGGUCUUUACGAUCAAAUACAAGGCAGACGGAUCGGUAGACAGGUAUAAAGCAAGGUUAGUAGCAAAAGGUUAUACUCAAACUUAUGGUGUUGAUUAUCAGGGGAUUUUUUCUCCAGUAGCGAAGAUGAAUACAGUACGAGUUCUGUCUUUAGCUGCAAAUUUGAAUUGGCCACUAAAACAGUUUGAUGUAAAAAAUGCUUUUCUUCAUGGGCACUUGGAAGAAUAGGUAUAUAUGGAUUUUCCUCCAGGGUACUAUGCCGAAGGGAAAACCGGAGUAUGUAGGUUGCGAAAAUUACUCUGUAGACUUAAGCAAUCGCCUUGUGCGUGGUUUGGUAGAUUUACCCAAGUUAUGAGGCAGAUUGGGUAUUAUCAAAGUCACUCGGAUCAUACACUAUUUGUGAAACGGAGAAGUGGUAAAGUGACAGCCUUAAUUAUUUAUGUAGAUGAUAUGAUAAUAACAGGUGAUGAUUCAGAUGAAAUGGUCAAACUGGAGAAGGAUCUUUCUGCCGAGUUUGAGAUGAAGAGUUUAGGUGACUUGAAAUAUUUCCUUAGUUGCUCGUUCGUCCAGAGGUAUUUUCUUGUCUCAACGGAAAUAUGUUCUGGAUUUAUUGAAGGAAAUAGGGAUGCUUGGGUGUAAACCCGUGGAUACUCCCUUUGUGGAGAAACAUUACUUGGGAAUUUAUCCGGAUCAAGAACCAGUGGAUAAAGGCAGAUAUCAGAGACUGGUAGGAAGACUAAUUUACUUAGCACAUACCUGUCCGGAUAUAGCCUAUGCAGUAAGUGUGGUGAGUCAAUUUAUGCAUUCACCAAGUGUGGAUCAUAUGGCAGUUGUUAUGCGGAUUUUAGCUUAUUUGAAGUCGGCUCCAGGAAAAGGAAUUCUGUAUAAAAAUUCUGGUCAUCUGAGGAUUGAAGGAUUUACUGAUGUUGAUUGGGCAGGUGAUGUAACUGAUAGACAAUCUACUUCUUGAUAUUUUACGUUUGUUGGUGGAAAUCUGGUUACUUGGAGGAGCAAAAAGCAAAACGUGGUGUCAAGAUCGUCAGCUGAGUCCGAAUUCAGAGGAAUGGCACAUGGAAUAUGUGAAGUCCUUUGGUUACGUAAGUUACUUGAUGGUCUAGGUUUCAAAGUAAAGGAGGCGACAAGUUUGUAUUGUGAUAAUAAAUCUGCACGGGAGAUUGCAGAGAACCCGGUACAACAUGACAAAACAAAGCAUGUGGAGGUUAAUCGUCAUUUCAUUAAGGAGAAGCUGGAGAAAACAUUGUUUCAAUACCAUUUGUGAACUCGGAAGAGCAACUUGCGGAUAUCCUCACUCAUGCUGUUUGUAGUAGAUCUUUUGGUGACUCACUUGUUAAGUUGGGCAUGUAUGAUAUCUAUGCUCCAACUUGAGGAGGAGUGUUGCCGUGAGUAGUAUUAAAAAAGGACAUGUAAUUAUAUUGUAAAUAUUAGAAUCCUUUAUUAGGAAGGUUAGUUGUGUGUCUUUUUGUGUUUUCCUUAUAGAACAAUGAUUGUAUCUUGUAUAUAUAGUCUAUUUUGCAAUACAAUGAAAAUGAAGCCAUAAAAUUCAAUUAUUAUAUGGUUGUUCCCCAUAUUUUCAUGAAAUUAUGUAUUUUUAAGUAUAAGCAAACAUUUCAUUUAUACGAUAUAUAAUAAAUUUAUUUACAUCCACUUAGGUCUUGCCGCCACCUAAGCGCCAAGCCCCCAUCUGUCGUCAAACUAGUGCCUAGCGUACUUAAUAAACUUUCACUUUAUUGCUACAUUAAAGCUAAAGAAAUUUUUGGAACCACAAAUUUGGCUCAGUAAAACUUUAAAAUCCAGGCAGAGACCAAUAUCAGAGAUCCAAUUAUUUGAAAAGAGAUAUAGGCUUGUAGCUGAAAAAAAGGUUCUAAAUACUUGGGUUGAGAUCCUUUUCGAAUUCGUCUGUACCCUUUAAUCUUAGCCAUUCACAUAGAUAAUGUGGCCAGGAAUUUGUUUUAAUAUUUUUUUAGGGUGUGGCCUUUACACACUUAUUUUAAUUCACUCACACACUAAACUAUUAUUAAACAAUCAAAAAAUACAUGAGAGGUAAAAGUGGGUGGUAAAAAUCACCAAUUUUUUUAAGUUUUCCAUGCAAAACGAGGGACCCCUUAGUCUAUUUUCUGACAUCAGAAUGAACUAGCGCCUUCUUUUGGCCCAUGCAUUUCUCUUCAUCUUUCACUCUUUGGGGCAAGAAUUUUUCUAUGUACCCAAAGAAUGAGCUGAUAUACAAUGUGUUAUAAACAUAGUGGAGGGACACUAAAAAGUAUAUUCAUCCCUGUAUCAUGACAUAUAGUAUACCAACUCAUGUUCCGGACACACUAAAAAAUCUCUCUUUUUGUGCAAUGUGCAAAGACAACUUUGCUUCCAUUAAAUUAAAGGGUUAAUUGCAUUUUACACCACAAGGUUUGUAGUCAUUUGCAAAAUGAGUCACGAGAUUUCAAUCAUCGCAUAUUACACCAUGUGGUUACUGAAUUAGAUCAAUUUAACCUCUUCGUCAAUUUCAUCAUCUAAUUGGAUAUUUAAUGUUGAUGUGUGAUAGUAUGGGCUCGCCUUUGAAGCACAUGUUGACCAUCAAUUUCAUCGUUUAGUACUUUACUCUUUUAAUCUUGUAUGAAAAUGAAGGUCAACAUGUGGAGCGUCAGCAUUUGGAUUUGUUGUAUUGAAUGGAGAGUCGCAUGUAAUAACCCUUUUGAAGGCAGCUAAAACAGCAGAAAUCCGAAGGUCGCAACUGCAUAAGAGAGCGGGAACACCCUACAUCCAAAUCUACCAUCCUAAGAAGAAGACAUGGAGAUCUCUCAUAACAAAGUCACCUUUCCAUUACAGCUUGGAUUUCAAUACUGCAGCAAUGAGCACCAUUCGCUUGUGAAUCUUGAUUCUUAUUGCUUGUACUUGUGUUGUAUUGAUAAUUGUACCGAUUGAUGUGCAGCGCUGUCUAUAUUGGUUCAUCGGGGUCAUUGCUGCUAGCAUAUUUGUAUAGUCUUGAAUGUACAGCUAGCAGACCGAUACAAAUACCUCACCUGUUAGUAAAGCGGUAAUUAGAUAAGGUUGAAUACAUUUGAGUUUCAUAUAUUGUAUCAGUUCUUUUUCCAGAGAACAGAUAAGUAUGUGUGUGUGUGUGUGUGUGUGUGUGUGUGUGUGUGUGUGUGUGUAAUUAAGUCCUGUUGAAUACCUUUGUUGCUUGUGCACCAAUCAAUCUUUCCCCUUUUCGUGUUACAUCUAUAGUUGAUCUGUUUAUUAUGAUUUCCAAGUCCGGUUUCUGGGUUUGUAGCUUCAUCGAGUAUUUACUCCUCCGUACUUGAUACUUUACAACCAAGGACAGAAUCAGACUCUCAUUUUCCCCUCCCUUUUGAUAAGAGUAAGUAAAACGGUUUGUGUUAGAAACUCUAGCCGUUUUCCCAUCAAAUGAAGUCUUUUUGGAAAUUUCAACCAAAAAAAAAAAAAAAAAAAAAGAAUGUCGUGUAAUAAGUGAAGUCUUUUCAGAAGUUCCGACCAACUAAAAGAAAGGUGUAAAAGAGAUGCGCGGGCAAAACUUGAGACUAAAAUGCAGAAAAUCCAAGUAAAGAAACGUUUCCACCAAUUUUGAUGAGUUCCCCAAUUUUGUAAUACAUGACGAAGCGACUAGUGCGGCUAAAGAAGAACCGACUGGCCGUGAAGAAUGGGGCAUAAGUCCAAACUCAAACCAGAUACAGCGUUAAACCUCAACAUGUAUCGCAAGUUUCACUUUUAUACAUCUAUGGCUUCAAACUUGAGAUAUAGUAAAUUCAAGUCCUAACAUACAAUCACCAAGUCAACCCAAAAUAUUUUAUUAACAUUUCGGUCAAACGUUCGGGAGAAAAAGGAGAGAAUCUGCUUUCUUGCCGGAGAUACAUUCCUUUGUAUUAGUCGCACUCAUCAUGUAACAUGUAGACAUAAAAAGAUAUAUCUCUACAACACUCAUCACGUGACCUGUAAACAUAAGGAGAUAUCUAUGUUGUAGGUCUCGAAGUGAAGGCAUUGCAAGGUCCAUAGUAAGUGCAAAGAAGCAUACAUUGUGGGUCUGAUUUUGAUUUCUUUGUGCCCCAAAGUGCAUGCCAAUAAUAUAAUGAAAAAUUAUUUGCAAGACUUGUGCUAAUACAUGUAAGGAGAGAUUCCUACUUAAGAAAUUUGAAAAUUUUGCUUUGAAUACUACUAUCAUAGAUCAAACUCAUUUCUUCUGUUCUGACUCCUGAUCCAUUUAAAUUUUAAUGCUUUCCACAAUAGAAAAAGAGCACAUUCGUGCAUAUAAAUACCCAUAUAUCUAACCCUCCACAUAACACAUCCUUCAUAUUUUUAAGCUAGCUAUCUUUGUUUAAUAUCUAUAAGUAUAAGAUCAAUAGAUCACUAUGAGGUUUCUUAAUGUUAUAUUCACAGUUACAACAGUUGUAUUUCUCAUGAGCAUGAACUUGCAUGAGGCUAGUGCGGGCAGCGUGCUGCCUGAUGUGAACGGAAACUCAGUAAGGAUGAUGACGACGAUGAGCAAAGACAUCAUGCUGAUGGAGUCGAAGCAGAGGGCCGACCAUCCUCCUCCCGGUGGAUCUAAUCCGAAGGUCCCUGCUAUGUCGAAUGAUCUUGAUGGUGCAACGAUCAACCAGAGGAACUUUGCAGGCCACACAACUACUCCGCCUUCUCCACAUGAUGCAUACCCUCAUAAUGCCGUGGCUAGAUCACCACUCGGCGUGGCUACAGAUCAUAAAUCAUUUAGUUGAUUCACAAUAUCUACAGAAAUCCCAUCCUAAUAAGAUACAUCAAAUGUGAUAGAAAAUAAACGAAUAAGUAGAGGGGAAAAACCUAGUUUAAUUUUCACAUUUGUUUUCAUUAUACCUUUCCUUUAUCUGUGUUUCUUCUUGAAUAAAAAAAAUAGACGAAUUCUCAUACAACUAUCUUAUUUCUUCUUUAUGCAGUAUGAGUGUCGAGACUAUAUGAUAAAAAAAAAUUUGGUGGGAAUAAGACAUUUUAUUCAAACACCAUGAGAUGGUCCAAUUAACAGUUUAAAAUACUCCAUUUGAAAGUUAACAUAAGCGUUCGGAACAAAAGCAUUUUCAAAAGAUUCACUGCCCGAGCACUAUCAUGGGGCAAAACAAAGAAAUAAACAAAAACACAUACAAGUGUUUACAAUCAUAUCGUGGAAAUGUCAAGUUACACUUGAUACACUGCUGCAGUGAGCCUCGGUAAAAAACCACCACAUGAGACAAAUACACCUAUCCAUCUUUAGACUCAUCCAGUUAGGAAAAUACAGGUAUCUAUCUUUACACAUGAGACGAGAAACAAGUAUAGCGCAAGCUUUAGACUCAUCCAGACUAGGAAAAGGAACCUGAGACCUCUUCAAUCCUAUCUAUCUACCAGUGUAGCUUCUUGAACGAUCAUAAAACAUGUAAUGCUUUGCCGACCUCUCAUCUGCAUCCCACUGAAAUCCGAUGGAGUCCACCAUCACAACCAUUUUAACUUUCCCGCGUCCGCCUUAGGCAACUAACGAGAUUCAUAACACUCAUUUAAUGUUUACUGUGAAAAGGCAAAUGUUCGUCCAAGUAUAGAAUUGUUCGUGACAACCCAAAAUAACCUUGGUGCAACAACAUUCCGGUUAUAUACAUGAUCUGGGUGGAGCAGAAGGCAGUGAUCAAACCUAUACAAUUCAGAAGAUACUUAAGGCUAGCUAGGAAUUUGGGUUUUAAAUUUUUUCAGGUAAAUUAUUAAGAAGUCAAAUUAAAUACUCUUCCUUGAUCAAGUAACCUUUGCUUCAAAUUUUCAAUUACCAUGUUAUGUGUCGUCCGAUUAAUGUUUUUUUGAGAGACUUUAGGCAACGAAAUAUUUUUUUACGGGCAAAGUAACCUUAGUUGGGCAAAGGUUGCGCACCAAGGGGGAAAAUUGGCACAUAUUAUGCCACAUUUUGCGCGACGAAAAUUUGUUUGUUGGCAAACAUAUUCUCAUCUUCAAUUCCUUCGAUGAAUUUCGCAGUUUGCAAAAUUGACUUCAACAAUUCAACCAUCAAUGUAGUUGGUAGGUCUAUACUCAUGAGAUAUCAUAUGCCAACAUCAGCCAAAUGCAAGUUUCCGGGAUUAGGUUAGGAAACGAAAAACGUAUUGUAACACCCCACCCCCAUUUUAUUUAAAAAUGGUUUUUAAUUCUUAAUUGGUGUGCCCAAGGGGCCCACCUUCUGUUUUUGUGUCCCCCAUUCCCGUCACUCUUCCAUCUCUCUCAGCCCUCUUCGUUCUCUCACUCUCCCUCUCUCUCUCGACCUCACUCUUCCAUCCUCAUCGUCAAACCCACACACACACCCACCACCACAACCACCUAGCUACGACACCACCAUCACCUCUGGAACUUUCUUCUCUCUCUCCCCCGUCUCGGCGAAGCUCCAGGACACCCAGAGAACACCCAAGUCUCCCCCGACGACUCUGGCUACUUUCGAGGCAAUUUCCGCCAAACCACGGUGAGUUGGCCAGUGUACAAGGUAUCAAUCUUUUCGUCUCGUUGAGUACUACAACUUUCCUUUUUGUUUCACCCAAUUUCGUUGAGUAUUGAAGAAGUUAUACUCAUUUGAAUCUUACCUAGUUUCUGGCAACCUCCGCGGCGUUCGAGGCGUUUUCCAGCCAAACCACUGCGAGUUAGAUGUCUUGCGAGGUACCAUUAUCUUCGUCUCUUCGAUAACUACAACUUUUGUUUUUGUCUCACUUGAUUUCGUUGAGUUUUGACAAAGUUAUGGCCAUUUAAAGUUUGUGUAAAUUCUGGCCGAAUCCGGCCUUCUAUUUCGAAUGGGUCCGGCGACCCACAUUCUAGAAAACCCAAGCCUUUUAGGCCAUUUAGAACUGGGGCUUUAGGCCCGUUAGAUCUGAGCCCAACCUAAACCCAUUUUCCUUUUAUUUUGUUUUAAUUUUAAUUGUUUAAUUAUAAAGGCCUUUGGGCCAUGUUUAAAUUAGGGCCUUCGGCCCGUUCCCUUGUUGAACCCAGAAACCCUUAGGCUAAAAGCCUUUGGGCCUUUUGAACCAGGGCUUUAAGCCAUUUCCUCUUUAAGCCCUAAAACCUAGGGCCCUAACCCAAUAACCCUUUUAGUUAAAAAACUUAAGCCCAAACUACCUAAACCUAAACCUAACCCAAGUCCUAACCUUAAACCCUAGUCUGCCCAAAACCCUUUAUGGAGAAUAUUCCGUUAGGGAAUAUUCUAUUAGGGAAUAUUCUAUUGACGUUUAAGAAAUUUAUCCGGGACCCUUCUUAAGGUAAUUCAACGUCCUAAACCCGUUUCCGACGUCCGUUUUCCCAAAUUCAAUUGUUAUAAUAGGGUUUUAUUAAUUGGACCCCUUAUGUGCUUAGGGGCAAUUAUUGUGGCGUUUCCAUCUUCGCUAGUUUGCGUGGCUCUUCAGCGAUGAAGUAUCUGUGAGUGGACCCUUUCUAAAAAUGCAUGUUUUAAUAAUAGAAAUGCAUACAUGGAAAAGCAUGAUUUAACAAUUAUGUUCUAUGAGACGCUUCGAGAUAACAUGCUUAUUGAGGUUAGUUUGAAUUAUUACUAUUUUUCCUAUAACUUAUGUUCUUAUAGAGUAUUCGAUGGAUGAUGAUAUGAUAUUUAGAACAUGUUUCGAACACCUCUUUAUAGUAUAGAUGAUGGAUGACUUUAUACUAUGAAGUUGUUUUUUAAUAUAUAUAUGUUUAAUGGUUUUGUACUUACCUAGUGGUCAUUUCCGCUACGAGACAUAGGGAUAGAUUCCGGUCCGUCUCGGGCGAUGGUUUAGUGUUGGCAUAGGGCCUGGAGUGUGUUUCCUCUGGCUAUUAGCACAGAGACGGGGAGCCAGCAUGGGGCCUGAAUUGUAUUUUCCUUUGACUAUCUGCUUAGAGACGGGGAGCCAGCAUAGGGCAUGGGGGUUAUCGGAUAAUUCACUAGUGAUUAUUAUAUAUACAAGUUAUGAUUUGAAACAUUGCACGGCAUGCUAGGUUUCAGAAAACCAAUGUUUAUCAUGAUAUAUGUGUUUUCAUAAAACCUGGGGGUUAGUACGUUGAUAACUGUUUUACUAUUUAUAUAUCAAAUUGGUCCACUCAUGUUUGUUUUGCACCCCCUUCAGGACUUAGAAUUGAGGCAUACAAUCCCAGCAUCCAGGCACUUCCGCAUCGGUAUCUUCGAGUCCUUUCGAUGUAAGAUCCACUCUUGUGUUCAUUCAAUUUUUAUAUUAAUUCUUUUAGUGUUCUAGAUUAGAUGUGUGCUCUGAACACGUUCCUUAAAUGUAUAUUCCUUAUUAUUUUGCAUUUAUAAGUAUUAUCUAUCCCUUGUUUUUAGCAUUUGCACUCAAUAAAUGGCUUUCGUCACCCUCGGAUGUCGGCCAGCACGUGCAUAUCCUGGUAUUCGGGGAAUAUCGGGGUUGGUGUGUGUCACGUAUCAUUAUGAUUUAACGGUUAUUUUGGCUCUGAUUUUGAUGAUUGUUACAACUACCAGCCAGGAAGUAGGUUAAAGUGCAGAGAGUCUACAGAGGCUUGGCCUCGAAUCGGAUCAACCGCGUAAUGCAAAACAAGAUCGUGAUUGUUUACGACUCAUGACAUUGUCGAGCGGGCCUCAAAGUCAAUAACCAGUUGACUCACAACAUUAGAGUCAUCCUCCACUCCAAGCGCCCUAUAGUGGGCGCUUCAUGGAAUAAACUUCGCUCCUAGGUGUAGAAGGAGAUGAUGAGACAGAUCUCGGUAUGUGUGGAUUUUUUUUACUUUAUUAAUUUUACUUAUUCAAUGUAUUUUUUAAAUUAAUACACUUUUUUUUUCUAUUUCAUGUCAACUUCACCAUCAACAUGGAGUACCCGAUAUGUUUGAGUACUUAAACCGAGUGUGGACUGAACGAUACAAGGAGUGGAAAUACAAGUUACAUGUGUACUACAACACUUGUGCAUCUCUUAUUGAACCUCCUACCUCCAUUCUCGAGGUUUGCGGAGAGGUUAGCUGAGUAAUUAAGAAUUUAUAUAAUUAAGAAUUUAAAAAAAAAAUUAUUUCUAAUUUUCUGUUUUUUCAAAUUUAAUUUAUUUUUUAUUUAAUUUAUUUUUUAAAUUCACAUUGGAAAUCGGCGACAAAUAAGUCUAACCGAGAAGUGAAGCAGUACUUUUAUCACUCUGGUGCUCGAGCCCUCACUUUCUGGGUUGAGGAACAGCAAGAGAAGGGUUCGUGUUUUCCAGAAGUUUAGGCUUGGGGAAAAUGCAUGCCAAUUAUGGAAACCAAGUGACUCACAACAUUUAUGCAAGUAUUCCAUUCAAAAUUUUAAUUUCAACAUUCAUUACACUUAAAAUUUUUAAAUUCAUGAUCAAUAGUCUUAGUUUAUGCUUUUUUUUUGUAGGCUUCUAUGUCGUAGAAGAAGGAUAAGUAUCUCACCAACCUCUCGUAACAACAACCAGAUGAGUUGACACCUGAUCAAAAGGUGUCUAUAUAGUUGCUGAUGAACAAAGUUAGGCAACAGAAAGGCAAAGAGAUACGUGGGCUAGGAGUGGGUUGAGUUCAAGACCUUCAGGGGUCGAUCUUCUACAUCUAGGUCUCGGACCCCAUACAAGACAUCUUCCAGACUACAACAUAUAAAGAUGGAGUUAGUGGCCCUGUGCCAGCUAGGAAAGAAGAAUGAUAGCAAAAAGAAGUUGUGCAUUUGCAGGAAGAAGCUCGGGAAGAAACGGCACGCCAUCGAGGGGAAGAGUUUCGGCGAUACAUUGUGAGGAUGUCCUAGGCAAUGACAGCCCUUUACAUUCGCCUCCCCAAUCCUCCGAGCGACCUUCAGGCGCCAUCCCCACCAGCCAAUAUAAUUAAACUAAUUAAUUAUACCAAGACAAGCCCUAUGCGACUCAGCAUUUGGAUUUGUUGUAUUGGAUGGAGAGUUGCAUAUAAUAACCCUUUUGAAGGUAGUUGAAUUAGCAAAAAACCACAAGUCUCGACUGCAUAAGAGAGCAGAAACACUUCACAUCCAAAUCUACUAUCCAGAAAAGAAGACAUGGAGAUCUCUCAUAACAAAGUCACAUUUCCAUUACAACUUGGAUUUUAAUACUACAGUUAUGAGCACCAUUCGCUUAUGAAUCUUGAUUCUUAUUGCUUGUACUUGUGUUGAUUGAUAAACUCCCACUGACACUAGUACAAAAAUAUGUUUGCGCGACAUCAACUUGCACAACGAAACAAAUUUCGUCAUGCAAAGUAUGUUUGCGCAACGUAAAACACAAAACGUCGCCCAAACAGCCUUUGCGCAACGACACUUUGCACGACGAAGGCUAGCGUCGCGCAAAACAGCUUUGCUCGACGCUAGCCUUCGUCCCACAAAGUGCCGUUAUGCAAAGGCUGUUUGCAUGACGUUUUGUACGUCGCGCAAGAUUUUAACUCCAAACCAAGAAUGCUUUACCCUUUUUUCCCAACUUUGCGUGACGAAGGUGUGCAUUCGUCAUGCAAAACAGCUUUGCGUGAUGAAGACUACCGUCGCGCAAAGUUGUUUUGCACGACGAAUGUACACCUUCGUCGCGCAAAGUCAAUGACUUUGUGGUAUAACAUAAGAUUUUGUGGUAUCCACUUGUGUAAAUAUUUUAAAUUGACGAUCGAAUUAGUUCAUUGUAUUCAUAUAAGAUCAAGGAGUGUAGCUGUAAAAAAAUCAUCAAAAUCGGAGUUAAAACUACCGUUAAAUCAUGAUUUUUUGUUUAUAACAGUUGAAAAGGUUUGUCCCGUUACUUGAUAUCUAAAUGUUUGUUUUUUGCGAUUUUUAGCGUAUGCGAUCUCGAAGCAUUUACAAACAAUUUUUGAUGGUUCGAUCGUUUGAACUAGUUUCGUAGAAAACGUAUCCCAUCAAAACAAUAGAUUCACUAACACUUGGAGUUUAUUUAUACUUUCAUUAAGUAUAACAUAAAGAUUUUUUGGUAUCCAUUAGUGUAAAUAUUUUAAAUUGAAGAUCGAAUUAAUUCAUUGUAUUCAUAUAGGGUCAAGGAGUGUAACUAUAAAAAAUCAUCAAAAUCAGAGUUAAAACUACCUUUAAAUCGUGAUUUUUUGUUUAUAACUGUGGAAAAGUUUUGCCUGUUACUUGAUCUCUGAAUUUUUAUUUUUUGUGAUUUUUGGCUUAUGCGAUCUCAACAGAUAUACAAACAAGUUUGACAGUUGUAUCGUUUAAACUAGCUUCGUAGAAUGCGUAUCUCAUCAAAAUGAUAAUUUCACUAAAACUUGAGUUUAUUUAUACUUUCAUUAAGUAUAACGGAAAGAUUUUGUGGUAUCUACAAGUGUAAAUAUUUUAAAUUGAAGAUCAAAUUCAUUUGUUGUAUUCAUAUAGGGUCAAGAAGUGUAUCUGUAAAAAAAUCAUCAAAAUCAGAGUUAAAAUAACCGUUAAAUCGUGAUUAUUCAUUUAUAACCAUCGAAAAGUUUUGUCCCAUUACUUGAUCUCUAAAUAUUUGUUUUUUGGGAUUUUUUGCGUAUGCAAUCUCGAAAUAUAUACAAACAAGUUUGACGGUUUGAUCGUUGAAACUAAUUUCGUACAAUGUGUUUCCCAUCAAGUUCAAUGGUAUAUAUAUUUACUAAGUAGAUUUUAAUUUAUUUAUUUUGUACUCAUAAGCAAAAGGGAAAAAAAAAGAAAUUUGCACAACGUAGGUGAACCUGUGUCAUGCAAAGUUGUUUUGCACGACGCAGGUGCACCUACGUCGCGCAAAGUUUUUUUUUUUGUUUUUUUUGUUUUUGGCCUUUUGCUUUUCUUUUGGGGUUCUUACAUUUCCUUUUUCUUUUGUGGUAUUCACAUGUGUAAAUGUUUUAAAUUGACAAUCGAAUUAGUUCAUUGUAUUCAAAUAGGGUUAAAAAGUAUAACUGUAUAAAAUCAUUAAUAUCGGAGUAAAAUAACCGUUAAAUCUUGAUUUUUGGUUUAUAACCGUCGAAAAGUUUUGUCCUAUUACUUGAUCUCUGAAUGUUUGUUUUUUGCAAUUUUUAGCGCAUGCGAUCUCGAAAUAUAUACAAACUAGGGGUGGGUUGGAAAAACCGAAAACUGAAAAAAACCGGACCGAAAACCGAACCGAGGCCGAAAAAACCGAACCGAAAAAAAAAUUGAACCGAAUCUGGUUGGUUCGAUUUCGGUUUCUGGGGUUCGAAAACUGAACCGAACCGAACAUCUUCAAAACGACGUCGUUUUAUAAUAUUUUAUUAAUUAAUAACCCUAAGUCUAAAACGGCACCGUUUUAUUCCUAAACUAAAACUGGUUCCCGAAAGUAAACCAACCCUAGCCCUCCUCCUCUCUCGUUCUCUCUCUUGUUUUUCCCAAUCCCCUACCCUCCCCAAAUCGCAGUCGCACUUCGCACUUCGCACUUCGCACGCAGCCUCGCAGCAACCUCCUUCAUAUGUCUCUCUCUCUUAGCAGCAGCCCUCUCUUUGUCUCUCUCAUUCCCCCUUGCAGCAGCCUCACCUCAUAUGUCUCUCUCGCAGCAGCAUCCUCUCUGUCUGUCUUAGAGAUUCGCAGCAGCAUCCUCUCAAUCACAGCAAAAGGUUAGUUUCACUUUUAAUUUUCAAUUCUACUUAUACAGUUUUAGAGAUUUGAUUUGUAUUUUAGUGAAUAUAUUGAUUGAGUUGUAAUAACAGAUUGGGUAUUUUUAUGCUUCAUAAAGUAAUUGAAUUGAGUUCCCACGAUUGAUUGUGCUUCAGAUUGGGUAUUUUUAUGCUUCGGAAUGUCACUGGGGCACAUAGGUCAGAAAUUAAGUGAGCAAACUGUACCGUGUAGGCUUUAUGGUUUUUUUUAACUCAUAAAGUUGCAACUGCUGCAGAGGUAUCAAUUGAGUUCUAAAGUGAGGUAAAUGUGAAUUAAACCAAGGAUUUGAAGGCAACCUAUGAACCCAAGAAAUUAAUUAUUAAUUACUCACAAGAAAAAUAAUAAAGAAAUUAAGAGAAAAGAAGAACAUAUUUGUAUUGCUGAAAAUUUGUAUUUUUUUUUUUUUUGGAGGUGAAUUAAUUUGAUCUAAGACAUGUUAACAUGCACACUAGCAUUCUUGCUUCUUGGAACCCCUGUAGGCUUUAGCUAAAGCUAUAGAUAUAUAACAGACAUAGGUCAGAAAUGAAGUCUAGAAUUCCCAAAACUAACAUUUAGUCAAGGUGUGAAUUUGAGAGCUGGUAUCAACCAGAUUGCGCUUCUAAGCAUUGCUGUUGGCCUCCCGGUUUGUUCUCCCUCUCUCUCUCUCUCUCACACACACACCCACACACACACGUGCGCACAUAGCUGAAGCAUUUUGACUGAGUUUUUAUUAUAUAUAUAUAUAUAUAUAUAUAUAAUGGCUGCAGGUUGUGUAUGUGUGAUUCAGUUUUUAUUAUAUAUAUAUAUAUAUAUAUAUAUAUAUAUCAUGGUUGUAGGUUGUAUAUAUAUAAUGGCUGCAAGUUGUUUAUGUGUGUGUUUGAAACAAUAUCCCUAAUGAAGGGAGUUUGGCUACAGGUUAUAUAUAUUGUGAAGGGAGUUUGAUUCUUGCCUUCCAUAUUUUGUCGUGAUUUUGUAUCAUUGGCCUUUCAUAUUUUAAUUAACAUUUACUUUUGUAUAAGUUUGUAGUACUUACUAUCCUCUUAUUAUUUUGUUUGAAUUAGAUGAAGUCAAAGGUGUCAAAGGUCUCAAGGGCCUCAAGCUCAAGUUCAAACUCAAUGAGAUCAAAAUCAACUAGCCCUCAUCAUCAAACGAACUCAUCUUCGAGUAUACCAUCGGAAGUAAGUACUAAGUAGUCAUAUCUUUCUAUUACCUUAGCCCUUAUGUUUAAUAAUUAAUUCAUUAAUUGUAAUGAUAAGAGUGAGUAACCAACCAUAGCAAAAACCUACCAUACCCAUCUUAUUUGAAUAAUUAAUUGUAUGAUUCUCUUAUUUUAGAUGGACAUUGUUGGUGAAUCAACUCCGCCUCAAAACGCCGUGAUGGCACCUCGACAAACCCCUACUUCUCUUGGUGGAUCCGGAAAUCCCUCCGAUGCAACUCCAAAAGAAGGUGACGCAAGUGACCAAGUAAGUAAAGAAGAAGCUCUUUUGGAAUCAUUAAAAAGUCAUGAAAGGUCUUUAGUUUGGGAGCACUUUGAUAGAAAAAUUGAGGGUGGUAGAGUUAAGGGGUUGUGCAAGUAUUGUGCCCAAUCAUAUAUGGCCGAUCCGGAUAAAAAUUGUACAACUAAUUUAAGAAACCAUUUAGCAAGAUGUAGAAGCUACGGUCCUAAUAAGGAAAUAUUUGCCACAAAUAGGCAAAAUAUCUUAACCUUUGCCAGCACGAAAGAUAAGUUAGAAGCUAUAGGUUUUUCUCAAGAGGAAGUAACUAAGGCUUGUGUUGAGAUGAUAAUUAUAGAUGAGUUGCCUUUUACUUUUGUUGAGGGAGAAGGUUUUCGCCAUUUUUGCAUGCAAGCAUGUCCUAUAUGGAGAGUGCCUAGUCGUAAGACAAUUGCUAAGAAUGUACUUAGCUUGUUUUAUUCCGAAAGGGAUAAAUUGAAGAGUCAAUUGAAGACAUUUAGGGUGUGUCUAACAACGGAUACAUGGACUUCUAUUCAACAAACCAAUUACAUGGUUCUCACCGCCCAUUUUAUUAAUGAUGAUUGGAUAUUACAUAAAAAGAUUUUGAACUUUUGUGUCAUUCCAAAUCAUAAAGGAGAGUCCAUUGCUCAACUUUUGGAGGAAUGUUCAGUGGAGUAGGGUAUAGAGAAAGUGUUAACUAUUACAGUUGACAAUGCUUCCGCAAAUGAUUCCAGUUUAAGGGACUUGGUGCACCGAAUAAGGGGGUGGGGGAUUCCUAAUGCACUCUUGCAUGAUGGAAAAUAUUUGCAUAUGAGGUGUGUUGCUCAUAUCCUCAAUUUGGUUGUGAAUGAUGGCAUAAAAUUGUUGAAUACGGCUAUACAAAGUAUUCGUAAUGCGGUUAGGUAUGUAAGAUCUUCCCCUCCAAGGUUAGAAAGCUUUAAAAGGUGUGUUCAGAAAGUGAGAAUAGAUAGCAAAGGGCUUGUAAUUUUGGAUAUCCCUACUAGAUGGAAUUCCACAUUUUUAAUGUUGGAAUCGGCUUUAAAGUUUAAGAUGGCUUUUGAUAGAUUAAAAGUAGAUGAUGGUCAUUACCUUCCAUACUUUGUUAAAGACAAUCAUGAUAGUACGAGGGAGGGGCCACCUUCGAUGGAUGAUUGGAGUGAGGCGGGGAUAUUUGCAAUCUUUUUUAGACCUUUUUAUGAAGUCACUUUAAAAGUAUGUUGUUCUAAUACUCCAACCGUUCAUACUACUUUUGGUGAUUUGUUUAAGAUCAAAAGUCUCUUGCAUGAAAGGAAAAAUGAUGAACUUUUAUAUGAUCUCCAUGUUGAUGCAAGAAAAAUAUGACAAGUAUUGGGGUUCAAUUGAGGACAUGAAUCAAUAUCUUUUUAUUGCACUUGUGCUUGAUCCUCGCCACAAAUUAGAGAAAGUUGUUGAUUAUUUUGAGAUACAAUUUGGUGAGGAUGAAGAAAAAAUUGAAAGUGCCACAAAUGCGGUGAAGGACUUAUUGAUUGAUCUUUACAAGAUUCAUGAAGAUAUGUCUUUUAGUACACAACAAAAUAUAAGUAGUAGUGGUAGUUCUCAAACAACAAGUGGAGACUCUUCAUCAAGCAUGACCGAAAUAGAAAGAAAGUUGAAAGAAAAAAGUGAAAUGAGAAAAGUAAAGAGAGCUCGGGUUGUGCAUAAUGAUGUCGACAAGUAUCUUUCUGAUCCUAAUGAAGGAGAAGAAGAGGAGAACUUUGAUAAAUUGAAUUGGUGGAGGGUGAAUGGGGUUUCUAAGUACCCUAUUUUGGCACGUGUUGCAAGAGAUAUCUUAGCUAUUUCCGUAUCAACCAUUGCUUCGGAAUCUUCCUUUAGCACAAGUGGACGGAUAAUUGAUCCAUAUCGUAGUUCUUUAAGUCCAAAAAUGGUGGAGGCUUUGAUAUGUACUCAAAAUUGGCUUAGGUCUAUUCACGUUGCAUUACAUCAUGAGCCAACCAUUGAGGAGAUGGAGUUUUGUGAAGAAAUUGAGAAAGGUAAUUUUAUUUAUUGCAUUUGAUUUUGUUAGAUUAUUUUAAAUAACAUUUUAAUUAGUAUCAUUUGUUUUAUUAUUUGUAUGUAGAAAUGGCAAGUGAAAGUUCAAAAAAAGGUGUUAUGUUACCCCCUAGGCCGCCCAACCGUUAGUAAGCAAAUUAGCAUUCAAACUCGAAAUGGUUAAGCGUUGAUCUUAAGAACUUGAAGAAGUAUGUGCAAGGAUGGAACUUUAGAUGUUUAUUGAAUUUAUAAUCUUAGUUGUAAUGUUUAUUUAGGUGUGGAAGACUUCUUGAACUUUGCAAUGUUUAUUUUAGGUGUGGAAAACUUGAACUUUGAUGUGUAUUUUAAGUUUGGACUUUGAUUUGAACUUUGAUGUUUAUUUAACUUGGACUUUGGAAGGCUUGAUUAUAAUUGAACUUUGAAUGGAAUGUUUAUUUUCAUUAUCUUUGUUAGUUUGUUUGAUGAUUCUAUUAGAAAUUUGGAAUGCUUAUGUUGAAAUGAGACUUUGAUUUUAUUUAUACUCCUUUAAAAGAUGUAUUACAAAAUGGCUGCAAGUUGUUUUCUUAGAAACUUUUUUUUUUUUGCUGCUGAAAAAAAAAAAAUCGAACCGGGCUGAAACCGAACCGAACAGUAAUUUCGGUUCGGUUUCCGGUUUUGGCAAAAUACCGAACCGAACGGAACCGAACCCACCCCUAAUACAAACCAGUUUGACGGUUGGAUCGUUGAAACUAAUUUUGUACAAUGCGUUUCCCAUCAAGUUCAAUGGUAUAUAUAUUUACUAAGUAGAUUUUUAUUUAUUUAUUUUGUACUCAUAAGCAAAAAAAAUAAAAAAUAAAAAUAAAAAAAAAAAACUUUGCUCGACGUAAGUCUUUGUCGCACAAAGAUGUUUUGCGCGGCACAUGUGUACCUACGGCGUGCAAAGUUUUUUUUUCCUUUUACUUUUCUUUUGGGGUUCUUGCAUUGCAUUUUUCUUUUGUGGUAUCCACUUGUGUGAAUGUUUGUUCUUGCAUCAAAAUCGGAGUUAAUAUAACCGUUAAAUCGUGAUUAUUCGUUUAUAACCAUCUAAAAGGUUUGUCCCGUUAUUUGAUAUCUGAAUGUUUGUUUUUUGCGAUUUUUGGCGUAUGCAAUCUUGAAGCAUAUACAAACAAGUUUGAUGGUUGGAUCGUUGAAACUAGUUUCGUAGAAUGCGUAUCCCAUCAAAACAAUAGAUUCACUAAUACUAAGAGUUUAUUUAUACUUUCACUCAGUAUAACAUAAGAUUUUGUGAUAUCCACUAGCGUAAAUAUUUUAAAUUGACGAUCGAAUUAGUUCAUUGUAUUCAUAUAGGAUGAAGGAGUGUAGUUGUAAAAAAUCAUUAAAAUCAAAGUUAAAACUACCGUUAAAUCAUAAUUUUUCAUUUAUAGCCGUUGAAAAUGUUUGUCCCGUUACUUGAUAUCUGAAUGUUUGUUUUUUGCUAUUUUUGGCGUAUGCGAUCUCGAAGCAUAUACAAACAAGUGUGACAGUUGGAUCGUUGAAAUUAGUUUCGUACAAUGCGUUUCCCAUCAAAACGAUAGAUUCACUAACACUAAGAGUUUAUUUAUACUUUCAUUAAGUAUAACAUAAGAUUUUGUGGUAUCCACUUGUGUAAAUAUUUUAAAUUGACGAUCGAAUUAGUUCAUUGAAUUCAUAUAGGGUUAAAGAGUGUAGCUGUAAAAAAUCAUCAAAAUCGGAGUUAAAAUAACUGUUAAAUCGUAAUUUUUCGUUUAUAACCGUCGAAAAGUUUUGUCCCGUUACUUGAUCUCUGCAUGUUUGUUUUUUGCAAUUUUUCGCGUAUGCGAUCUCGAAGUAUAUAUAAACAAGUUUGACGGUUGGAUAGUUGAAAUUAGUUAUAUAGAAUGCGUAUCCCAUCAAAAACAAUAGAUGCACUAACACUUGGUGUAUAUUUAUACUUUCAUUAAGUAUAACAUAAGAUUUUGUAGUAUCCACUUGUGUAAUUAUUUUAAAUCGACGAUUGAAUUAGUUCAUUGUAUUCAUAUAGGGUCAAGGAGUGUAGCUAUAAAAUAUCAUCAAAAUCAGAGUUAAAAUAACCGUUAAAUUUUGAUUUUUCGUUUAUAAUCGUCGAAAAGUUUUGUCCCGUUACUUAAUCUCUGAAUGUUUGUUUUUUGCGAUUUUUGCUGUAUGCGAUCUCAAAGUAUAUACAAGCAAGUUUGAUGGUUUGAUCGUUGAAACUAGUUUCGUAGAAUGCGUAUCCCAUCAAGUUGAAUGAUGUGUGUGUGUAUAUAUAUAUAUAUAUAUUUAUUUAUUUAUUAAGUAACUUUAAAUUUAUUUAUUUUGUAUUAUAAUAUUUAAGAAAUUGAAUGAAAUGAAUAUUUAUUAAAUAGCUUUAAAUUUAUUAUUGUAGUUCGGAUUGGAUUUUUUGUCAGAAAAAUAUAUUAUUGUGGGUUUUAUGUAAAAAAAUUGAAUUUGAAAGGAAUAAGGUCACAUUUUCAGUAAAUUUUAUAAUAAUAUAUUUUUUUUAAAUAUAACUUAGCGCAACGUCAAGAUGGAUCGUUUGGGCAAACCAACUUUGCGCGACGCCUGAAUGUACACAAAUGUGUUAAAAUUUUUGGCGGUUUAAUUGUAAAAAAUAGGCGCUUUCUUUAAAUUUCCCAAAUUUGGACAAAAUGGAGGUGCAAGCCGUGCAAUUGGAAAACAGUCGGUCUCUCUUCCCUCUCUCUCACUCGGUCUCUCCCUCUGUCGCAGAAUCGAAGAGGCCGAACGAAACCCUAAAAACCAGGUAAGUCGUCCUCUCCUUCCACCUCCCCAAGCUAUCUCGCACGGCCUCUCACCAGUCACCGCUCACCAAGUGGCCAAUCACCAUCUUUUUCCCCUUCCAUUCGCGUCCUCCACCACCAAACUCCCAUUCGCGUCGUCCUCCAUCGGUUUUCUUUCUCUCACCAUCGUCUUCCACCACUAGCUGCUAAGUGCUCACUUCGCCACCCCAAUCUUAAGGUAAGACAAUUUGUUGAAUUUUUUUUUGCAUUUUAUAAAUUAGGGUUUUGGAUUUUGAAUUUGCAGUUAGGGUUUUGCUUGAUACAUGAUGUGAUUCUGUAAUCAAUUAUUCAAAUUCUGUAAAUGGCCGCCAUAUAUAUAGGAUUUUUGUUUUAAAUAAAAUAAUAUUUUUAAAGAACAUUUGAUAGGCAGAACCAGGCUGGCAUCCAUGGAAAAGGGUUUUGCUUUGGUGAAACACUGUGUUUCCUUUAGGAUGAGUUUUGCUUGGUUGCUAAGGUGAAUUUGGCUCUUUUUAAUUUAUUUUUAAUUUUGAGAAAAUAAAAAUUUCACAUCUGAUAUUUGAAGCCUCGCAUCACAAUACACAAAAUCCUGGGUCUCUCUGCCCAUUUCUAUUUGGUUUUGCUUUAUGUCCUAACUUUAAUUUUCACUUUCCUAACUUCGUAUUAGUCAGAUGAAAAACUAAUUAAACUUAUUCCUAUUUUUGAAUUAGAGGAGCAGCUAGAUUUUCCUGUGCUGUAUGCUUCUGCUAAAGAAGGAUGGGCUUCCACCACUUUCACCAAAGAUCCUCCUGCUGAUGCAAGAAACAUGUCACGGCUGCUUGAUGCCAUUAUAAGUCAUGUUCCUCCACCAACAGCCAAUCUUGAUGCAACUUUUCAAAUGCUCCCCUGUAUGCUCUCCUCUUCCCCUUUAAACUGGAAAUAUGCAGGUUGAGUCAAUAUUAAUUAUGAAGUGCUUUCACUUGAGAUUUCCAUGUGCACAUUUCAAAUUCGAUAGAAGCCGUUGUUCUUGAUUCUUCGUAGAGAAUAAAAAAGUUCUAAACAAAGGCUGUGUUCUUACUUUCCUAUAUUUUGUUCACUAUGCACUGCAUCUUUUUGUCUUUUGUGUCAAAUGCAGUUAAGUUUGUGAACGUUUUGGCGUACUUUCAUUUGUAGUAGUCUAUAAUUCUGUGACUGUAAAACCUGUGUCAUCUGCACUGGCCUGGUAAAACAAACUGGCCAAACAAUUUUAUUAUUUUUUUUUUAAAACUCAACGGAUAAAUGACUAAUUUUUGUAUUUUCCUCUCGUUCAUUUUAUUGUUCAUAGUACUGGCAAAAUUAAAAUAGCAUUUAUUGAUGUUUUUGUAAGGUUUCUAUGAUGGAACGAGACUUCUACCUUGGACAAAUAUUGACUGGAUGAGUUUCUUCUGGCACCAUUCGCAUUGGUGACAGAGUUCAUGGGCUUCGUCACAAAGAUUCUGGAGUUGAGAAAAUUGAAGAAGGGAAGGUUUGUGGUUCUAUAUUUGCCUCAUGGUUGUUAAAAAUCAAGAAGUUUUCUUUUGCACUGGACAAUGUUUGAUUCUUUAUGAUAGUGAGAUUUUACCCAUGUUGGGUUAAAGCUCUUGUAGCGCUCACCAAGCUCUUGUAGCGCUCGCCAUCAGUUUAAAUUUGAUUAAUUAGAUUAUUGAGGCUUCUAGCUUUAUUUUCUCUGACUAAGAAUCUGAUAUGAAAAAACAACCUCUGAAGCAUCUUCGUCUCUCAGAGAACAAUGAAAAGUUUGAUAUAUGUGAUCAAGUGCUGCAGCUUUUUACGUUAUUGAAAGGCUCAACUUCAGAUUGAAAUGUUAAAAUAUUAAAAUAUUAAAAUACUAAUUUUUUUUUUUUUUACUUCCAUCUUCUACAGGUUGUGAAGCUGAUGAAAAAGAAGGGAACACAUAUGGUCGUAAUUGAAUGUGCUGGAGCUGGUGACAUAGUGUCAAUGGCGGGGUUAACAAGCCGCCCUUCUAUUGGCCAUACAGUUGCAAGCGUUGAGGUAUAUUAAUGCAAUCUUGGUUUUAGACUUUACUUUUAGUUUGUCCGCAAUUCCUUUUCAUUUUAUUUUUCUCCUAUUUAUUUUAGUAAAUAUGAAUUAUAGCUUCGUUGUAUAUUUUCCUGUAUCCAUUGUACUUCUGUUCCUACCUUGAGAAGGCUCGAUACUGGGGCUCUCACUAAGUUGUCAUCUCCCCUUGUUGUAGGUAGCCUAUAUCCAUUGUGUUUUGUCUGUCAAAUUAGUUGCUUUGAUAACUUUAGCUACUUUUGUCUCAAGAAGAUGGAAAACAUUAUGAUCUGUAUUUCUUAUUUUGCCAUAGUAUUUUAGCAUCAUUCCAGGGAUUUUAACUUUUUAUCCGUUGCUUUUGAGAAACUUUGUAUCUUUUUAUAACAUGUCAUGGUGGUACAUUCUAUGCAAAACGGACUUAUGGUUACAUCUAAUAGACUAUGACUGCAUUGCCCACAGUUGUGUUGGAUCCACCAACUAUUUCCAUGACUUUUGGUGUCAAUGACUCUCCCUUAGCUGGUCGUGACGGUACCCAUGUAAGUCAUAAUUUUUUCCUGUUUGCAAUCAGUUAUUAACUUAUUAUACUGCUCUACAUUUUAUCAUCAAUGUCCGUAUUUUUCACUGAGCUGUUUUCUUGUUAUAGUGGAAAACACAUGCACUUUAUUUCCUCACUUUGGUUUAAAAUCAUUGAUUUAUGAAUUAUCUGUACUUGAUGCACGCCUCGGAUAAAGUGACGGAAAUUAUAUGGACAAUGUAUAUGGGAAGAGUAGAGAUUUGACAGUUUGUAUCAUAAUUCAUUCUUAUCAUCUUUUUGUUUUCCUAAAUUUGACGUGAGUAGGGUUUGAUUUACAUGUCCUAAAUUUAAGUUUUUUUCAGUGUAUGGGGAAGGUGCGGGUUCGUGAGACGGGUGCUUCCUCUCUCAGAUCGACCACAAGACAGGCAAGCCCUGACGGAGGAAGUGGCAACCCUAAAAGGUCAGCUUGCGGCCCAAGAAGCAGCUCGGGAAGCCGAGAUUGCAGCCCAGUUAUUGGCCCAGGACGAUAAGAUGAGUAUGAUCUUACGAGCCUUACAGAUGUCCGGCCUUCAAAUCUCGAUGCUAGCACCUGAUUUUGCUCCACCUUUGACCUCCCAGCCAGUUUGCCCUGCGAUACCCAGUAGCCUGAUGCAUUAAACCGAGACGACUGAUUGUAGUUUUUUCUUUUAUGUUCGGACAUCUUUUAUGUACAUUUUCAUAUAUUUUAUAAAUAAAUGUUUUUUCUUGGUUUAUUAAUUAUUGUUUAUAAUUUAGGCUUAAAUGUCAACAUGGUCUCUGUGUUUUACUUUAUUGGUCAAUUUAGUUCCUAUGUUUUCAAUUUGGCCAAAUUAGUCCUUGUGUUUAUAUCCGUUAGUCAAUUCAAGACAAUCCGUUAAAUGAUUGUUAAAAUUGACACGUGCUAGGCACGUGAGAGGGCAAAAAUGUAAUUUUAUUGUACACCCACUAAACUAAUACAAUGCAUAUCUUUAAGAAUUGAUGCUUUGUUUCACCCAAUUGAAUACUAUGUGAUUUAGGGUUCAUCCAUUAGGUCAGAAUUUGUGGGGUUGUCGAUUGAGAUUUGGGUGACUACUCUAAAGAAGAUGCCAAGUAGACGAAUUGAACCAAACAACCAAGGUGAUGAUCGUCAUCGGCUUUCAUUAUUAUUGGGGUCUAGGGUUUGAUUUGUUGGAUUUGUUGUGUGCUUUUAUAAUCAAUUGAGAUGGCUUGGUAGAUUGGGUAGGAAAAUAAGGAUAUCACUUUACUUGGUUUUUAUUGGUUGCAACUUGUCUUAUGAAACCAUGACUACCAAAGUUAGCUCCUUUGAAUUUAGAUGCUUUUUUCUAAUAACCAUAGCAUUGUGUAAUCGGCAUAUGCCUUUCUUUAAUAAUAAUGCACUAGCCUCUCUGCACGCACUAACGUGCGUGCGAGAGGCAUUUUUGCAUACGCGCCUCUAAAUGUAUAUUGUGUUAGUUUUUUUUCCAUUGUAAUUGUUAAUGUAUAUGCUUUAGAAAGUACAGUACCAAGUAUGGAGGUGAAUGGUGAAAUCUAGAAGAUGGCUGCACAUAAUUGGAAGCAAUAAAUUUGAAGCUGUUUACGUAAAAUUUUUAUCACUUACCAAGUUUAACUGUUAUUUUAAUAUUUUAAUCUAGAAGAUGGCUGCACAUAAUUGUAAUUGUUUUUAUAUUUUUCCCUUGACUAUUAUAGUUGAACUGUUAUUCCAAGUUUACAUAAAAAAUUUAUCACUUACCGUUCCAGACAUAUUUCUUUCCUUUCUUUUUUUUGUUUUUUUUUGUUUUUUUUUUGUUGGGGUACUUGUUAAAAUGUUGGUCACUGUGGUAAAUAUAUACAAUCCGAAUGUUGAAAUUGUUAUAGACAUAACAGAAUUAUUAAGUGGAUGUUUCCAUUGGUAGUACGAAAGGCAAUGACAAUGUAAGAUAACUAUUCAUUCAAUCUUAAUAGAUGUGUCUUAAUAAUUUGUACAAAAAUAUUCAUACAACGUAUGAAUUUACAAAUAUAUAAUUAAUAGAGACAAAAAAAUAAGAAAUCAUAGUUACCCACCGAUGUUGGUCCUAUGUCAUCUUGGUUUACUUCCGUUUGAUUUUGUACUAUAUUUACUGAGUUCAAUCGUGUUUGAUAAUUGGCAUGUCGUCGCAUUAAAAUUUGAGCCCGCUGUGAUGAAUUCAUAGAUUGUCGUCUUUGCCUUUGUUGAUUGCUCCUAUGAUAACUUUGAUUUGACUGUUGAGAAUUUUGAACAUUUGUUUGUCCGAAGUGAAUUUCUUCAUUGUCGACCGACAUUGAGAAAUUGCCAAAAAGAAUGAAUUUUAUUUUAUUUUUGAAAAAGAAGAAAAAAUAGAUCAUCUCUACAGAAGAGGAAUAAUACAGAUAAGGUAAGAACCUCUGACAUAUUGCGUCUAUCAAUUCCCUCCAUAGUUGAUAUGUUGAAGUCCUCUGGAAAUCUUAAAACUGAAAUUUCAAUUUGGAUGAUUCUUAAUAAAGGUAAAAUUGAAGGAAAAUAUGGAAACAUAGCAUUGAAAUUCAACAAUGGAAAAUGAUGCUUACACAAAUUAGAUCAUAGUUAAAAGAUUCAUGAAAUGUACACUAUCGAAUUGACAGAACACAUGGGGAUUUCGAAAAGGAAAAAACAGAAUAACACAAACUAAUAGGACGGAGCCGAACAUAUACCACCAUAACCAAAAUUAAGACAGUAGGCAUUAACCCAUUUGCAGAUCCGAUUGAGCUAAUUUUCCUGAGCUUCAACCACGGACCCAUUCAUGAAUCCCUAAAUUUACCCAAUCUUAACAACUUGAAGAAUUUAGUACAAAAAUUUAACCGAGCAGUAAACUUCGAAAGCAAAAAGAGUUACGAAAACAAAUAGAAAACAGAAUGGUUAACAUACAACAAAAUUUGUUGCCUCUAGAUUUGCAAGGAAGCAAAAUCUUCAGCUGAUGCAAAACCUAUGUCGUUUGGUUAAUCACAAACGUUUCUUUUAUUAGCAAUCAUCACAAACGCCGACAGAAAAAGACAACUAAAGGACAUAUUUCUCACCGCAACAUAUAAAUUGAGAAACAAAAUGGAACAAAUAUAAGUUAGAAAGAGUACAAAGCAAGAAAUAAUGAAGAGAAAUACAUGGAAGGCACUGGAAGAGCAGAAGAAGUAGGAUUGCAGUGGCACCACCCACCCUCUCUCGCUCGCCGAUUCCUAUUCGGUUUAGUGUGCUCUAAUAAGCCCAGAAAUCUCAACACUCAGACAGAGACAAAUUGUAGAAACAUAUAAGAAAGCAAAUAUAGGAUCCCCAACAUCUUACAUGGAACUUGGUAGUAUCAAUGGGUGGACUUCUUCUUAUCUGCAUAAUUUUCGUAAAAAAAUAAUCAAAUUACUUAAACUGAAACGAUAAAGAACAACUUUGAAACCAAAACGUACGGAUGAUUUCUUGCCGCUAGAUUUCCAAGGAAGCAAAAUCUUCAAACUGUCCUGGAUAUAUAAAAAAAAUAAAAAGAAGAAGAAGUGGAGUGGUUGUGUGCAGAGAGACGAAGAGGGUUAAAACUGAUCCCAAUCAGAACAACCUGUAUGGGAAAAGAAGCAAACAGAGUUUCACCUUUCCCUCGCUAAAAUGCUUCCUCUCUUUUCUCCUUCUCCUUCUCUCCAACCCAAAACUGUAAAACACUUCCAGUAAAAUCAAAUUAAAGAAUCAAACCCAGGAACAAAAUCACAAAAAAAAUGAGAGAAAUUCGAAAGGGUAAUGGAACCCUAGUUUUUUAAAUUGGGAAGUUGGGUACCUGGAGAAGAUGGAAAUGAAGGCGACGGUUUAAGUCACAAAUAGCUUAAUCGAAGCAAGAUCCAGAUGAACAACAAAUGGGUAACUGAGAUAGAGCGAGAGGAAGAUCGGAGCUUACAUGAAAGUUGCUGGUGCGGUUGGAUGCUGCUCCCUUUUCAGAGCUUCGACUCUGGCAAUUGAAAUCAAAUACAAAUUAUCAUCUCUUUGGGUUAUUUCUCCUAUUAAUACAAUAAAUACAAAAGCCUGUACUGAUGAAACAAAUAAAAAUAAAUAAAAAAAUUGAAAAACCAAAAAGUGUAUACCUCGGGAUUAAAUCGGUGGUGGUUUGGAGAGGAUAGAUAGUUAGAUGGGAGGAGCUAGUGACAGGAGGUUCGGCUGGCGGUGGCCGCGGAGGAGGGAGAAAGAGAGGUGGCUGCGGAGGAGGGAGAGAGAGAGAGUUAGUGAGAGACGGAUCCAGAUUCCAGAAAACAGGAUCCCGUAGUGGGUUUUAAUUCUAUCGGCAUGGCAAGAUAAUGGGGUUUCAGUUCGCAAGAUAAUGGGUUUCAGUUUUUGCACGGAAGUUUUUUCCUUUUUUAUUUUUCGUGUUUUUUUCCCUUUUUUUUCGAAAACUGCCGAACGUGGUUGAAGUUGUGUCUUCCACGUUUGUUGUUUUAAAUUUUUUCUACUAAAAUUUUAUUUCUUAAAAAAUGAAAUAUAUUUUUUUUCUGACGAAAUUAGCCUUGGGGUUUUUAUAUAUAUUUUUUCUAUCAGUUUUGAUUUUUUUUGUUUGAGGGGUUUUAUAGUCCAAUUGUUUUUUGUGAAGCCUUAAGACACCAAACUCUCCUUCUGGCUUUCUAAUAUUAAAGAUAUUUCGUUUUAUGUGUGCAGAUUUUCCUCAAGUUAUUGAGGAUUUAACCCAACCACCAUUAUCACAAGCUCAAAUAAAUUAUGAAGAAUCAUUCAAUGAAUUCCCUACGGAAUUGUUUAGUCAGGUUGAUGAAAACAUGUAUUGCCGAAAUGGUUUUAGCAAUGAAUUCUUAUUUCAAGAAGAGAAUUGCUUUGUAUCAUGGUGAGCCUCAAUAUUAUUAUGAUGUACCGACACAAACUGAGGAGUGUGAAUAUGAUGGUGAUGGUGAGCAAAAAUCUGAUACAGAGAAAUCCCUUUCUGAGGAAAGCGAUAAUGAUGGUGACACUGGUGAUUUUGAUACAGACAGUUCCUUAUAUGAUGAAGAUAAUGAUGCAAUGCUUGAAGAUGACAAUUUUGAUUACAAUUUCAAUGACAAUGCAGAUACACCAAAGAGUUUCACUGGAUGCAAUAAGAAACAAAAAAAAAAAAAAAUUGGGAAGCGGAUAUACAAGUUGAGGAUUUGAACAUGGAUGAGAAGCAAUAUAACUCAGAUGAAUUACAUUCACCACUGAACUCUGAUGAAGAAGGACAUGGUCGUAGAUGCAAAGAGUUUAAUGUUGACAUUGAUAUGGAAAACUCACAAUUCGGAUGAAAUUUCCAAGUAAAAAGGUGUUAAAGCAGGCUAUACAAAAUUAUGGAGUCCCAGGGUCAUAUGAAUGUAAGAUAUGGAAUAAUAAUAGGAUUAGGUUGUCUGCUAAGUGCAAGCAAUGUUGCAGUUGGAGGUUGUUUGCUUUUGUGAUGCAGGGUGAAAAUACUUUUCAAAUCAAGAGCUACAUUCCUGGUCAUUCAUGUUCAAAGGUUUAUGUAACAAAAACAUAACUUCAACUUUUCUUUCUGAAAGACAUGGGUAGGAUUAAAGAUGAUCCUAAGAUUAAGAAGACAACGCUUCAGUUAGAGAUAUAUAGAGAAGUUAUGGGAGUAUUGCGAAGAGGUUAGAAAGACAAAUAUAGGCAGCACCAUGAUGAUGAAGGUGGAUCCUCCUUAUUUUCAAAGACUUCAUGUGUGCUUGGAUGCAUGUAAACAGGGGUUUGUAUCUGGUUGUAGACCUUUGAUAGGUGUAGAUGGCUGCCACCUUAAGGGAACAUUCCAAGGUAAAUAAUUACUUUUUAGUUUUAUUUGACAUCAACUCAUGUAGAUGUGGUAUUAAUUUAACAUAACACCUAUAUAUCUAUACGUGCAUAUUAAUUCAAUACCUUGGCAGGGCAAUUACGUGUGGCAGUGGGAAUUGAUGCAAAUGAUAAUAUGUAUCCCAUUGCUUAUGCGGUUGCUGAAUUGGAGACGAAAGAGUCAUGGUGUUGGUUUCUUCAACUUUUGAUUGAGGACCUUGGUCCAGUUAGUGAACAUGGGUGGACCUUUAUUUCAAAUAAAAAAAGGUAAUUAUUUGCUUUAAUUUCUUUGCUAUAUAUUGAAAUGUUAAGAAAAACUUUAUAUCAUUUAUUGGCGUUAAGAGUUGUAUAUAUAAAGUUAUAUGAAAAACUUUUAUGUUGCUUGAUUGAUUACCAAUGUACAAUGUAUACCUUCUUAUAUAUAUAUAUAGGGAUUUGAAAAGGCUUUUCAAUCAGUGGUACCUGAAGCAUCUCAUAGAUGAUGUGUGAGGCAUCUCUAUGGAAAUUUUAAGCAACUUUUUAAGGGUCAAGCACUGAAGGAUAAACAGUGGAGUGCAGCCAUGGCAUCAAAUGAAGUAGAUUUUAAUUGUGAGAUGGAAAAAUUGAAAGAGUUAGAUGAAGAAGCUUAUAAAUGGUUGAAAAAGAGGGAUCCAAAUAUGUGGGCUAGGCAUAGGUUCAGUUUGAAGAUCAAAUGUGAUAUGUUGCUGAACAACUUGUGUGAGUGUUUCAAUUCCUGGAUUUUGGCUGCUAGGGAUAAACCAAUACUUACCAUGCUUGAGAUGAUUAAGUGUAAAAUACUGAGAAGGUUGCAAGUUAAGAGGGACUUGAUUAGUAAAUUUGAGGGUCCAGUUUGUCCCAAGAUCCAAGGAAAGUUAGAGAAGAACAAAACUUUGUCUCGUAGAUUCAAACCAGUGUAUUGUGGCAGUGGAGUGUUCCAAGUGGGGGACUCAUUGGUUGAUCAACAAUCGGUAAAUUUGUGGAUUAAAACUUGUAGUUGCAAGAGAUGGGAGCUCAAUGGAAUACCAUGUAUGCACGCUAUUUCUGCCAUCUUCCACAAUCGGCAACAAGGUGAAGAGUUUGUGGAUGAAUAUUACACUCCAUAUGCUUAUUUGAGGGCUUAUUCCCCAGUCAUAUAUCCUGUCAAGGGUAUGAAGUAUUGGCCACAAGUUAAACAAACACCUGUCCGACCUUCAAUGGUUAAAAAGCAGCCUGGGAGACCUAAAAAAAGGAGAAUAACAAGGGAUCCUGAAAUAGAAAAGAACAAAGAUCCCACCAAAUUGGAUAAGAAGGGGAGUAGUAAAACAUGUACAAAGUGUUGGGAGAAGGGACACAAUAGAGUUGGAUGCAAAAAUCAACCUCGAGAAGCUCCACGUGGGGUUUAUAUAGACAAACGAUGGGCUUAUCAAUUUCAUCAAGAUGGUAGUCAUGGUAGGGGUGUGAACAACAAUGAAGGUAAUGAAGAAACUCAUCCUACUCCUCCAUAUCAGUGCUCCAAUGUCCAACAAAGUGGUGAAGUCUUUGUGCCUCAAGGGAAUGUAACUGGAGAGUCAUCUAGACAUACUCUUAAUAAGAAGUAUGCAAGACCAUCUAAUUUACAAGUAAGGAAUAAUAGGCUUGACUUGUUACUUUUCAAAUUAGAGGUAAUAUUUAAUAUUUUUGUUGUUAAUUUUACUUGUGACAGGUGAAGAAAGUUACAAAAAAAAAAAAAAUGGUACAACUCUACAGACUUCCCAACCAAGUACUUCAAUCCUGCCAAUGUAAGUUAUCCUAUUACAUUCCUUGCUUCAUUUUCUUAACACAACUACCAACCUACACAUAUAUUAUUAGAUACAAUUGUUUAAUACUUACAUUUGCAGUUUCAUCCACCUCAAAAUUUUGUUCAACCAACCAUCACUAGAGGCCCUAGAGGGGGCACUUUGACUACACCAAAUGUGUCAAGGACACCAAUUACAUGUCAAAUAUGGACAAGACCAAUUGGAACCAAAACUUCUUCACAAGCAAACUGGCAUCCAAUGCCACAAACAGUCCUAUGCUCAAUAUGUCUAGCCCUAGAGAAGGCACUUUCAUUAUACCAAAUGUGACAAGGCCAAGUGCAACCCCAACUUCUUUGCAAGCUAGGCUUCCAAUGUCGCAAACAGCCCCAGGCUCUAGCACGUACAUGCCUAGCAUAUCCAGGCUAAGCAUACAAACUACACCUUCAACUUCAAGUACGUCUGGAACUUCACAUUCAUGGAAACCACAUGGCAAAAAUGUUUAUACAACGAACGCAACUACAAGUUCAAAGAAAAAGAAUAUUUGAUUGUAGUUUGAGUUGUUUUAGUUUUUCUUUGGCAGUAAGGUAUCUAUGUGUGAGAAAGACCAUGUAGUACUUGUUUUUGGUGGAGUUCAAAGCAACUUCAUUUUAUACUGUUUGGAAUUAAAGCAUGGGUUUUAAUUUUUACGUUUACAAAAGCAUGGAAUUAGUUUUCUUUGUGAUCUUGCUAGAGUUCACUUUGAAGUUGCUUUUUGUUUUCAUUUGUACAUAUAGGAAUAUAUUUGUGAUCAAGUUCAUGUGCAGAUUUAAUUGGAACAAAUAUAGUCUCAUUUAUACUGAAAUCGAACAAGAAGUCAACAAUAAUCUCAUAAUUAAAAUUUAAAUCAAUGACUUUAUUUAUUUAUGUACUUGUGACCAAGUUUAGUGGGUGUACAAUAAAAUUAUAUUUUUGUCCUCUCAUGUGCCAAGCACAUGUCAAUUUUAACAGUCUUGAAUUGGCUAAUGGAUAUAAACACAGGGACCAAUUUGGCCAAAUUGAAAACAUAGCGACUAAAUUGGCCGAUAGAGUAAAACACAUGGACCAUGUUGACAUUUUAGCCUAUAAUUUAAUUACAAUAUUUAUAAAAAAUUAAAUAAAAAAUAUUUUUGCCAAAAAAAAACAAGGGUUUGCGUGACGCAUGAGUAACAUGCGUCGUGCAAAGUGGCUUUGCGCGACACAUGUUACUUUUGCAUCGUGCAAACCCUAUUGUCACUGCCUUUGCGCAACGGUUAGUGCACGAUGAAGGUACCUAUGUUGUGAAAAGUGUUUUUUCUACUAGUGUGACAAAAAGUAAAAUAAGUUCGUUGUAUUAUUUUUUGUAUCGCUCAAAAGAUAACAAAGUUACAAACAUAAGAUUUGUACUUAUACAAUACGUGCGAAAAUAAAAUAACUGUCAAAGAAAAAAAGAAUUUUUUUUCCUGUAAUGUAUUAUUCUUUAGAAAGAAUAUAUUCAAUUAAUUAAAUGUUUGAAAUGAAAAUCUUCAAUUCGUUAAGUUGGCUUUUUAUCCAAAAUGGUUUUUGAGAUUUGCAUUACUCAUCACUUUGGUUCUUGAUAUUUGAAAUCAAUAGAAGGAGUCCCUGAGUUGUCCACCAUCAAUCAUUUUGGUCAUUCCUUAUAAAAAUAUGUUAAAUAAGGACUAAAUGACAAAAAUACCCUCAAUUUAAUAAACAAAUGGCCAAAAUGAUUUGACAAAAUUGAGGGUAUUUUUGUCAUUUUAUCUUUAUUUAAUGGAGUUUUUUCAAGGAAUGGCCAAAAAGAUUGAUGGUGGACAAACUCAGGGACCACUUCUAUUGAUUUCAAAUCUCAGGGACCAAAGUGAUGAAUUAUGCAGUGAUGAAUUAUGCAAAUCUCAGGGACCAUUUUGGCUAAAAGGCCGGUUAAGUUUGAUAUGUAGAUGCCCAUGUUAGUAUUGCACAUCACUUGACCAUGGCAUGCAUGAAUACCUUGGUCAUCUGUUCUGCAUGCAUUGUUGGAAUCCCACAUCGGUGGGUGAAAAGAAAACAAUGGGGUUACAUGUGAUCCAAACCUCAUAAUCAUUUUAUUUUAAGAAGAACAUGUAAAUGGACUUCAAGUUUUCAAAGACGGGGAAUGGAUUGUUGUGAAGCCUCUUUCUGAUGCACUUGUGAUUAACAUAGGCUAUCAGCUACAGGUACAUAAGUAGAUUCAGUACCCUUCUUGACGCUAAAGAUUAUUUCGCUGGUUAUUAUUGAUUCUAGGCCUCGUUUGGCAGCUCGGACUAUACUGACUAUUUUAUCAGAUAGGAUAAAUAGCCACCAGAUAGUACUGACUAAAUUAGUCGGACAUUUGGUGCAGUAUUGCAUUAAUGACCGUAUUAUUUAUACUGUGUUUGGUAUUGAACCAGAUAGGACAAGAGAAAAAAAAAUUAACAAAUCUUUCUAUGUUUGUUGAACUUUUCUCAUAUUUAUACCUAUUGAAAACCACACAAAUUUUCAAAUAACAGAGAAAAAUAGUAAAUUCCAUACAUCAAAUGCCAAAAUAUAAUCCAACCACAUAUUCAAGUUCAUAAAAUAUACAAAUGCAAGUUGGUUUCAGUAAGAAACAGUUUGUCCAAAUAGCCAAAAUAUAUGCAUGUUGCUUUUAACAAAAUAUAUGCAUGCUGCAACUUUUAACAAAAGAUAUGCAUGCUGCUUUUAACAAAAUAUAUUGUUGUUGGUUUGAAAUGUCAAUUGCGGUUACUUUGUCCAAGUAACAUGAAUACAAAAGCUUUUUUCAUUGCACCAUCCAAAGACAAGAAUGUCCUCUCAUUAUGUGGCUUUUCGAAAAGAAUAUUUAGUGCCUUGAUUUGAUCCUCAAUAGAUAAAUCCAUCUUUGACAAUUCUGAAGCAAUCUCAGGUUUUGGAUCCACUCCUUUCCCAAAAGCAGCUUGUAAAACUUCACCCAACUUAUCCACUGAUUCAAAAAGCAUUUCUUUAAAUGGCACAACAAGAUCAUUAUCAUUAGCAGCUCUCUUCCUUUUCCGGGUACUUGAACUGCUAGACCGUCGAGCAACAGAAGGAGAACUAGUCUCCACCUCAUCUUCAUCUUCAUUAAUGUGCUCAGGGUCAUUCAUCAUCUCAAUAGGAGUUGCAGCUCAUACUCCAGUUGCUCGGUCUUUCCCAAAAAUAACAUUCAAUCUGUCAUACAAUGGAAACAAUUUUCUUAGCCAGCCCUCUGCUUCUUUGUUAACCUGCAAUGCGAAAACAAAUCACAUUAUCCAUAAAAUACAAAUAAUCUUAUUUUGUUCCGUUCAACCUGUCUUCAUAUAAUCAAGCAUCCAUUAAUUUAAUUAACCUAUCAUAAUGAAUGGGGCUAGAGGAUAUGGUUUGGUAGACAUAAUCAUACUAUUAAAUUGUAUGUAAAGGAACAUGUUAAGUAAUCAAAUAUGUAAAGCUAAAUUCUAGUAUUAGGUUAGAGAAUUACUUUCACAUAGGACUGCCAUAUUUCAAUGCUAUCAACCUCAAUACACUUUCGUACAUCAUUCCAUGCAAAACCAGUUUUAUUAACCAUGUCAUAAACUAUUGCAUAAUUUUUUUUUCCACCUCCUCAUUUUAGACUCAAUAUGUGGAACUGCCUUUAUAUUGGCAUUAGGACAUUUCAAAUUAAUAGCUGUUUCAAAUUGAGCCAUUGUUCUGGAUUUGAAACAACCGUUAUCACAUCGCAAAUUCUUAACAACUGCAUCCUCAAGUAUGGACCACAAUGCAUCUUUUCAUGUUGUUUCCAAACCCUUAUACUUCCUUUUGGUUGACUACUUUGUUCACUUUCCAUUCCUAUAAUUACAUACACAAUAAGAUAUCAUAUAAUCAACAAUGCAUAUAAUUAAUAGUAAGUGAUAAAAACCAUAAGCAAAUCAUCACACUUUUUAAGUAAAUACAUAGCCAGGUCACACUUUGUUCAAAUAAAGUAUCAUAACCAAAUACAUAAGAAAUGAAUAUUUGUUCAAAUAACAAACCAUAACCAAAUGACAACAUGCAUAUGUAAGAAAAUUUAAUCAAAUCACACUUGUGCAUUCCACUCAUUGUACAUAUUCAUGGCCAAAGUAUUUCUCCAUGCAGUCCAUUCUUGUGUAAGUUGAACAAUCUCAAUCAUAUCUUCAUCAUCAUCACUACUUUCAGAUUCGUCCAAGUUUAGGAUUUCAUUUUUUAUUGGAUCAGCUGACAUAUGCCUUCUAAUAAGAUUAUGUAAUAUGCAGCAGGUUGUCAUAAUUCUAAGUUGUGUUUUAAUUGGGAAAAAUGAUGGACCUCUUAAGAUGCUCAAACGCAUCUUAAGUAGUCCAAAACAUCUCUCAAUGACAUUUCUAGCUUGAGCAUGUUUCAUAUUGAAAUACUCCUCAUGAUUAAUUGGGAGUCUUCUAUUUCUCCACUGAGAGAUGGUAACGCACUCCCCUAUACGGUGCAAGGUAUCCUGGACCAUUUGUGUACCCACCAUCCACAAGGUAGUAACACCCUAACACAUCAAAAAAUGUAUAUUACUAUAUAUAAGAAAAUUGAGGAUUCAAAUUACUAAUAUAAACAAAAAAUCUAUUGUUACCUAUGGGAACUUUUAAUCCCGAUGGUCUACAUAUCGCAUCUCGGAGUACUCUAGAAUCAAAGGCCGACCCUUCCUAACCUAGGUACACAAAUAUAAAAUUCAUGUCCAGAUUACAAACUCCCAACAUAUUGGUCGCAAUCUCUCCCUUCCUUGAUCGGUAUCUUGGUUUAUCUCGCUCAGGGACAUGAAAGUUAAUGUAAGUCCCAUCCAAUGCCCCCAAGCAAUUCUAAAAAAAAUCAUUAACAUUAGUAAGCUCAAUAUAUUUAAUUACAUUAAUUUUAGAAGUAAUUUUUAUAAAAUAUGAAGAAUACCUCAAACCAACUCCAUUUAGGAUCUGGGUAGGCAUUAGGAAUGGGUUCUGGCACUUUCAAAAGUCUACCUUGUAGCCUUAACACUCCAUGUAGAAUGGAAUUGAAAUACCUACUUAUGAUCUCCACCGAUCGACAAAACCUACUCCCAAUUGUACGAUUCUUGACAUGAUGUGCAAGUAUAUGCAAAAACAUGCAAACUUGUUCUUCAUUGUCACUACACCAUCCAAUUUUACUCUACCGUGGUCACGAAGCAUUUGACAUAAAUAAUGGAAUGUUCUUCUAUCCAUUCUAAUUUGGUUCACACAAUGAACAUCAUCAUAUCCUAUUAUGCUUUCUAAAUAGGCUGACCCUACCAUUCUCCUAACAAAUGUGCGAUUUCUAGGUGCAAGUUGCCGAUUCCGCCUUCUAGCUGAAUUAUGAUUCAUCAUGAACCACAUCAUCAACCAAGUCACAAUAUUCAAGUACCACAACUUAACAAUGAAGCAUGCCACAAUCUUUCUUUCAUCCAUGUCUAGUCAAAAUAUAAAAUAACAUUAUUAGAUAGUGGCAAAAAAUUAAGUAACUGGAGCAUGAAUGCAUAAUAACACUGAAAACGGAAGGAAGCAUGUUAAUAAGUCCUACCAAAAAAUAUGGUUGGAGCAAAUAUGGUCAACUUGGACAUGGGCAUUUUGAGGAUCACCUUGUUCCUCACAAGCUAGAAGCCUUGAGUGACAAAUUUAUUUGUGAGGUGAUCUCUUAGCUGUUAGACUCUAAUAUAAUGCUUUAUUGAUUCAUAUAAAGAUACAAGAAACUUUGGUACUAGUUUUGAGUUAAGUUUCCUGCCUUGUGUUUUGUUAAUUUGAUAUUAUUUUUUUCCAUUCCUUUUUGGCAUCUGUGGUUGUCACGUAUGGUAUCAGAGCUCUUAUGACAUGUGAAAUCUAUCUUCUCUACACCAGUAUUAUUUGUUAAAUUGCAAACCACAUGGGAUUGAUCUGUCUUUAUUGGUCCAUUCCCUAAUUGCUUAAGCCUUUUAGGGUCCAAUGAUUGUCUGAUAAUCAAUUAAAUUCUAUAUUAUUUGAUCCUACUGCAUGGAGCUUACUGAACAAAUAUACAAUGGAGAGUAAUGAAAUGGUUUGGGUAGCAAAGAAGUCUAGUCUAUGAUGGCACUUUGUACGACCUCAAAGCAUUAUAUAUUCAUCACCUCAUGUUGCAUCAAAAUUGAGUGUCAUAUUGCAUCAAAAUUAAGCCGAAACAUCAGAAGAGCAGCAACUCUCCCUUUCUUCUCUAUUUCUCACUCACACUCUUUUUUUCUAGAAGGCAAUUACUUUACAAAGUGGAAUAAAUACCAAUUAACAAUUCAACAACCCUAGUCCGAAAUUAUUCACACACACACACACACACACAGAUAUAUAUAUCCAGAUAAAAAGUAAAAUUCACAUAAAAAUUAAAAAAUGGAUAAAAGCUGAGAGGGAGUGAUGCAAAAACUGAGAAGAACAACAACUGGGAUCUAAUUUUCGGGCCAUAGACGGUGAUGGGGAGUGAGAGACAGAGAACAAGAGCGAAGAGAAAUUGGCUUACCCAGUUGUCCGUAUGGUUGCAUUGCAGUUGCGAGACAGUAAGUGAAACGGGAGCUGCGCCAGAGACAAAGUUUUGUUUAGGUAAGUGAACCUGCACACUCCCACUCUACCCAAUCAUUAAUUCUAAUUAAAGUUCAACACCAACAACAAACCCUAAAAUUCAAAAAUUCUAAUUAGAACACAAAAUUACAUAAUCAAUUGCAUAAUUAGAGAGAAAAUAAUAACUAGAUUCAAUCAAUUGCAAGAAAAAUAGGAGGAGGGGGAAGAAUAGAGGGAGGGGCGGAAUCCCAGAAGAAGAAAACUGAAAAGACGAAUUGUGAUUCAAACGAAGAAGAAGACUGUGAGAAGAUGAACCUGGGAUGAGAACAAGAGGGCGUUUGGAAAGGAAGAGAGAGCGCCUGGAGCGGAAGAAUGUGUCUGGAGAGGAAGCGGAAGACUGCGUCUGGAGAGGAAGCGGAAGACUGCGUCUGGAGAGGAAGAGAGCCCGACUAAGUUAUACCGUGUAAAAAAGGUGGGCCUGGAUUAUUUAAUCCGGUGCCUAUUUAAUCCAAACAGCCACCAAACACCGUACACCGUAUUAUUAGUACUAUCCGGUGCCUUAUACAGUGUGCCAAACAGGGCCUAUAUUACUAUCUAUACUUGAUUACAUAGCGCUGUCAAUAUCAUGUCGAAAUAGGGGCCUGAUGGUAGUUCCAAACUAUGUUCCUCGAUCUUCUCUUAAUUACCAUAUGACAAACUAUUUUUUUGGAUGACAUGGGAUGUAGAUAAUCAGUAAUGGGAAGUUGAAAAGUGCUUAACAUCGGGCAGUGACGAGUUCAAGUAAUGCCCGGACAUCUGCUGCAUUUUUCAUCGCACCUUCAAACGAUUACAUUGUAGAACCUGCUGGAGAUCUUAUUAAUGCAAGCAAUCAACAACUCUUUAGACCCUUUCAAUACAAAGAAUUCAUUAUGAACUAUGUUACGAAGCAGGGCAAAACUGGAGUUGUACUAGAACCCUUUAAGCUCCAUGCUUAGUUAAUUAUGAAGCUGUGACUGGGGAAAACACAAAUUUAUUUGGGUGGCAAUGGUCUCAAAUUUAUUUGGGUGGGUUAAUAAAUAUUGUAAAAUUUGUAAAAUAGAGUACUUUUUAUUGGAAGUACUUGUUAGAAUUCAUCUGUCCCACAUCGACUAGAAGACUUGAGAACAAACCCUUUAUAUAGAAUUACCCCACUCUAACUAAUAUCGAGGCAUUUUGUAUUAAAACCCCACACCUGACAGAUUGAGCAGGUGGCCAAGUGGGGACAGUAUCGGUGUUGUUGGAGUGGGCCUAUGGCCCGUCUACCCGAAAUUUAACAUGGUAUCAGAGCCAGGGAACGUGCCCAUACAUCCACGUGAAUGAGUGAGUCCCCUUUGACCUCGCGCGAAUGAGUGAGCCCCGACUUGGCUCCACGUAGGCCAAGAGAUACCACGUGAAUGGGUGGGUCCCCAUUGGCCUCGCGCAAACGGGUGAGCCCCGGCUUGGCUCCACGUGGUAUGAUUGACAUUAAUUAAUCAUUAAGUUAUUUAGACUUUGAAUUCUUCCUUUGAUCAUCAAGUUACCAUUGUUCAAGGACUUCUUUGAGUUGUCUGUAUGCAGAAGAACGCUUACCAAAUUGGUCGCAACAGCCAAUUAGAUAUCGGUAAGAAGGAGCCGCCGGGCAGUACCAUGGCACAGUACCACGACAACUAAUUGAAUUCCAACAUAUAUUUGCAAAAAUAAUUUUAAUCAACUCAAGAGUUUCUCUUGGAUCUAUAGAUAUGUCAAACCCAUCACAUAAAACAGCAAGUAAAAUCUUUAUUCAAAACUGUUAUCAGUUUCUCUUACAUACGUACCCAUAACAAAAAAAAAAAAAAAAAAAAUUAAAAAUUAUUUCAUAAGUAGGAUAUAACGAAUCAAACUCCUAAGUUCUAAAUAAUCUCAACUUGAAACUCCAUCCUUCUCUUGGUAGUCCUAAUAUUACUUCUUUUACUCAAAUUGCUCCUUCAUUAUCUUUUAUUCAAAUCACGUUUUGGAGCUCUCUUAAGAUCAACUCCAUUAUUGCAAGGUCGGUACUUUUUUGGUGCUUGCAGGCAUGACACAUUUUGUAGUCGCAUUAAUCUGCUUCUUUUAGUUGUUGGGAUUGUUGAACUUACUUCAUACAAAUUGAUAAUUAAAAGAGAUGUGAUAUCCACACACCUUUUUUUACUUCUCACACACCCUUCUCAUUUUCAACCAUCGGAUCAAAUGAAUUGAAGAAGAUCAACGGACAGAAAUUAACAAAGAGUGUGUGAGAAGUAAAAAGGGAUGUGUGGAUAACACACCCCUAAUUAAAAUCGACUAAAGUGUACACUAUUUCGCAUCAAUCAAACACAAGGCAAAUUGAAGCCGGCUAAAGCCGAAAACUCAAGGAAAAUUAAAGGUGGGUGUUUUGAGAAAAAAUUAAAUUAAAUUGCUUUCCAAACCAUAAUAGCACAGCUUAAUCCUACAGAGAAGAGAACGGCUCGACCAAAAAGUCCUACAGAGAAAGGGAGAAAAAGGAAAAGGGUAAGAUGUAAAAUACCUAAAGGUAAAGCGAAGCGCGAAAAGGAAAACUGUGCACCGUUUAACGCUUACUCUUUUAGAUGUCACAUUCCUUUUCUGUUAAAGGUGAAGAUAAACUCCAAAACUUGAUCAAUCUCCCAGUGAGGACUGGCUUCUGAACAUGUUGGAGCCAAUCAGUGAAGGACUUCUUAAUUAAUUACUCUUCUUCAGGGCCGGUCCUGAGAUUUUGGAGGCCUUGUGCGAGACUCAAACAGAGGCCCUUACAAGAUUUAAAUUUUGGUUGCUAUAUUUUCUUUUAUAUAUAUAUAUAUAUAUAUAUUUCUUGUGUAUAAAUUGAUAUAAACGCAAAAGAAAAUAAAUAAAAAAGAAGCAUGGUUUGGUGGCUAUGUAUCUACAUUCUUUAUGUUUUUGGGUUUGAACUUACUUUUUAAAUACAAAAAGCAUGGUGUGGUGGAUAUGUACAUAUCAUAUCACCGUACAUAUAUCAUAAUCAGAACAACUCAUGUUCUUUAUUAUGAACUAGUUAAACAAAUCACUGGUUAUGAUAUUUGUAGCAUCUUAUAAUGAGCUGUAAGUUUUUUUAAUGCAUUUUUUCUCACUCCCUAAAGUGAGAAUGAUUCUAACCCUCACUCGGUUGAUUGUUGUUGGAUUAGUUAGAAUUUGAGAUUCGUGUCUUAAAUCAAUUAAACCAAAUUAAUUUAACGGUAUCAAUAGGGGGAUGAGCAUCACCUACUCACCUCCACUUUAGUGUUGUGAGCAAAGUUUUAUUAUAUAUGGAUGACUAAAUGGUUUUCAAAUAGGAUGAAAAUUAGAUGAUCCUUAAAAGCUGACCAAAAGAAUAAACGAACGAUAUGUAUUUGACUAAAUGAUGUCAUAUAUGAAAAGGGGGUUUUAAAGAUUAUAUCUUCAAACUUUUUAAGGAUUUUAAUUAAUUAUGAUAUUCCUAAUUAUAGAUUUAUCAUCAAAAGUUCUCUUUUAUAAUGAUAGAAAUUAAACUACAAAUAUUAAAGAGAAAAGAAAAAAAAUUAAUGUAGUUUAAAAAAAAGCCCAAAAUGGUUCUACUGGGAGUCGAACCCGUGCAAACACAAACGCAAGUAUCAGCGCUUGACGAUUCCCCUAAGGAAACAAUGUGAAUUGUGUUCACAUUGUUUUUAUAUGUAGUACAUUACAAAAGUUAUUAAAAUUCAGGGGCCCCUAAAAAUCGGGGGCCCUGUGCGGUCGCACGACUGGCACCCCCUCAGGGCCGGCCCUGCUCUUCUUAACUAAUUUUCAAUAUGAUCAACCAAAUACAGUUUGAAUAGGCCGGUUUUGGUGGUUCAGCUGGUUUGAUGCACACAAUAUUAUAUUCUCCCUAGGCUAACCAUUCAUGCUUGACCUGAAUGUUAUAUUCAGGUAGUUUUUCUCGUAUAUUUAGUUUUUGUGUUUUUUUUUUUUGUUUAAGCUCGGGCUUGAAGUAACAUUGUUGUUCUGUUCUGCUAGUGACAAUUGGUUCCAAUUAGAUUGAGAUUGUUCAUGAUAAUCUAAUGUUACUGUCCGCAUUAAAUAUCUAUACAAAGCUUCAAGUUGAAGUGUCGUUGUUCUGCAUUGUCGGUAUCAUUAUUGGAUCUGUUUGAAUUGGAUUUCAAUUAAGUUCAGUUUAGUUGGUACGAGUUGGGACUAAAUGUGUGAUCUAGAUAGGAAGUACUUGGUGCAGCCUCAUAUUCUGGGUGUAUAGAUGCUUAUUACAUUUUCUGAGACCUCACUGGUUGUGGAAUUUAUCUUUGUUGAUUAACAGAAUUUUGACCGAGAGGCGUGCUAAAAACUUGUCUUUUUGGAUUUCCGUAAUUGGGGAUAUAGGUUUAAUGCUUGUGUUACUAGACCAUGCGAAUGAGGAGUGUCUGCUUUUCCGUAACUCGGAGAGGGAGGGAAAUCAGCAUGCAGAGUUGCUACAAUGGUCUAGUCCAGAGCAAGUACCAACCGUGGGACCUUCCUGAAGAAGUUUGUUAUAAAUGUUGUGAAAUCAGGGUAUAAGAAUUUGGAUUGAGUAUGGCCAUUGUUUUCUUGCACCAUGGGAAAAAUAUGUGUUGUAUGUAAGUGUGUGUGAGAGAGAGUCGGAGAGAGAGAAAUCUGACUGAAAGUAUCAAGAUUUUAUUUGAUUAUGAAACCUAAUGUGCUAAUACAACUCUUAAUGAUUUUUUUGUAAGAAUAUCCGAGGCAUUGUGGCUUGCUGGAAAUCUUUAGGUGGCUUGGCCGUAUGUGAUAUAUGACACCACUUUAAUACUGUGGAUUUUUCCGGAAAGAAACAACUAAGAGAGGGUACGCACUUGAACUCAUUCUGAUUUGCUAUGACUUCGUUUGUGUUUAUACUUUUUCAGGAUGAAUGGUAUCUCUAUUUUUCACCACAAGGUGAAUGCAGAAGACAGAGCUUGAAAUCUUCAUGUGUUCAUUUAUAUUGAACUACGAAAAACUUAUUAUUUUGGUUACAGAAAAGUUCCAAAGUUUCACAAUUUGAGGGAUGCGUGAUGACUUCAUUUGGUUGGUUAUGGCAAUUUAAAUUUAUGACUUAAAUGGCACAGGUUCUACCGAGACAUAACGCAGUGAUGUUUUAGUUUACUUUUUCUAUUUGAUUGAUUGUGGUUCACACAAGCAAAAAUCUUGUUUAUCUUUCUUAAGUAAUAUAUUAAAAAUGUUGAGAAAUGCAUGGUUUUAUGGGACUAUCAGUAGUUUAGUAAAAGCAAUUCUCUUAUGGGAUCACAUUCUUUUAUGUUCACUUUUGUGUAUGCUUAUUGAUGUCUUUUUGGACGCAUGCAUCUGCCCCUAGUUUAUGUCCUUUGAAUUUCUUCCCCGUUGUUAUUUAUUUGAUCUUUGAAUGAUAAUUUUAGUUUUUGCUUAUGUUGCCUCCACAUAAUAGUUGAAGUGUUGCUGUCUACUGCAUUGCAGAUAUGACAUGGCUUCAAACCGUUGGCGUAAGGAGUCAGGUAUACCAAGACAGGUCCCAUGCGACUCAGCAUUUGGAUUUGUUUUAUUGAAUGGAGAGUCGUAUGAAUAACCCUUUUGAAGGCAGCUGAAUCAGCAGAAAUCCAAAGGUCGCAACUGCAUAAGAGAGUGGGAACACUUAACAUCCAAAUCUACCAUCCUAAGAAGAAGACGUGGAGAUCUCCCAUAACAAAGUCACCUUUCCAUUACAGCUGGGAUUUCAAUACUGCAGUUAUGGGCACCAUUCGCUUGUGAAUCUCGAUUCUUAUUGCUUGUACUUGUGUUGUGUUGAUAAUUGUACCGAUUGAUGUGCAGCACUGUCUAUAUUGGUUCAUUGGGGUCAUUGCUGCUAGCAUAUUUGUAUAGUCUUGAAUAUACAGCUAGCAGACCGAUACAAAUACCCCAUCUGUUAGUAAAGCGGUAAUUAGAUAAGGUGGAAUACAUUUGAGCUUCAUAUAUUGUAUCAGUUCUUUUUCCAGAGAACAGAUAAAUAUCUCUGUGUGUGUGUGUGUGUGUGUAAUUAAGUCCUGUUGAACAGCUUUGUUGCUUGUGCACCAAUCAAUCUUUCCCCUUUCCGUGUUACAUCUAUAGUUGAUCUGUUUAUUAUGAUUUCCAAGUCCGGUUUCUGGGUUUGUAGCUUCAUCGAGUAUUUACUCCGCCGUACUUAUGAUACUUUACAACCAAGGACAGAAUCGGACUCUCAUUUCCCCCUCCCCUUUGAGAACAGUAAAAUGGCUCGUGUUAGAAACUCUAGUCGUUUUCCCAUCAAAUGAAGUCUUUUCAGAAAUUUCAACCAAAAAGAAAAAGAAAAAGAAAAAGAAUGUCGUGUAACAAGUGAAGUCUUUUCGGAAGUUCUGACUAACUAAAAGAAAGGUGUAAAAGUGAAGCGUGGGCAAAAGUUGAGACUAAAAUGCAGAAAUUCCAAGUAAAGAAACGUUUCCACCAAGUUUGUUGAGUUCCCCAAUUUUGUAAUACAUGACGAGAAGCGACUAGUGCGGCUAAAGAACUGACUGGCCGUGAAGAUUGGGGUAUAAGUCCAAACUCAAACCAGAUACAGCGUUAAACCGCAACAUGUAUCGCAAGUUUCACAUUUAUACAUCUAUGACUUCAAACCUGAGAUAUAGUAAAUUCAAAGUCCUAACAUACAACCUCCAGUCAACCCAAAAUAUUUGAUUAACAUUUUGGUCAAACGUUCUGGAGAAAAAGGAGGGAAUCUGCUUUCUUGCUAGAGAUACAUCCCUUUGUAUUAGUCGCACUCAUCAUGUGACAUGUAGACAUAAAAAGAUAUAUCUCUACAACACUCAUCAUGUAACCUGUAAACGUAAAGAGAUAUCUCUGUUGUAGGUCUCGAAGUGAAGGUGUUGCAAGGUCCAUAGUAAGUGCGAAGAAGCAUAUAUUGUGGGUCUGAUUUUGAUAUCUUUGUGCCCCAAAAUGCAUGCCAAUAAUAUAAUGAAAACUUAUUUGUAAGACUCGUGCUAAUACAUGUAAGGAGAGAUUCAAACUUACGAAAUUUGAAAAUACUAAGUUUUUGAAAUUUGGACAAGCUGUGGAUUUCAGGUUUUGAUAUCUUUGUACACGAAAUAUGAUACUGCAUCCCAUUCUGGAAAAAACGUUCUCUUUAGUUGCAAAACUUCCAAUGUGUUAUCACAUUAUUGGAGCAGAGGGUCUCAUCUUUGUGACACGUAUGCGUACUAAUAGAGUAUUUGAGGAAAUCAUAAUAGAAUGACCAAAUUGAUGUGCAGUGAUAGAUUUCAGGGACAACAUUGAUUGAUUUGGAAAUUGAGAGACCAAAAGGAGGAGCUUGAUCAAUUUUUUUCAGGUUACAUAAAUAGACUUCAAAUUUUUCCCUUGAUCAUUAAGUUAUACCUCGCUUCAACUUCCAAUUAGUAUGUUUUGUGCCAUCUCUUAAAAACGAAUGUUACAUUAAGCAGGGAAAAAAACCCUGGAAUAUCAGAAAAAUCUGUUCAAGAAGUUCUUUGAGUUGUCUGCAUGCAGAAGAACGCUUACCAAAUUAGUCUCAACAGCCAAUUAGAUAUCGGUGUGUAGGAGCCGCCGGGCAGUACUACCUACUUCAGAAUAUUGCCGAACGAAAUUCUACAGAGAAAGGCUCGACAAAAAAAAUUCUACUGAAGAUAUUUUUAUUCAUGACUUCUUGUACCUACCAUAAAACAAUUAUUAAAUCCUAACAGUAACAUAUAUAAUAAUACUUAAACUCUUAAAUCCUAAUUAUUAACUUUAACUCGAAUUCCAUUCUUCUCUUGCGAGCUGUAAAAUACUUCUUAACUCAAUUAGCUCCUUCAUUGAAGCUUUUAUUCAAAUCACGUUUUGGGACUUCCUUAGGCUCAACUAUGUUAUUGGGAGGUCGAUAUUUUUUUCGGUGAUGGCAGGUUUGGCACAUUUUCCGAUCGCAUUAAUCAGCUUUUUUAAAGUUGGUGGAAUUGUUGAACCUACUUUAGGCAUUUUUAUCACCGAAACAAGCUAAAACAUACACUACUCCACAACAACAAACACAAGGCAAAUUAAAGACGUCUAAAAGCCAAGUACUCAAGAAAAUUAAAGGUAGAUGUUUUGAGAAUACUAAGACCUUUAUUUAUACUAUAGUGUGUUAUAGGCUAGUUUUCUUUCCCAAAAGCAAAGGAACACUUAGGAUAAGAAAAAUUAAAGCUUUCCAAACCAUAAUAGGAAUAUAGCUUAAUCCUAAAAAGGGGGGAGAGAACCUAAACACAAAGGAUAAGUCCGGUAACGGAGAGAUGGGCAAAAAUACAAAAAUACAAGACACAUGAUGUGUCACAACUUAUCAAUAAGAAAUAAGCACGUUAAUCAAGACUUAAAUAAAAACCUAAUCUUCAACAACCACGUUAUAUGGUUUACAACAGAUAAUUUAAAUAGAUGGUCUUGCUAACAAUAUUACCCAACCCAUAAUAAAACAAAGAAUACCUUUUCUUUUCCUCAAGAACUUCUAGUCAACAAAAAGUCAAUUGAUUUCAUUAACUCCCCACUGAUAGAAAGUGAAAUAAGUUCUUUGUAUUAUUUUAUCUGUCGCUCAAAAGAUAACAAAGUCACAAACAUAAGAUUCGUACUCACACAAUAUGUGCGAAAAUGACAUAAACUAUCAAAGAAAAAUGGAAUUUUAUUCCUGUAAUGUAUUAUUCAUUAGAAUAACAUAUUCAUUAAUUAAAUGUUUGAAGUGAAAAUCUUAGGUUGUUGAUUAAACUUUGAUAUGUAGAUGCCCGUAUUAGUAUUGCACAUCACUUGACCAUGGCAUGCAUGAAUCCCUCGGCCUUCUGUUCUUAAUAAUUUGGUUGGUACAACUUCAAGGGCCGGUCGGAUUUGGAGUACCGCUGGGCGGGGCAGGAGCCUUCUGCAGAACUUGCUUGAUAAUCUGAUUCAAGUGGAAGUAAUUGACGGUUGUGCCCCUACUCUGCAGAACAUCCUUCUUCAUCAUCGUGGAUUUCCCCUGCCCAGGCAAAAUUCUGCAGGCCUCGUACAAGUGCAUGUUCACAAGAAAAACCGCUACCAUGGCCACCAAAAGCAUAUUCAGAAACUUCAUGCUGUUACUCGUUUGGCAAAUAAUGAUUUUUCUUUUUUCUUUUUUCUUUUUUCUAUCUUCUUUUUUCUUUCUAUGUAUGCAAUGCAAACUAGAGAUGGAACGAAUGAAUGAAUAAAUAACAGAGGACUAUAGAGCUCUCUAUUUAUAUGGACCAACUUAUAGUCUGAGUUGAAUUUUCCCAUAUAUUUUAUGUAGCUAUUCUUUGUUUUGACUAUUGUGUCAAAAGAUCAAAUAUUGAAUGAGUCAUACAAUUACGAGAAGAAAAUGGGUUUCAAAAAUAUACAUAUAAUCACCUCAGAAAAUUCCAUUUCAUUUCGAUCGUUAUUAUAGAUUGUAUUUAUAUAUAGAGAGAUGGAAUGCCUCACAAUAUUAUACAGUAUAUGGAUUAGAGUAAUUAAAUUAACCGAGUGAUAAAGUUGAGACUUGAUCAAUUCACUUGCUUGCUUCGCAAACUGAGAACCGAGAAGUAAAGCUUGGUGGGGAAGCAUUAAUAAUGACCUUGAAAUUAAGUUUGAAUGUUUGGAGUAUGGGAAGUGUGCUAACCUUUUACACGACAUGGAAUACUCUGACAAAAAAAAAAAAAAAUUUGAAUCUCAUGGUAUGACUGAAAGUCCUAUUUGACUGGAAUAUAUCAUGCAUGAUAUGUAGAAUGACUGUGUCCUAAUUAGGUUAAGUAAUCUCUCUUUCUAUGAACACUAUUUUUUAGGAGAUUUUUAAUAAAAACAAGUUAAGCCCAGGAAUCAGGACGCAGUAGAAAUUUUUUUUUUUGGUGUAAUUAAGGGUCAUAUACGUGUUAUAAUAGAAAGUGAACAACAUAAUUAAUGUGUCAUAGAGCUAGCAUAAUACAAGUGGAUGGAUAACACAAUGACACAAUGACGGUUGGGCAGUCACAUCCUAAAAUCUCCCCGAACUCAACCAAGGAAGAAAAUAUCGGUAAUAUCGGAAAUAUCGGUAGUCCGAAAACACAGAAAUAUCGAUGGAAAUAUCGGGAUAAUAUCGAUAUCGAUAAAAAUUACAUGGAAACCACGGAAAUUGUAAGAAAAACUUGGAAAUUUUUAUUGAAACUUUGCAGGAUAUUUAUUUAGUCAAUUAUCUAUUAGUUUAUCACAAAAAAUUGGAAGGAAAUGCAUUGCAUGAUGGAUUUAACAUUAUCAAGUUGAUUAUAUAGCGAGCUGACAAACAUUGUGAGUGUAGAAAAUAUGUAGUAAUUAAUGAAAUAAGUUUAAACACACCAUAAUCAUUUAUAUAUAAUGAAUUAGUACAAUAUUUUACACUUUAUACAUUGCAUGGUAAGAUACAUGAGUAAUUUAGUACCACAUAGAGUUCCUAUGAGGUUCAAAAUUUUCACUAUCUUCAUCAUCUCUAUGUGUAGAGUAAGUGUAUUUUAGCAUAUUUUCACAAAAACAUAAGUGACAUGGUGGUCAAGGUGUUGAAGGAGUAAAAUGGGAGGGGUUCAAAUCCCUUUGGUGUUUUUUUAAAUAUAGAAAUUUAUCCUAGAUAAUAAAUAUUAGCUUGCAAGCCUUGCAGACAUCUUAACAACCAUAUAAAUAUUACAAGCUGAAUAUGUAAUCAUAAACACAUCUGUAGCGAGUUGGAUAAGAUCCAGGUGCGUUGUUGACAAAGGGAGGGGUUCGAAUCCCAACCUACAUGCAUAACAUCAUAAAAUAAAAUAUUAUUAAAAAUAUGGAUGGAAAACACCUUGAAUCAUCAAAAGCUCCAAAGUAGUGCCUCUCUCCAAAUUGAUCCCUCCCCCCCCCAAAAAAAAAUUAAAUCAUACAUUGUUCCCAAGGUGUGGAAAAAAAAAAGACAAUCGAAAAGGAAAUUAAAAAGCUAAACAAAACCUAAAGAAAGAUAACAACAAGUAAAAGACAAAAAAAAAAAUAAAUAAAUAAUGAGAGAAAAGAAAAGAAAAGACCCACUGAAGGGCACCAUGAUGAACCAUGCACUGGGUCAUGAAAACCCAAGUAGAGUUUGGAAGAAAUGCCCAUGGAAGGGCACCAUGAUGACGGGAGAAGCCAAGUCUUGGAAGGAAAGCCCACGUAAGUGCACCAUGAACCCUAGCAAAAAGGAGUAUUAAACAAACAAUUAUCAUGCACUCUCACCUCGAGCCCAGAGACAAACCACUGACAUGUUUUUAUUUCUCCAGACUCUUCCCAUUGCUCCCAAGACUAACCCAAACCAUUUCACCCAUUUCUCUCUUCUCUUUGUAGCUCCAUCGUGCAACUCCCUCUCUAUUGGUCAGCUCUACCUGCAACCCUAAACCAAAGCAACCCACACCUCCAUUCUGCAAAUCUUGCCCUCUCACUUCGAUUGGGCAAACAGCCCAUAAACAGAUCUAAGCCGAUAUAAGUGCACAAAGGUAAACAACCUCUUUUUUUGUUUAGUCAUCACCGUUUCCAGUUUUCUUUUUGAUAAGAAAAGGGAGGAAACUCUCAUACAUGUGUGCUUUCUGUGUAGAAAUCCUGAAAGCCACGGUGAUAGCACAGAUGAAGAGUACGAAUAUCGCGAUAUUAUCGGUAAUAUCGAUAAUAUCGCGAUAUUUUGACGAUAAUUAAAUGGAUAAGUAUGAAAAUAUCGUCUUCUCAUAAAAAUGAUAUUAUCGGCGAAAUAUCGCCGAUAAUAUCGAUAUUUUGUUCCUUGAACUCAACUAAUAGCCGAUACCAAGUUUUUGAUAUUUGGACAAGGCGUGGUUUUCAAGUUUUAAUAUCUUUGUACCCAAAAUACACUACAUCCCACUCUAGAAAAAAAGUUCUUUAGGAAAGGUUAAAUGUUGUCCCGUCCAGAAUUAUAUUAUCUCCAACUGAAGGGGCUAAACAUAGUCGUUCUAAUAAUUUACUAGUUUUAAGUUUAUACUAUAAAUUUAUUGGUUAUUUAAUUAAACUACCGUUGUAUGUUUUCAAAUAUAUCCGUUCAAUUCGAAUCAAUUCUUGUAACUGAGAAACUGGGCUCCAAAAAAGGGGCUAAGAGGGGGCUUACAUUUGGCUAGCCAGAUGCCCCUUUGCUAAAUAAUGGUCAGGUGGGUUCCAUAGAAUUAUAGCCUAGUCAUCAGUUAGAGACGAAUUUUUUGACAAAUCAGGCCAAGUUUUUGACUUUUAGACCUUUAGCCCUCUUUAUUGGAGAUGGCCUUAGUUGGUUUAAAUAUCAUGCAUUAAUAGACCAUGUUAUUUACCAUAUAUAAUUGAGCAAAUACUCAAGGCUUGUGAGGAAUUUGCUAUUUUUUUAAGGUUACAUAUAUAGAAUUCAAAUUAUUCCCUUGAUCGUUAAGUUCUACCUCGCUUUCAACUUAAAAAAAAAAAAAAAAAAAAAAAAAAAAAAAAAAAAAAAACCUGGAAUAUCAAAACAAUUUGUUCGAGGAGUUUUUUGAGUUGUCUGCAUGCAGAAGAACGCUUACCGAAUUAGUCUGAACAGCCAAUUAGAUAUUUCAAGUAGAAACCAUUCACAGAAAUUAAUUCCCUCCAACCAAAUCCUUUUCCACCAUAAAUCCAGAUCUAUUUAGCUAGUCCUCUCCUUUAAUUAGCUCAAUGCUUUUUGUCAUGUGUCCCUUUCCCCUGUCAGUUCAUUCCUUUUGUGGGUCAGAUCUAGGUCUGAUAUGCCGUCUGAGCUACCAUUUGUAGGGAUGGUAGGAAGUAGAGGGAGCGGGAAUACACUUACUAAACAUAAAGGCAUGAGGAAAGUUAAGGAGGAUGGUAGAUCCAAAGUGCAGAGAAGGGGGUACAACCACAAAGUCAAACAACCAAACCUAGGUUUUAAAAUGAGGCAAAAAUUCCCUCGGAUGCUAUCUACAUCAGCAGCGAAGGCCAACUACUCAGCAAACAUUAAAUUGGGCAUUAAUGACGAGGUAUGUCUCAAUAGAAGGAUACAAACCUAGUUAUUACGAUUGUGGUCCUGGUGUACCUACAAUUAGAAUAAAAAAGCAGUGAGAACCAAAGGUGGGAAGAGGAAGAACAGAGAGAGGAACUGGGUAGAGGCUCAACUGUCAUUCUUUUGUACAUUUCGAAUCAAACAGCCUGGGAAUCAAAUCAGAAUCGGAGUCAAAUGGUAGCAGCGGAAGUAGUGGAAUUAGUGAUUCAUCUGGAAAGAAACAUGGAUCUAUCCACUAUGGAACAGGAAUCAAACUAGUGGGUACUGCAUUGGUUAACAAAACCCUAAACAAAUGGGGCUUCCGUAAUAUCCUAAGAUCCUUUUGGAAGGAGUGGGGGGAGAUAGAAGUUAAGUGGGUUAAAGAUAAUACUUUCAUUAUCAUUGUCCAAGAUGAAAGCACUGCAACUUAGAUCUUAAACCAGGUACCGUGUGUGGUCAUGAAGCAGAACUUCUCAGUCGAAAGAUGGGCACAUAAGUUAGAUUUGGAGGAAAUCAACAUGGAAGUAGUUUCGUUUUGGAUACAAAUCAGGGGUGUCCUGCCUUAUCUCAACUCUGAAGAAAAUGUGAGGCGUCUGGCUGCAAAGAUAGGUGAGUUUUGGAACUUAAGGACCCAGCUAAAGCAAGAGGAUUCUUGAGAGUAAAGGUAGCUGUUAAUACCUCGAAUCCACUGACCACAGGGUGCUAGCUUCCGAGGGACAGAUGAGACAUGGAUUGAGUUUUGGUAUGAAAGACUACAUGACUUCUGUUACAAAUGCGGAAGAAUUAGACACCUAAACACUGAGUGUGCGUUUGAAGCUGUGAAGGGGGAGGUAUGGCUGGGUAUAGAGAAUGGACAAAAGCAGCUCCAAUUCGAGACUUAAUUGAAUCUCCAAGACCUCUGGCUCUAUUAUAAAAAAAAUUAUCAUCUGUGAAACUUGAACUUAUAAUCUUUCCAAAAAAAAAAUGGAAAUCUAGAGCCGCUAAUCCAAAGCUCUUAAAAGAAACCAAACUAGGGAAGAUUGUAUUGAGAAUUGGCUAGAGUUGUUGUUGUUGUUUUUUAUUUUUUUUAUUUUUAUUAUGGGUCGAGCGAUAGCGUUAAUAAUUAAAUGUUAGAUUAGCCACCAACGAGAUUUGACCUCAUACUGUCAUGUAAGGGCACAAUAUAUUUCCACCACUGUGAUAAAGGGCUAGAGUUUGAAUAAUAGAUAAUUGGGGGAAUGAUUUUCUGAUUACUCUCUGUCAACAAUAUACCAGAUAUAUAUACGAAUUCAACAUUCAAGCACGCCUAUUUCUAAGGCUAGGAAUCCGUGAUCCACCUUUGAUUUGGACUAAAACAGGAAAUUAAAGUAAAUCCUACAAAUAUAUUACAAAGAUAAUUCUUAACAAAAACGAUAAUGAGCAAACAAAGUGUUUUAAAUAUUGUUGUAGGAAAAUUAAGAGAGCUGUAUUUAGUAACACAUACACGAAAAUUUUGGUAGAAAUAAUUCGACCCCAAAAGAAACUUUUAAAUAGGAAUUGAGGACUAGUGCUACAAAUAGGACAUGAAAGUUUGAAUGUUUGUAGUAUUUGGGUAUGCAAACCUUUUACACGACCUUAUCUAUACUCUAAAAAGUUGAAUUUUAUCUUUGAUCACUAAAGUCCCAUUUGACGAAAUAAUGUAUUAUUAAAUGGAGAGUAACUUAGUGUCUUAAAGAAUAUAAAUUAUGGUUUAAAAAGUCCUCGUUGUAAAUUUUGAAAAUUUGUUGGAUAUGAUCACAUGUAGUUACAAAUUCAAGUGUUGUCUAUUUUUUAUUUUUUAUUUUUUAUUUUUUGGGUCAAACCCUGAGGUAUCUCCAACCUAUCCCUGGCCACAGUUAAAUACCACACUUCCUUCCAAAGCUUUUAAUUAGAGAAAUACUCAUAUUUUUGCCAACUUUGUCCUUGAAUUAGAGAUCACAGAGCAUACCUAACUUGGAAUUAUGUCGUGUUUAUACUGGACCAAUUGUUGUGGUUGUUGUUUAUACUACUAUCAAGAUGACAAACUUUGUCAUAAUUUUUUUUUAAAUACCAUUUAUGUCCCCACAUUGUUUUAUCCUUAGUUGCGAUAAAUAACCUUUAUAUAAUAAGAUUAAGAUAGGAAUUUUUUGGAUUUAAAUUAUUAAAUUAAAUUAGAGUUCUUCCACGUUUUUUUCCAUCUUUUUUCAAUAUUUUUCUCCCACAUACAUAGAACGACUGAAUGUUUGUAAUAUGCAAACCCCUUACACGACUUGACAUAAUACCCGGACAAAAAAAUUGAAUUUUAUCGUUGGCCGCUACAGUCCCAUUUGACCUUGAAAUAAUUUAUCAUGCAUUAUUUGGAGAGAGAAUAAAGCGUCUUAACGAAUAAAAAUUAUGAUUAAUAGAUCCUCGUUGCAAAAUUUUGGAAAAUCAUAAGGUGUUACUAAUUUAAGUGUUGUUUGUAUAUACUUUUUUUUUUGUCAAAUCCGGAGGCAUCUCACAUCCCGAAGAAUGAGACUAAUCCUUAGUGAGGUCUAUAAAAACUAAGGCAUUUCACCCCACCUUUGGCUACGGUCAAAUGUCACACAUCCUCCUAAAGUUUUCAACUAGAAAAUCAUCUAUGUUUUUACCAGCUUCGUGCCUCGAACUCAAAGACCACGAAGCAUACAUGGUUAGGAACUUUUCUACAAGACCAUUUACCAUGAUUGUUGUCUAUACUAUUAUUUAGAGAACACACUCUCUCGGACUUUUCUUCAAAUACCAUUUAUGUCCCCACAGUCCCAUUUUUCAUCCUUAGUUGUACUAAAUAACCUUAAUAUAAUAAGAUUAAAAUAGGAUUUUAUUUAAAAUUCUUCCUCAUUUUUCUCCAACUUCUCUUUCGCUAUGUUUCUCCUACAUGCAUAUCAUGUGUGAGAUUGCUAUUAUAACAAAGAGUUGACUAGUAAUACAUAUCAGGUGGUGCUAUUACAAGUUACACUUAAGAGUUUCUCAAUAAUUUCGAGUAAUAUACUGUGACAACUGUUCGUGGCGGGAAUUUCCGUGGGGAAUGAUUCUUGGCCGACGAGCACACAGCUCCCCGAGAGGUUGGCGCCGGUUGAUGCUUUCUGUCGGGCUUCUGCUUUACUGGCGGGCUUGUCAGGCAAAGCCUGUCGGGCAAGGCUUGUCGGGCAAGGCUGAAAGAGAAGGACAGAGUUAACUUUGAAAGGUGCCUUUGUGGGCUUUGAAUGUAGGCCUUGAGGUUCACGAUCAAGAUUAACUUUGAAUUGCUCAGGCGUGCCACUACCAUCUUCAGCAUGGUAGAUGUAGAACGAAUGUUUGAGUUUUAAUUAUAUAUAUUCAAGAGACUAUGUUAGUUAUUGACAGGUGCCUUUGUGGAGCCUUAGGUGUAGGCCUUGAGGCUUCCAUAAAUAACUAACUUAGUACUCAAGCACAUAAGGUUCCUUUUGUUGAUUAUAUGAGUCUUAUAACCAUCAUACUUCUGAUCACCUGAGCUCAAAGAGCAGAAUGAAUCCAAAUAGGUGCCUUUGUGGGGCCUUGAAUAGGUCUUGAGGCUUCCCAUCAGAACCCCUUCCGUACUCAAUGUUCUUGCCCGAGAAAUAGGAUGAAUCCAAAUAGGUGCCUUUGUGGGGCCUUGAAUAGGCCUUGAGGCUUCCCAUCAGAAUUCAUCCCGUACUCGAACGUUAUAUGGUCAUCAUAAUAUAACAGAAAUAAAACUAAGUGGCAGGUCGAUUACUUGCGCCCCAAGUAACUUCGGACUUCUUGUUUAUCAAAGCUUGUCGUGGAUGGGUUAAGUCCACAUCAGGUACUUUUUUAUGUCUUGAGGCCAAGGACUUUUUAGAGUGAUCAAAUCUUAUAUGCCCGAAGGCUUAGAACUUAGAUCUAGCUUGAACUGUGAAGACAUAUUCAAAUCGGAUUCAAGCGCUGAGAGAGUCUUUUAAUAGCCAUAUUACUAGAAAUAACUUGGAUAUAACUUGAAGUAUACAACAUAUUGCUAGGCUAAUGAAUGAAAAGACAAAAGCAAAGAAGGUCGGGCAAGGUUUAACCUUGUCGGGCAAGGCUGAUCGUCUUGCAAUUUCCUAUCUUUGUGGGUUAACAGAAGGUUUGAAGGCUUAGAAAAGGGGUUGGGAAAUGAGUUUGCAGAAAGAAAAUCGAUACUACAGCAGGUGUUGAACAGGGUAGCAGAGCUAUUACAAAGGGUUUAUCCCGAAAUGGAUGAAGGCUUGGGCUGACUACAGCUUCGUUUUGAAGGCAAAUCUGGCUUUGAGCAGAGUUUAUGCUUUUGUUUGUUUGUUUGAGUGUCCUUGAUUCUGUCUUCUCUUUCUCCUUUUAUAGACACCUUGGCUUGGCCUCCUGUAGCAAUAAUCUUGCCCGAAUGUAGUUUGAAGGAUAGUGACUCAUCAGCUAUUUACUUGUACUGCCAUUUAAAAGUACUUUUUGGGCUGAUUAGCUGGCUGGUCUAUACCACUUGGCCCUUGGGUAGGUGAGCAAGUGGUCUGCAUGGCCUGCACCUAGUCAGAAACGGGCUUCUCCUGUCUUCUGGACUUCGGCUGGGUUUUGACUGGCCUUGACUGGGUUUCUUCUUUUUAGGCUGCUCUUUGGGCCAACUUCCCCCGGGCCCAAAGUUUAAGUUUUGAUCCAAACAACAACUUUUUUUUCAAAUGAAAAUGAUAAUAUACUACUUCAAGCUACAUACACUUAGAAAGGGGAAAGAGUUUAAUCCGAAACACAAUAAAUUGAAGAGAAAUACUCUAUUCACCAAAGCAAAUUCAUCACUUGCAUUAUGACAUCUUUCUAACAUGCAACUUUUCUUUAUUUCAUUACAUAUCAUAUCUUUUGCAUGUAAAUUUUCUUGAUGAUUUCGAAAUUUUAAAACGAUGCAAAACAACAUUAAUUACUUUAAACUCAAACUAGCUCAAUGAGGAGGAGCAUAUGAAUUCUAUUCAAUUAGCGCACGCCAAGUGUUUGAUAUAUGUUUCGAUGCUCCAGAGUCCACAGGCAUAUCAUUCAUGAUAUUGCAUGCCAUUGUAAAAUGAAAACGUUCAUUAUUGCAUGACUCACGUCAAUGCAUAUUAAUUUUAGAUAUCAUGUAUAAUUAAAAGGGUUUUACUAUACCAAUUGAGUCAUUUUUUCGAUGCGACAAUUACAUUGACAUGUGAUAUUAGUUAUCCAUCAAGUUAUAACGUGCGAAGUACUAACACCAAGUGACGGUGGAGCCAUCUCACUCCAAGAUUAGCCUCAAAGGUGCAUUUUAAACCAGAUGCAGAGUCUUCACUAUGCGCACACACAUAUAUAUGGUAUAAUAGGUAUCUCUGCAAACAUUGUCAGAGGUUUUUGUAGAGCAGGUAAUAUAUUUUUGCAAUUCUGCAGUUUAAUUUCUUGUCAAUAAAAUGGCAAUUGCUUUUAAACUCACUGUUAAAUUAAGGACAGUGCUCAGUGCUAUCACACACCCUUUUUUUUUUUUUUUUUGCUAAUACACUUUAUUUUUACAUGUAAGGAAAAAAAAACAAGACUGCAGGCAUUUUCCUGUACUUAUUCACUGCUAAGAAUAUAUAUAAAAUGUUUAAUUUGAUUUAAAAUUAAUACUACUAGUGCUUUUCGAUGAUGGUUGCACUUCGAUGUAGAAUCUUUGGAAUUGGUACUACUUCAAGGUGUGGUCGGAUUAGGACCUCCGGACGGGGUAGUGCCCCUAAGUAUUUGCCUGAUCAAAGGGAAGAAGGGACGAUCCAUCUGAUGCAAAACAUCAUUCUUCAUCUGAUGCAUAAACUUUUCAUCCCCAUGCAACACUCUGCAGGCUUCGGACGAUUGCAUGUUCAUAAGAAAAACCAUUAAAAACACUGCCACCAAAAAUAUUUUUAAAAACGUCAUUUUGUUGGGCAAACAAAGACUAUUUUGCACCUUAUUUUCUGCGGAAGAAGGAAUGAAUGAAUGAAGAUAAAGCUAAAGGUUUUGUUGCGAAAACAAAGAUUUUGCUUCUAUUUUCUGUCUGUGAAAAACAGAAAGGAUCGAAAGAAAUAAGGAAGGAAUGAAUGAAUGAAUAGAUGGGGAAUAUGGGGCUUCUUAUAUGCAUCAAUUAAGACGAACUUUCAUAUGACUUUGAUUUUUCAAUAUAAAUCUAUUUGUUUCGUUGUUUUGACUAUUAAUUGAUGAUUAUGUGCUAAAGACUUAGAAUUGAAUCGGUCGUCAUAUCCGCAAGGGUUUUGGUUUUAGGGUUUCACUAUAUUGUGGACCUAAAUCAAAGCUAAUUAAUUAUCUAACAACACAAUCCUUUCUUGAUGCCCAAAAAUAGCACAUUUUGUUUUACUCUUAAGUUCCUGUAAGAAACAUUUUACUCAUAAUUUAAGUUGAGCUAUAUAGCUUUUUUACUUAAUUAUUCUAGUACAGUAAAACCUCUAUAUAGUCAUAAUAUUGAAACCAAAUCAAAUUUAUAACUUUAAGCAGGUUAUUACUUAAUAGAGGUGCAACUAAAAAAUAUUAUUAUUUUUUACUUAGUUAUCUUCAAUAAAAAUUGUAUAGAUACAAAGAACUAUUAGUUACGUUAGUUUCCAAGAUGUAAAAUUUGAAAAAUAAAAACACGCAACCCUUAAAAUCUAGGAAACUUUAACGAAAAGCACCCGUUACUGUUCACUUUAACGAAAAACCACAUUUUUACACUACAAAGUCAAUCCUGGUACUAUUCAUUUUACCCUUUAUUUUGUCAUUAUCAUUAAAACUCAAAGUUUUCAAACAUUUUUCAUUAGUUUUCCUUAAAAUCUAUUGCAUGUGUGUACGUAUGUAGUACUUAAGUUAAAUGCCUAUCUAUAAACAUGCUUGUGAAGCUAAAAACAAUAUGGGCUUCAACAAGAAAUUGUUCAUAUUGACGAGGUAUUACGUACUCAUAAGCUCAAAGGCAUGAUAUCAACUCUAAAAAAUAAAUAUUGUCUCAAAUAAUUAUAUAGAAAUAUUUUAAUUAAUCUUAAAUGUUUAUUUCUGACAUUGCAUAUUUUUGUACUUAUGGACAAUUAUUAUUAUAUGGAGGCGAGUUUUCUUGAUAAAGUUAUGACUUAUUACCAAUACAUAACUGGCUCCCAGUUUGGGCAAUAAAUUUUUAUGACUAUAAAGAAGGUUAUUCUUAAAUAGAGCAUUAUUAUAAAGAUGUUUUACUAUAUAUAUUUUAAGCCUUUUUUUUUUAUUAAGUUGUCCUGAUUCAAUUAUUUUGUUCUUUUAGUUUUGUUAACAAUUACUAAUACUAUAGAGGUAUUUUGACCAACUCCUGUAGAGUUUUUGUUACUAUUUUCUUGCAUCACAAUUUUGAACUGAGAUUGGAGUUUGGCACGCAAGUAAAAGCGUGUGUAUAAGGCCUUUGAAGUUUGAACGUUGACUAUUUUAAUUGAAGUUUUAGUACGCUGUUGGUGUAGUAUUGGUGUUAUUUGUGAUGACUCAAGUCUUAUUUGACUUCAAAUGCGUCCAAGCGUGUUUAUUUAAUUAACUAAGACAUCUCAAAACUAAUUACCUCUCUAAUUCACUAGCCAGACCUUAGUAUUGUUUUUUCUUAGUUUUAUAGGAUAAAAUUGAAUAAGAAUAAGUCAUGAUGUCUAGAAAGGUUGUCUAAAAUGACCCCUGUGAAAUUUGAACUUACAAUCUUCUCUGGAAAAAUGAAAAUCAGGUGCCACUAAUCCAAAACGGUAAUGAGCGAACAAAGUGUAUUAAAAUAUUGGGUUAAUCUCUGUUUACUAUCCUAAAGUUUCGUAGUUUUCAAUAUUUGAUACAUGAAGUUUUUUUCAUCCCAGAGUCAUACCUCAAGUCUUAAAUUUGGGAUAAUUUCAUACCUCUGUUAAGUUUUCCUUUAAAACUUUUGUUAACUGAUGACGUGGACAAUAACUGAACGUAGGCCUGGCAAACGGGUCGUGUCUAUCAUGUUCGUGUCGUUUUCGUGUAACACCUGUUAUCUUAACGGGUCGUGUCGUGUCACAUCUGUUAUCUUAACCGGUCCUUAACGGGUAAAGUAACCCGACCCGUUAUGACCCGUUAAGAAAAAUAUAUUUUUUUCUUAAAUUUGCACAUACCUCACAUUACCACAUAAAUAUUGCUUCAAAACAUUAAAACAUAUUUGUCAUUUAAGUACUAUAUCUACACUCGAAAAUAAGAGCCUAAUAAAAAACAAGUUUGACGGUUGGAUCGUUAAAAUUAGUUUCAUAGAAUUCGUAUCCCAUCAAAACGAUAGAUUCACUAACACUUAGAGUUUGUUUAUACUUUCAUUAAGUAUAACAUAAGAUUUUGUGGUAUCCACUUCUGUAAAUAUUUUAAAUUGACGAUCAAAUUCAUUCAUUGUAUUCGUAUAGGGUCAAGGAGUGUAGUUGUAAAAAAAAUCAUCAAAAUCGGAGUUAAAAUAACCGUUAAAUCGUGAUUUUUUGUUUUAUAACCAUCAAAAAGUUUUGUCUCAUUACUUGAUCUUUGAAUGUUUGUUUUUUGUGACUUUUGGCGUAUGCGAUCUCGAAGCAUAUACAAACAAGUUUGACGGUUGGAUCGUUGAAAUUAGUUUCAUAGAAUUUGUAUCUCAUCAAAACGAUAGAUUCACUAACACUUUGAGUUUAUUUAUACUUUCAUUAAGUAUAACAUAAGAUUUUGUAUGUUGUAAAUAUUUUAAAUCAUCAAAAUCGGAGCUAAAAUAACCGUUAAAUCGUGAUUUUUUGUUUUAUAACCGUCGAAAAGUUUUGUCUCAUUACUUGAUCUCUGAAUGUUUGUUUUUUUGUGAUUUUGGCGUAUGCGAUCUCGAAGUAUAUACAAACAAGUUUGACGGUUGGAUCGUUAAAAUUAGUUUCAUAGAAUUCGUAUCCCAUCAAAACGAUUGAUUCACUAACACUUAAAGUUUAUUUAUACUUUCAUUAAGUAUAACAUAAGAUUUUGUGAUAUCCACUUGUGUAAAUAUUUUAAAUUAACAAUCAAAUUCAUUCAUUGUAUUAGUAUAGAGUCAAGGAGUGUAGUUGUAAAAAAUCAUCAAAAUCGAAGUUAAAAUAACCGUUAAAUCGUGAUUUUUUGUUUUAUAACCGUCGAAAAGUUUUGUCUCAUUACUUGAUCUUUGAAUGUUUGUUUUUUGUGAUUUUUGGCGUAUACGAUUUCGAAGCAUAUAAAAACAAGUUUGACGGUUGGAUCGUUGAAAUUACUUUCAUAGAAUUUGUAUCUCAUCAAAACGAUAGAUUCACUAACACUUAGAGUUUGUUUAUACUUUCAUUAAGUAUAACAUAAGAUUUUGUGGUAUCCACUUCUGUAAAUAUUUUAAAUUGACGAUCAAAUUCAUUUAUUGUAUUCGUAUAGGGUCAAGGAGUGUAGUUGUAAAAAAUCAUCAAAAUCGGAGUUAAAAUAACCGUUAAAUCGUGAUUUUUUAUUUUAUAACUGUCGAAAAGUUUUGUCUCAUUACUUGAUCUUUGAAUGUUUGUUUUUUGUGAUUUUUGGUGUAUGCAAUCUCGAAGCAUAUACAAACAAGUUUGACGGUUGGAUCGUUGAAAUUACUUUCAUAGAAUUUGUAUCUCAUCAAAACGAUAGAUUCACUAACACUUAGAGUUUAUUUAUACUUUCAUUAAGUAUAACAUAAGAUUUUGUGGUAUCCACUUCUGUAAAUAUUCUAAAUUGACGAUCAAAUUCAUUCAUUGUAUUAGUAUAGGGUCAAGGAGUGUAGUUGUAAAAAAUCAUCAAAAUCGGAGUUAAAAUAACCGUUAAAUCGUGAUUUUUUGUUUUAUAACCGUCGAAACGUUUUGUCUCAUUACUUGAUCUCUGAAUGUUUGUUUUUUGUGAUUUUUGGCAUAUACGAUCUCGAAGCAUAUACAAACAAGUUUGAUGGUUGGAUCGUUGAAAUUAGUUUCAUAGAAUUUGUAUCUCAUCAAAACGAUAAAUUCACUAACACUUAGAGUUUAUUUAUACUUUCAUUAAAUAUAACAUAAGAUUUUGUGGUAUCCACUUGUGUAAAUAUUUUAAAUUGACGAUCAAAUUCAUUCAUCGUAUUCGUAUAGGGUCAACGAGUGUAGCUGUAAAAAAUCAUCAAAAUCGGAGUUAAAAUAACCGUUAAAUAGUGAUUUUUUGUUUUAUAACCGUCGAAAAGUUUUGUCUCAUUACUUGAUCUCUGAAUGUUUGUUUUUUUCGAUUUUUUGCUGAUGCGAUCUCGAAGCAUAUACAAACAAGUUUAACGGUUGGAUCGUUGAAAUUAGUUUCGUGUAUCCCAUCAAGUUCAAUGGUGUGUGUAUAUAUAUAUAUAUAUAUAUUAUGUAGAUUUAAAUCUAUUUAUUUUGUACGUAUAAUUAUUAUAGUUUUUAGGGGUAUAAAUUUAAUUUAAAACUUAAUAUAUAUAUAUAUAUAUAAUUAUUAUUGUUAAUUUAAUAUAUAUAUAUAUAUAUAUAUAUAUAAUUAUUAUAGUUUUAAACUUGUUAGGGGUAUAAAAUUGUAAAAUUAAUAUAAAUAAUUAUUAUAGUAUUUUUUAGGGUUAUAAAAUUAUUAAAUUAAUAUUCUGCUUAUCGCGUAUCAUGUUACCCACGUGUAUACCCGAACCAACCCGCUAUCUUAAUAGGUGCUUAUCGGGUUACCCGAUAACACCCGAUUCGUUAUCGUGUUGACCCGAACACCUGUUAAUUUCGUGUCGUGUCGUGUCGGGUUAUCGGGUCGUGUCAGGAAUUGCCAGGCCUAACUGAACGCCAAGUGUCAAUAUGGGUCGACUUUAAUAUUAAAAAAUUAGAAAAAUACAAAAUUAUAAAAAUUAUAAAUAUAUAUAUAUAUAACUUGGGUUAUCUCCUACCUCCCCCGACCCACCCUCCCUUCUCCCUCCAUUUUCUCCUCUUCACCCUCACUCCUCUAAUCCCUCCAUCCACCUCAUUACCGCCCUACCAAACCCAUAUCUUCUACACCCUCACUCCCUUACUCCUCUGAUCCCUCCCUCCACCUCACCGCCACCCUACCAAGCCCAUAACCAGUUUUUGCGCCCCCUGCCUCAGCUAAUGCCUCGCAGGCCUCGACUCCGCCAUCGCAGCUCAUCAAGAACCCUUCACCCAUAACCCUCAUUCUGGGUAUGAGCUCCAGAGAAGCAAGUUGUGUUCCAGAACGAGACCCGAAUCGUCAUCGACCAACGCCCUAGACUCGACCCGGCGCAAGUUAUGCAAUGUCAAGGCCCGGAACACUCUGAGCUCUUUAACAUCGACAACGACCGCAAAGGAGUGUCGAGAAAGUUCCAUGUUGAAUUGAGAUAUGGGGAUAAGGACGACGGUGGAGAUGAAGCUAGGGUUUUGGAUUUGGAUACAGAUGCAGAUUCGGAGUUCAAGACGGGCGAGGGUAGGGAUUCGAAGGAAAUUGCAGGGAAGAUGAAGAAGGCUGAGCAAAAAAGUGAAGCAAUGGCGGCGGAAGCAAAAGACGAAGAAGGCUGAGAACGAGGGUUUCGUGGCGGAGAAGAUGAGGGAAACCCAGUCCGAAGUGGGAGAGUGCGCAUUCUACGGUGGUCAAGCCCAGCAACAGUUCCGCCUUCCAGUCCUUCAAAAUGAUAAUUUGGGCGUCGAGUCGGGGUUUUUGCAUUUAGGUAGAAGACGGGUUGCAGAAGGAAGAAGGGAAUGAGGGGGUUGGGGGAGGUAGAAGACGGGUAGGUGAUUUUUAUUUUUAUUUUUUUUGUAUUUUUUUAAUUUUUUUAAUAUUAAAGUAGACCCAUAUUGACACGUGUCGCCCAGUUAUUGUUCACGUGGGUGCCACGUCAUCAGUUAACAGAAGUUCUAACGGAAAACUUAACGGAUGUGUGAAACUAUCCCAAAUUUAAGACUUGAGGUACGACUCUGGGAUGAAAAAAACUUCAUGUACCAAAUGUUGAAAACCACGAAACUUCAGAGUAAUAAACAGAUAUUAACCCUAAAAUAUUAUUGGAGGAAAAUGAAGAGAAUGUGUUGUUUUUAAUUACACGUGCAAGAAAAUUUUGGUACAAAUUAGUUAAUUUGACCACAAAGAAAUGUUGAAUCAUUGAGGAAUAGUUUGGAUCAAAUGAUAUCACUGCUGACAACUUUUUAUCAUGCAUUAGUUUCAAAAUCUUCAAAAGUUUGAAUCACCAUCAAGACCUUUUCUGGUAAUAUAUAUAUAUAUAUAUAUAUAUAUAUGAGAAUUGUUAUUAGCACUCCAAAAAUCUCAUUUGACAUUCUAAAUUUUCUAUAAUUAGAAAGAAAAAUAAAUUUGUGAGAAGUGUAGAAUGAGAUUUUUGGAGUGCUAAUAAUAAUUCUCAAUGUAUUAAGAUGUUUUAUCUUGCGUUUUGUGUAGCAGAUGCAACCUCACUAAUCUGUGGGGUUUUACUGUUUUAGCAGUUGAUUAAUAACAUGAUUUGUUAAAAAAAAUUUGAGAUUUGUUCAUUCAUCUGCUAAUUAGAAUUCAGAUAAAACAAAUAGAAUGAAUGCAAAUAUGGGUAUAGCCAGGUUAGCGAGAGUUGCGUGCUCUCUUCUGCACCAAGUUCGAAUUACUUACGUAAUUUAAUUUAAUUUAGUAUAAACUAUAAAUAAAUAAAAAAGAAAUAGAAUGAGUUCAGUUAUAAUAGUCCCAUGGGUUACAAUUACAACCAAAACUUUUUAGCCAAUUGACCAACAAAAAUAAUGAAAAAAAUGGGUUAUUAUACAUGAAUUCUACCGCAGGGAUGCUAAUCUAGCUAAACAUUAUUCACAUUUUGAACUUUAUAACAUCUGUUGCUCCCGUUUCUUAGUCUCAAUAGUGCCGGCCGGAACGUUAAUUCUCGGUAUUAGUAGGGUGAGGAAUGGCAUGGCCAAGAAGGCUUCAUGCACUAAGUGGUAAAGCUAUUUUCAUCUCAUUCAGGUGCAAACACCUGAGCUGCGGCCGGGGAUGUGGGUGCUGGGAUUAGGGCCAGUUGGUGGCGGUCGACCCAUCUGGAGGGACCGAAACACAAGUACAACACCAUGGUUCCUAGCCCAUUGUUCUGCCUUCAAUUGCCUCAUUUCUCCAACUUUCAGGCAAGAAAACAGAACAAGAACAACAAAAAGAGUUGAGAACAAAGUCCUCCUGUAACAGAACCUCAUCUUUGAUACCCAUAUGGAACUUUACGGUUCGUGUGGUAACGUUUUACAGACCCAUUUUCGAGAAAAUUGCUUUGGAAAGUGAAAAUGAGUUUUCACAGUAGUAUGUAAUAAGGAAAUGGAAUCUAAGAUGAAGUGUGGUGGAGGUAAGACCUGUUAUAUACAGCUCUCUAUAAAUUUCAAAUUGUUCAUGCCUUCGCCUAGUACCUAAGCUAUAAUAUUAAUUCGGAGCUUGAGAUUGACUUGGGCCAGUGGAACUUGAAGGUUAAACCAUGGCAUGGUGGUCCAUAUGUAAUGAAACAAUACACGCUAACUUGAACGCCAAACAGUGUCGCACAGUGUAGUUUGGGUGUAAAGCAAUUGGUCAAGUUUUAAUAGUUGUCUACGAGAAAGAUAUGAUGAGCGUUAUACUUAGACGGAGAAUACACCCGACAAGGACAUAUGCAAGAAUCCGCCUUGAAUUACAAGGCAAAUAGAACCAAAGAAUUAAAAAGUGAACUUUUUGGUGGUUGAUGCAAGCCCUGAGGAAAGCAUAAUACGGAGAGUCAAAUUCAAACAAUAUUUUUAACACAGUAGGCGAAUAGGUGUCACUCGUUGUAGAAAAAUAAUAUAUGGCUGAAUUGUAUAUUCUCAUUGAUACGUGAAAGUAUAUAUAUAUACAAAUACAUUUCUUGAGCAGCAAGGAUUCCUCGUACAAGUUAGGAGUACAGUUACAAUUUAAGUCUAACUACUUUCCUAUUUGUCUAACACUCCCCCUCUAGUUGGAGAGUGAAUGUCAAGAUCGCCCAACUUGCGUAACAUGGUUGAAAAUUUCUCCUUCCCAAGAGGCUUCGUAAAUAGGUCUGCCAACUGAUGUGCCGUACCAACAUACUUGGUAGUUAUAGUGCCAUCAACAAUCUUAUCAUGUAUAAAAUGAUAAUCCAUCUCAAUGUGGUGAGUACGUUCAUGAAAAACAGGGUUGGCAGCUAUAUGCAAUGCUGCUUGAUUGUCACAAAAUAGAUCAGAUGGACCGGUUAAGCACUACUAGAAAAUAUUAUUUUGCCGACAAAUUCUAAGCCGACAAAGUAAAAUUUUGUCGCCACAAGACUCAUUCGCCGACGAAAAUUUUAAUUUGUAGGCUCAUAAUUGUUGAACUUGUGCCGACAAUAUUUUUGUCGGCGAAAAAUAUUUAUGCCUACAAAUAAAAUAACCCUCGGGAAAGCAUGCAGGUUUGUCGACAAUCAGAAGAUGGGAACAGACUAAUUUAUUCUCGCGCCUUUUGUUUUUUGGUCUUUUUGAUUCACCCGCUUCUUCUUUUUAUCGAAAAAUUCCCCCUAUAAAAAUCAUUGUAUUUUCAUUGAACCCUAAUCUUAAUUGUCGAUAGCCCACCCCUCCCUUUCUCUUUGAAAUCGUAACUUUCUGUCUUCCAAUCGAGCUCCAUCGACAUCGCCAUCGCUCCGUAUGCCCGACAUCGCCGUCACUUCGUGUGCUCGACAUCGCUGUCGAUUCGUCUGCUCGCGUUACCGUCGAAGUGCCCGACCAUUCUAGUUUUGAAAUUUCUAAUGCCGGGUGCUUCUCUGCAUUUCGUUCUCUAAAACUUUGGGUAAGUUCUCAAUCUCUAUCUACCCUAUUCUUUCCCCGUAGCUUUUUGGUUAGUUUCAAUUUUAUGGUGCUUUUCUUAGAUUUGUUCUACCACUGUAAUUUUGAGGGAUUUUAGGUAAUGAAUUUGGUUGAGAAUCUAAGUUAGGUUUGUAAUUUCUUUCUGGGCUGCCUGGGUUUGAGGAUGAUUAGUCUACUUUUUGAAUUUUAAUUACUUUUAACUUUUAUUUCUGAGAAACUGCAAUCAAAAUGCAGUUAUGGUUUUAUAGUCAUAAUCAAUUGUGAGUCUUUGCACCACAUCAAUCAAUUCCUAUGUUUAAUCAAUUGAAAUUAGGGUCAUGUUACUAAUGAAGUUGUCGGGUUAAGGUUAUAUGAUAUUUUGCUUCUAGGAUUUGUGUUUUUGUUUUUUAAUCUUUUUCAUUUUUUGUCUAUUAUUAAUUCCUAAACGAGAACAUCAAUUUGGCAAUGCUUAUGUGGUAUUAAUUUAUCUUCUAUCUUCAUUUUAUAUAAUUUGCUUCUGAUUUAUGCGUGUUAUUUAGAUUAUUGAUCAAAUCAACUGUGUUGGAGGCUAGGAUCUCAAAUAAGUAAGUAAAAAAAAUCUGAAUUGUCCCUCUAUUGUGCAGAACACUAUGAGCAAUGAGCUUUCUGCAGGUAAGUUUGAUUGUGAUGAGAAUAUAUUUUAUAUUUUGUUUUCCUCUGCCUUAUGUUUAUCCUAAAUACAUUGAUGACAUCCCUUGCAUUUUCUUGCAUGUCGGAGUAGUUUGAUUAUGUCUAAUGCUAGACAUGAGCAAGAAUCAUACUAGAACAAUGAGCACAGAUUGGCCUACACCUCUGAGAUCCGCACCGCCUCUGAGGGUGACCGCUAUGAGAAAUCGGUCAUUUUCCCAUUACUCUCCCUGGUUUUUAUUGCUUUUAAAGUUCCAAUAUUUAAUCAAAUUAAUAUUCUAGUAGUAGAUAUCUCUACAACUGGGCUGUAUAUUUCAUGAAAAAUUUGAUAUGUGGUCCAAUUCUUCUGUUGCAAUCCUUUAUUGUUCUCGGGGUAUAUUUUUCUCGUUGUUUUGACAACCACCAGUCAUUUGGUACAUGAUUCAUUUUCAAGUCAAUAAUGUUUAGUAACUAUUUAACUUUCUUUCAUCAUUAACUGGUUAGAUUUUAAUCCCAGCCUGUGUAGAAAUGUUUAGUAACGGCACACAUUCAGUUUGGUGAUUUGGAUUCAUUUUUCACUGGUGUUUCUUUGGCAUUAUUUAAUCUUCCAUAAAAAUAGUACUUGUACAGAAAGAGCUUGGGAGGCAAACAAUGCCUGCUCUAUGCGAAGAAGCGCAAGAUCAAAGAAGCUCUAGAAGGUUCGUUAUCUCUCUAGUCUAUAACGUAUAUAUGAUCAGUUAUAUAUGAAAGUUACUUUUUUCUUUUGUUUAUAAUGUAUCACUGUCGUAAAGUCUUGUGUAAUCUGGUGAUAAUUUGAACAUGUAAUUGUUUAGUUUUUCAUCAAGUUAUGCUGUUGAUUCUUCAUGGCUUUCAUUUCUGAAUCUCAGUCCCAAGGUCACAUCAACAAUACGUAUGCAAACGCAUCUCAAAGAGACCCGAAAAUUUUGAUGACUACUACCUGGGACCCGAGUGCUCCACUAAUACAAUUUGCAAAGGUUGGCCUAGCCUUUUUCCUUACUUAUCACAUUAUUCAAAUCAGUUUUGCUGCACUCUUGUGUUCAUUUUGGUGGUAUCAUGCUGUGUUGGUUAUUGAUUGUCGUUUUUGUUGCACGCGUGUCCAUUUUGGUGAUAUUAUACAAGGCGGGUGUUGAUUAUUGAUUGUCGUUGAAUCACACUGGUGCAAGAACUGAAACUCUUUUUUCCCAUUGCGCUACAAAUGAAUCGUGGUGGCCAGGUUGGUGCACAUUUUCAAUGAGCCUUCUAACUAUUUGGUUAUUGUUUGUGUUUUGUAACAUUUACUUUGCACCUAUUUGGUUAUGUUUGUGUUUUGUAACAUUUAUUUUGCAGGUGCAUGAUGUUUUGUGAUGCUACAUGGCAGCCAAUUUUGAGGAAUGACAGUAGGAUAAUAUUAUUGUGUAACAUAUGCUUUCGUAUAAGCACUCUAGAUGUACAUUAAAAAUUUAUCAAUCAAUAAAGUAUUAUUUCUUAACAACUGUGUAUUGUAUUUUGACAUGUUUAUGUAGUUGUUGAGCAUUAAAGUAAUUAUUAAAUUUUUUUUUUAUAAAUUAAAUGUCCUUCCCGACGAAACCAGUUUUGUCAAGACAGAGAAGACUAUGCCGACGAAAUAUCCAUGGUGACAAACAUAUUUUGUUGGCUUAAAAGUACUUGGUCGGCUAAAAUGCCUUUUACCGACGAAAAUAUUUGUCGAGACACAUGGAAAUGCCGACAAAAAACUGUUUGUCGGUAAAAUUUGAACCUUAGCCGACAAAAUACCACAAUUUGUAGGGAAAACUCUUAGGCGACAUGCUUUGCGAGACAAAAUGGCCGACAAAUUUUUUCGUCGGAAAAGACUCUUUGCCGACAAAUUUUGGCCUUUGCCGACAAAGUAGUUUUGUAGGUAAAGUCAAAAUUUGUAGUAGUGAAGGGAACGUUCAAAUCUUUCAAUAGAAAGCGCAGCCAAAUUAUCUCACAACAAGCACCCGACAUAGCUCUAUAUUCCACUUCAGCAGAAGAAAGUGACACAGUUUUCUGUCGCUUUGUCCGCCAUGAAAUCAAAGAAUUUCCCAAGAAAACACAGUAGCCAGUAGUCGACCGAAGAGUAAUAGGACAACCCGUCCAGUCAGAAUCACAAAAAGCAGUCAACUUGAUUUGAUUGUUAGAACGGAAUAGUAAGCCUUGACCCGGAGUAGACUUCAAAUAACGAACAACUCGAAGUGCAGCAUCCAUAUGAGGAGUACACGGCUCAUGCAUAAACCGACUUAGAACAUGCACAGGGUAGGUGAUAUAUGGGCGAGUUAUUGUGAGAUAAAUUAACCAUCCUACUAGACGCCGAUACUUUUCAAGAUCCUUGAGAGUUCCCCUUUGUCAGAUAGUUUUGUAUCGUCCAUAGGAAAGGCAAUGGGUCGUGCUCCCAGGAAGCCAUAAUCUUUGAGAAUCUCUAAUGCAUAUUUACGCUGAGAAAUAUAAAUGCCAUGUUUGGACUGAGAAACCUCGAUCCCCAGAAAGUACUUUAAAUCACCAAGAUCCUUAAUCCGGAAGUGAUUGUGGAGAAAAAGUUUCAAAGAAGCAAUUGCACCCACAUCAUUGCCUGUUAUCACAAUAUCAUCCACAUAAAUGAGCAAGGCUGUAAAAGAAAUACCUGACUUUUUCUUAAACAAUGAAUAGUCAGCUUUGGAUUGUUGAAACCCAGCAAAAAGAAUGGCAUUAGUGAACUUGGCAAACCAUUGACGAGAAGCCUGCUUGAGACUAUAAAGAGACUUGUGAAGGCGACACACAAGAUUCUCCCUCUGUCGCCGAAGACCAAGAGGAUGAGACAUAUAGAUUUACUCAUCUAAAUCACCAUGCAAGAAAGCAUUAUUGACGUCAAGUUGAUAAAGAGACCAAGAUUGACUAGCAGCAAGGGCAAAAAGAUAGCGUACAGUGAUCGACGCCAGUUAGGAUCAAUGGCAGCCUCUGCAAAAGAAGAUGGUUCGACACCCCAACUCAUAGAGUAGAUAUAUGAAAGAUGAUGUGGAGAUAAACAAUGAUAAGAAACAUAAUUACAGAGGGGAUACCGCGUACCUUUGACAAAACCUGGUGGCGAAAACGAGGACGGGUGUGGGGGCAAAAUCACCUGCGAGCAAACGUAGUCCUUUAAGUAAGGUGGGGGUGCAUGGGAGCAGGAAGACACACGGAGAGAUGGAGAGGGUGUAUAUGAGGGCAUGGAUGGGGGAGCGGGUGGGACCGUGGGUGGGGGAAGGGAAUCAUGCGGGGCGGUGCUGGGAAUUGGGUCAGAAGGGGGGAAAAUAAUAGGUAAUGAGGGAGGGGGUGGUGGUGUAGGGCCCGGGGAGAUGGGAAAAGGGACAUCCAUUAAGGGAGGAAUGGGUAGGGAGAUGUUGUGGGAUGAGGGGUUUAUGACAGGUGUAGUGGGAGGGGAAGCAAAAGGAAAAGAGUCCUCAUGGAAGAUGACAUCCUAACUAGUGAAGGUGCGAUAUGUGUCAAGGUCAUAGAGUUUAUAAGCCUUUUAACCAGCAGGGUAACCAAUAAAGAUACAACGAUGAACCCUAGGAGAGAACUUAGUGGUCGGAAGAACGGAUGUGGCAUAGGCUAAACAACCGAAAACACGAAAGUGAUCAUAUAGUGGAGGUUUAUUGUGGAGGACUUCAAAAGGUGUUUUGUUAUUGAGAAGGCGGGUAGGAAGACGAUUGAUGGUAUAGGCGGCAGUGAGUAUACAUUCGCCCCAAAACUUGAAGGGAAGGUGUGAUUGAAACCGAAAGGCCCGAGCAAUUUCAAGGAGGUGCCUGUGUUUGCGUUCAACAACGCCAUUUUGCUGGGGUGUGUAUAGGCCUGGCAAACGGGUCGUGUCAGUCGGGUUCGUGUCGUUUUCGUGUAACACCUGUUAUCUUAACGGGUCAUGUCGUGUCACACCUGUUAUCUUAACGGGUCCUUAAUAGGUCGGGUCACUUUACCUAACGGGUAAAGUGACCCGACCCGUUAUGACCCGUUAAGAAAAAUAUUUUUUUUUUCUUAAAUUUGCACAUACCACACAUUGUCACAUAAAUAUUACUUCAAAACAUUAAAAUACAUUUGUCGUUUAAGUAUUACAUCUACACUCGAAUAUAAGAGCCUCAUAAAAAAUACAUCCAUACACUAUUAAUCUAUUACAAAUAUUAAAUGUGCAAGGAUAUGCAAAAUGAAAGCGUUUUUGUUUUCAAGGUUGUGAAGUCUUUCUCAAAAGUUUAAACCUUGCCAAUGGAACUCAAAGCUUAAUGAAAGUGACCCACUAGUGUGUUUAUUCGUAAUUUCAUUAAGUAUAACAUAAGAUUUUGUGGUAUCCACUAGUGUAAAUAUUUUUAAUUGAAGAUCAAAUUCAUUCAUUGUAUUCAUAUAGGGUCAAAGAGUGUAGUUGUAAGAAAUCAUCAAAAUCGGAGUUAAAAUAACCGUUAAAUUGUGAUUUUUCGUUUAUAACCGUCGAAAAGUUUUGUCCCCGUUACUUAAUCUUUAAAUGUUUGUUUUUUUCAAUUUUUGGCGUAUGCGAUCUCGAAGCAUAUACAAACACGUUUGACGGUUAGAUCGUUGAAACUAGUUUCGUAAAAUGCAUAUCCCAUCAAAACAAUAGAUUCACUAACACUUAAAAGUUUAUUCUUACUUUCAUUAAGUAUAACAUAAGAUUUUGUGGUAUCCAAUAGUGUAAAUAUUUUAAAUUGAAGAUCGAAUUCAUUCAUUGUAUUCAUAUAGGGUCAAUGAGAUUAGCUGUAAAACAUCAUCAAAAUCGAAGUUAAAAUAAUCGUUAAAUCGUGAUUUUUCGUUUAUAACCGUCGAAAAGUUUUGUCUCGUUACAUGAUCUCUGAAUGUUUGUUUUUUGCAAUUUUUGGUGUAUGCGAUCUCGAAGUAUAUACAAACAUGUUUGAUGGUUAGGUCGUUGAAACUAGUUUCGUAAAAUGCGUAUCCCAUCAAAACAAUAGAUUCACUAACAUUUAAGAGUUUAUUCAUACGUUCAUCAAGUAUAAUAUAAGAUUUUGUGGUAUCCACUAGUGUAAAUAUUUUAAAUUGAAGAUCAAAUUCAUUCAUUGUGUACAUAUAGGGUUAAGGAGUGUAACUGUAAAAAAAUCAUCAAAAUCGAAGUUAAAAUAACCGUUAAAUCGUGAUUUUUCGUUUAUAACCGUCGAAAAGUUUUGUCUCGUUACUUGAUCUUUGAAUGUUUGUUUUUUGCAAUUUUUGGUGUAUGCGAUCUUAAAGUAUAUAUAAACAUGUUUGAUGGUUGGAUCGUUGAAACUAGUUUCGUAGAAUGCGUAUCCCAUCAAAACAAUAGAUUCACUAACACUUAAGAGUUUAUUCAUACUUUCAUCAAGUAUAACAUAAGAUUUUGUGGUAUCCACUAGUGUAAAUAUUUUAAAUUGAAGAUCGAAUUCAUUCAUUGUAUUCAUAUAGGGUGAAGGAGUGUAGCUGUAAAAAAUCAUCAAAAUCGGAGUUAAAAUAACCGUUAAAUCAUGAUUUUUCGUUUAUAACCGUCGAAAAGUUUUGUCUUGUUACUUGAUCUCUGAAUGUUUUUUUUUUUUACAAUUUUUGGCGUACACAAUCUCAAAGUAUAUACAAACAUGUUUAACGGUUGGAUCGUUGAAACUAGUUUCGUAGAAUGCGUAUCCCAUCAAAACAAUAGAUUCACUAACACUUAAGAGUUUAUUCAUACUUUCAUCAAGUAUAACAUAAGAUUUUGUGGUAUCCACUAGUGUAAAUAUUUUAAAUUGAAGAUCGAAUUCAUUCAUUGUAUUCAUAUAGGGUGAAGGAGUGUAGCUGUAAAAAAUCAUCAAAAUCGGAGUUAAAAUAACCGUUAAAUCGUGAUUUUUUCGUUUAUAACCAUCGAAAAGUUUUGUCCCGUUACUUGAUCUUUGAAUGUUUGUUUUUUUGCAAUUUUUGGUGUCUGCGAUCUCGAAGCAUAUACAAACAAGUUUGACGGUUAGAUCGUUGAAACUAGUUUUGCAAAAUGCGUAUCUCAUCAAAACAAUAGAUUCACUAACACUUAAGAGUUUAUUCAUAUUUUCAUUAAGUAUAACAUAAGAUUUUGUGGUAUCCACUAGUGUAAAUAUUUUAAAUUGAAGAUCGAAUUCAUUCAUUGUAUUCGUAUAGGGUCAAGGAGUGUAGCUGUAAAAAAUCAUCAAAAUCGGAGUUAAAAUAACCGUUAAAUCGUGAUUUUUCGUUUAUAACCGUCGAAAAGUUUUGUCCCGUUACUUGAUCUCUGAAUGUUUGUUUUUUGCAAUUUUUGGUGUAUGCGAUCUUGAAGCAUAUACAAACAAAUUUGACGGUUGGAUCGUUGAAACUAGUUUCGCAAAAUGCGUAUCUCAUCAAAACAAUAGAUUCACUAACACUUAAGAGUUUAUUCAUAUUUUCAUUAAGUAUAACAUAAGAUUUUGUGGUAUCCACUAGUGUAAAUAUUUUAAAUUGAAGAUCGAAUUCAUUCAUUGUAUUCAUAUAGGGUCAAGGAGUGUAGCUGUAAAAAAGUAUCAAAAUCGGAGUUAAAAUAACCGUUAAAUCGUGAUUUUUCGUUUAUAACCGUCGAAAAGUUUUGUCUCUUUACUUGAUCUCUGAAAGUUUUUUUUUGCAAUUUUUGGUGUAUGCGAUCUCGAAGUAUAUACAAACAUGUUUGACGGUUGGAUCGUUGAAACUAGUUUCGUAGAAUGCGUAUCCCAUCAAAACAAUAGAUUCACUAACACUUAAGAGUUUAUUCAUACUUUCAUCAAGUAUAACAUAAGAUUUUGUGGUAUCCACUAGUGUAAAUAUUUUAAAUUGAAAAUCGAAUUCUUUCAUUGUAUUCAUAUAGGGUCAAGGAGUGUAGCUGUAAAAAAAUCAUCAAAAUCGGAGUUAAAAUAAUCGUUAAAUCGUGAUUUUUUGUUUACAACCGUAGAAAAGUUUUGUCUCGCUACUUGAUCUGUGAAUGUUUGUUUUUUGUAAUUUUUUGUUGAUGCGAUCUCGAAGCAUAUACAAACAAGUUUGACGGUUGGAUCAUUGAAAUUAGUUUCGUAUAAUUUGUAUCCCAUGAAGUUCAAUGGUGUGUGUGUGUAUAUAUAUAUAUAUUUAUUUAUUUAUUAAGUAGAUUUGAAUCUAUUUAUUUUGUAUGUAUAAUUAUUAUAGUUUUUAGGGGUAUAAAAUUUAAUUUAAAAUUUAAUAUAUAUAUAAAUAUAAUUAUUAUAGUUAAUAUUUUAGGGGUAUAAUUAUUAUAGUAUAUAUAAUUAUUAUAAUUAUUAUAGUUAAUUUAAUAUAUAUAUAUAUAUAUAUAAUUAUUAUAGUAAUUUUUUAGGGUUAUAAAAUUAUUAAAUUAAUAUUCUACUUAUCGUGUAUCGUGUUACCCACGUGUAUACCCGAACCAACCCGUUAUCUUAACAGGUGAUUAUCGGGUUACCCGAUAACGACCCGUUUCGUUAUCGUGUCGACUCGAACACCUGUUAAUUUCGUGUCGUGUCGUGUCGGGUUAUCGGGUCGUGUCAGGAAUUGCCAGGCCUAGGUGUGUAAACACAAGAAGUUUGAAAAACAACCCCAUGUUCAGAGAAAAAAUGGCGAAGAGAAUAAAAUUCCCCCGCCAUUGUCGAUACGUAUGGUUUUAAUGGUGGUGUUAAAUUAGGUGAGAACAUAGGCAAAAAAAUGUUUGAGAAUUUGUUGAGUAUCAGAUUUAUGCUUCAUCAUGAAGACCCAGGUAAAACAAGAAAAGUCAUCCACAAUAGUAAAAAAAAUAAUGAGUGCCAGUAAGAGAAGGUUGACGAUUUGGACCCCAAAUAUCACAAUGAAUUAAGGAAAAAGGAAAAGUCGAUGAAAUUGAACAUAAACCAAAAGAUUGACGAGUUUGUUUCGCCAAAGGACAAACAUCACGAACAUGACUAGAACCCAAAGAACAUGUGAGAAUACUAGAUGUUGAAACUUGUAAACGAGCAAAAGAGGGAUAACCGAGGCGCCUAUGCCAGAGGGAGGAGAGUAUGGUGAUGACGUUGCAUAGAGGUUGGCGGAAGGGGAGAGAGGCAAAGGCCACGAGGUAGUAAAGGUUGCCACGUCGCUUACGCACACCAAUCGUCGCUUUCGAAACCAAGUCUUGCAAAAUGUACCAAGACGGGAAAAAGGUCACAGAACAAGAUAAACCAUCUAUAAGCUUACCAACGGAUAAAAGGUCCACUUUAAAAUUAGGAACAUAUAAAACAUCCUUCAAGUCAAUUGAGGAAUUUAAGCGAAGAGUGCCAAUUAAAGUGAUUGGAGCCGUGGCACCACUAGGCAAGGAGACGGGCGACAAAGGUGAAGCAGAAGUAUGAACCAAAUUGGAAGAUGAGGAAGUAAUAUGCUUGAGGAGAAGACGACGAGGCUGCGGAAUCAUCAAGGGCAACAAGGAGACGAGUGUAUUGAUCAGUGGAUAUAUUGGGCAUGGCUAACUACAGGUCGUGAAGGCUGGGAGAGAUGUGCACCUGAUGGGCAAAUGGUGAAGAGCGCGGUGUGAAGGUGCUGGAGUUACUGCCUGAAGAGAGCUGGAGGCUCCUAGAAGGCCGUGAAGGCAUUGGGGCGCUGCGGGCAAAAGAAGCAGCAGUGUUGCUGCGAGAGAAGCUGCCAGAUGUGGAUGCGCGGCGUGGUGGGUGCUAGGGUUGUCCAUGAAGAAGGUGGCCAACGGGAUAACCAUUCAACUUAUGACAGGUCUCACGAGUAUGGAAAUCGUAGUUGCAAUAGGUACAAUGGAGCGAAGGUCUGUCUGAGGAGGUGCGGGAAGAAUUGCGGACAACCAUGGCAGCGAGAGAGUCGGUGGGACGGACAGAGCCCAAAGAUCUUUGUUUCUCGGCCUAAGAAACAGAAGAACAGGCUUGAGGAACAAUAGGUAAAGGAUUCAUCAAGAGGAUUUGGUCACGAACAGCAGAAAAAGAGUCGUGAAGACCCAUGAGGAACUGCAUAAGGUGUUGUCGUUCAGACUUGGUGCCACAAGAGCACGUGCAGCCGUCACUAUAAGAGGCAAGCACAUCCCAAAUAACUUUGAAGCGAGUGAAAUAAGCAGAGACAUAAGAGGAUCCUUGAGAAAUUAUAGCAAGCUCACGGUUGAGUUGGAAGAUGCGAGGCGCGUUGCUCUGAGAAAAUCGUUCAUGAAGCUCGUCCCAUACAUCCUUAGCAGUGGUGUUAAAAAGAAAGGAUUCUUGUAGAUCAGGUUCCAAGGAAUGAAGAAGCCAAGAAAGAAUCAUGUCAUUGCAACGACGCUAAGCCGCGUGAGCAUCAGAAUCAUCGGAGGAAGAAGGUUCCUGAACAUUGCCAUUGAUGAAACCAAGCUUGUUCUUGGCACUCAAGGAAAUCUGCAUGCCACAAGCCCAAGAGUAUAAUUAUCACCAUUUAAUUUUUUGGAGACAAGAACAAGGUUUGGGUGGUCUGAAUGAUGAAUGUAAAAGGGGCCGUCGGAGGAAGAAGAGUUGGCCAUAAGGAACGGCAGAGAUGUCGGCCGAAAAAAAAAAGGAAAAAAAAAAUAGAGCUAGGGUUUUGAACCUACUCUGUAUACCAUGUAGAAAAAUAAUAUAUGGCUGAAUUGUAUAUUCUCAUUGAUACGUGAAAGUACAUAUAUAUAUACAAAUACAUUUCUUGAGCAGCAAGGAUUCCUCCUACAAGUUAGGAGUACAAUUACAAUUUAAGUCUAACUACUUUCCUAUUUGUCUAACACUCCUCAGCUGGUUUUAACAUGACUGAAAACAAAUUCCCUUUGUCUUGAUUUUGAUUGAGCUGUUUAUGAGUCUUGACUUGCAGAGAAGCCAUGACCAAAGGUUCCCCGCAUCCCCAAUAAAAAGGGGUACAUAUUUAUCAAUCCAACCCAAUUCCAUUUAAAUUAUGGAGUUUGAAUAGCAAAUCGUAUGACAAUAAAAACUUGGGUGUAACCAUGAUAUAUCCACAUCACCGUGUAGCACGCAUCACUUGACCAAGUCACGUGUAGGAAUCUCCCCUUACUUGAGGGCUGGCUCUGGCCAAUUCAUAUAAACAUGCAUGCAUAAACUGUAAAACAGUAAACUCAGAAGCCUUCCAAAGAAAGCGACGUAGAGAGAUAAAUCCAUAGCAACCAUUCAGUGGAUCUUCCAAACAUGUUCAAAAUUACAAAGAGCUGUUUUUCAUAUAUUAACAAAUAACUUCGUACAAUAAUAUGAAUUUGAAGUUAUAUAACAAAUCGUCACGGGAUAAAGACACUCUAUAGUUACUCGACAACAAGAAAACUCACGUUUAUAUAGGGCAGAUGCAUAAAGAUACAUGUAAUAACUUACGAAACAACUUUACAGUCAGAACAUUUCGAUACAGAGGCCACCAGCUUCUCCUUUAAUUGCUCGGCAUCACCGCCUUGAGUUUGAAUCGAGAAUGUAUGAAUAACCUUAUCGUUGUCUGUUAUGGAAACGUUAGACUCUUGAGCUACAAUUUUAUGUACCCUAAGUGUUCUAGGUUUCCGCUCAUCAGUUUGUGUCGAGGACUCAUCCUUGAGCAGCUCCGAACUUGAAACUCUUGUCUGGACAUUGAAACUGUCAACCAUUAUUUGGUUCAUUUACGGAAACAGUUUUACUUCACUAUCCUCACUUCGACAUCCAUUUGAAGUGCCUUCUGUUUAGAAUUCAAACGAUUCCAGCGACUGGAUUUGAUCAGCCACCUCCGUGUCUAUGUGGAGACAUUUUGUGCUGAGAAAAUUCCUUGACCAGAAGAUUUCAACCUUCACCGUAAAGAUCAUUUUCCGGCACCUUCGUCUCUACGUGAAGACAUGUUUUGCUGAGAAAAUUCCUUGACCAGAAGAUUUUGACCUUCCCCGUAAAGACCAUUUUCCGGCACCUCCAUAUCUACGUGAAGACAUGUUGUGAUGAGAAAAUUCCUUGACUGGUAGAUUUCGACUUUUCCCGUAAAGAUCACUUUUCAGCACCUUCGUACCUAUGUAGAGAUUUGCUGCGCCGAGAAGAUUCUUGACGAGUAAAUCCGAGUCGUUGAAGAUGAACAACUUGGAGUUCUUCUUGGAUUGAUAUACUUUGCAAAACGGCAGUCUUCUUUUCCAAAGUUGACGGCGGUCCUCUUCUCAGGAAAACAGCAGCACCAUUUUGGUGCACUUUAGCGCAGCCGUCUUAUCCAAUGCCGGCAACAUUUUUUGUGGUUAGCAUCCGUCAGCUUUUUUUCUUCUUCUAAUUGGUCGGAGAGAGAACUUUUCCAGCGACUAGAUUUGAUCUGCCACCUCCUUUUGAUGGAAAACAUAAUUAAAUUAGAGCUAACCAUUAGGUUUAACGUCUAUUACGAUCUUAUACAACAUCUUCAAAAAAUUUCACUUUCAUACAUCACAUACUAUUUUAUUUCAAUAUAAAACCUCUAUUACAUUUUUUAUUCAUUAAUCUGUUAAAAACUGAUGUGAUUGUCAUAUUUAUGCCACGUGACUAAACACUUAAUAAAAAUUUUAAAAUAUUAAAAUUAAAAAUAAAAAACUUAUCUUUCUCAACCCAUCUAACGCAGGAGGUUCAUCCUCUCCCACCCCUGAAGAAAUCAUGCACCACUCUGAUGAUUUGAUUUUAAUCAAUUUGUGCUUACAAAUUUCUCAUACCCAAUUCUUCUGAGCCGCUCCUUUUUCUGUGCUGACUUUAAUCAAUUUGCGAACUCGGUGGAGGAGCUGGAGCCAACAAAACCUUCUACAAAAAUCUCUGAAUCGAUGCCGAAUUUCCAAAGUUUAUCGAGAUCCAAGCCGUUGGCUUUAAGGAGGGCGAUGGAUUCUGGGAAAUUGGGGUCAACUUCCUCGUCAAAACCCCGGAAGUCGAACUCCCAGGUGCCGCCGACGUCGCCACUUUCGGUGAUACCGCGGUGGAAUCGGGGACUGAAAUGGGGACGAAGUCGAUCUCGCUUGACUUCACCUACGAAAUGGGGACGAAGGCACCGAGUUUUUCUCAGCCAUUUUCUCGAACAGCUUGCCUACUUCCACCAUAGGCAGUCUGAGAGCUUAAAUUCUAUUUCUGAGUUCUCUCUCUCUUGAGGAAUGAGGCUCUGUUGGGGUUUUUCACCAAGGAUUGCUGCGUAUUUUUUGCUUAAUUUUGAGUUUUGAUUUCUAGGUUUUUGCUGUUUUAUCUUGGGCCUUUGGAUUCUAUACCCGAAACCCGUAUAUUUUCAGAUCCAAUUAGUCUCUCUCAAGUUUUUUAGAUCGAAAUCUGAAUUUAUUUUUUUGUUUCUGCUGAGAUUAUGUGUUGUUGUUUAUGCCACGAUGAGCCACCACUUGCAGAGAGUUGGGGAGGUGAAGAGAAAUUGGAGCUUGGAGAAGAUGGGUUUUAGGGAUUGGGAGGGGUGGUGCACUGGUGGUUAUGGAGAUUGGAGGAGAUGGGGGGUCGGGUGGAAGACGAAGGGUGCUGUUUUUUUAUUUUUUUAUUUUUUGGGUUUUAGGGAUUGGGAGGGGUGGUGCGCUUGUGGUUAUGGAGAUUAGAGGAGAUGGGAGGGUUCGGUUCGGUGGAAGACGAAGGGUUCUAAUUUUUUUAUAUAUAUUUUUAAUUAAUUAACUUAAUAUUGUAAAUUUUUCAUUAAGUAUUUAGCCACGUAGCACAAAUAUAGCAGUCACAUGACACAAUCAGCUUAUAACGGACCAAUGAAUGAAAAAUGUAACAGAUGUAUUAUAUUGAAAUAAAAUAGUAGGUGGGAUAUGAAAAUAAAUUUUGUUGAAGAUGUUGUAUGAGGUUACAAUAGACCUCAAACCUGAGGUGUUAAAGUAUAAAAUACCCUUAAAAUGAACAUUUUUUGGAUCUCACGAAAUUAUAUAUGAUCAUAGUAAAAAUGAGAAAUGAUCAAUUCAUUUGCUUGCUCCGCUAACUGAUCGAUUAGAACUGAGAAGUAAAGCAUGGUGGGAAGCGUUUAUAAGGAUCUUGAAAGUUUGAAUGUUUAAAUUUGUUGUAUUUGGGUAUGCAAACCUUUUACACGACAUGACCUAUACUCGGACAAAAAGUUGAAUUUUAUCUUUGAUCACUAAAGUCCCAUUUAACCUUGAAAUAAUGUAUCAUGCAUUAUAAGGAGAAUAACUUAGUGCCGUAAAGUAUAAAUUAUGGUGUAAAAAGUCCUCGUUGUAAAUUUUGAAAAUUUGUUAAUAUGAUCAUAUAUAAGCAGUUACUAAAUUUAGUGAUGUCCCCUUUUUUUUUUUUUUUUUUUGCCAAAGCUUGAGAUAUCUCACAUUUCAAAAGGUAGGACUAAUUUUUAGUGGAGCCCAAAAAGGCUAAAAGUAGUCCAGCCUAUCCCUGGUCACAGUUAAAUACCACACUUCCUCCAAAAGCUUUUAAUAUUAACCAUAAAAUCACUCGUGUUUUUACCAGCUUUGUGCCUCGAACUAGAGACCACAGAGCAUACAUGUUGAAAUUUUACCAUGUUUCUACUUGACCACUUGCCGUGGUUGUUGUUUAUACUAUUAUCAAGAAAACAAACUUGGUUGUAAUUUUUUUUUUAAAUACCACAUAUGUCUCCACAUUUUAUUCUAUUUUUCCUUAGUGGCGAUAAAUAACCUUUAUAUAACAAGACUAAAAUAGGAAUUUUGUGGAUUUAAAUUAUUAAAUUAAAUUAGAAUUCUUCCACGUUUUUCUCCAUCUUUUUUCAAUAUGUUUCUCCCAUAAAACGUUUGAAUGUUUGUAGUAUGCAAACCUUUUUUUCACGACAUGACAUAUACUCAGACAAAAAUUGAAAUUUAUCGUUGGUUGCUAAAGUCCCAUUUGACCUUGAAAUAAUUUAUCAUGCUUUAUUAGGAGAGAGAAUAAAGUGUCUUAACGAAUAUAAAUUAUUAUUUAAUAAAUCCCCGUAAAAUUUGGAAAAUCAUAAGGUGUUACUAAUUUAAAUGUUGUCUAUAAAUAUGUGUGUGUGUGUGUCUACAUAUAUUUUUUUUGCCAAAUUUGGAGGUAUCUCACAUCCCAAAAGAUAAGAUUAAUUCUUAAUGAGGCCCGUAGAAACUAAGGCAUUUCACCUAACUUCUGGCUUCAGUCAAAUAGCAGACAUCUUCCUAAAGCUUUCAACCAAAAAAUCAUGUGUUUUUACCAGCUUCGUACCUCAAACUCAAGACCACGAAGCAUACAUGGUUUGGAAUUUUACGACGUUUCUACUAGACCAUUGAUUCUCUUGGCUACGACACUAGUUCUAUUCAAACUGUUAACUAUGAUUCGGAUUUUCUGCCAAACUUCAAGUUCCCCCUGCGUCCUAAAAGCGAAAAAGGCAAGUCGAAUUCCCAGGCCAAGGGAAAUACCUUCAUUCAGCUCGGAGCGAUUCUUUACUAUUAUUUAGAGCACACAUUCUGUAAGACUCUUUUUUUGUUUUUUGAAAAUACCAUUUAUGUCCCCACAGUCCCAUUUUUUAUCCUUAGUUGCAAUAAAUAACCUUAAUAUAAUAAGAUUAAAAUAGGAUUUUAUUUAAAAUUCUUCCAUAUUUUUCUCCCACUUCUCUUUUGAUAUGUUUCUCCUACAUACAUAGCAUGUGUGAGAUUGCCAUUAUAACAAAGAGUUGAUUAGUAAUUCAUGUCAAGUGGUGAUAUAACAGUUACAUUAAAGAUCUUCUCAAUAAUUUCGAGUAAUGUAUUGUGACAAUUUUUUUUUAAAUGAAAAUGAUAAUAUACCACUCUAAGCUAUGUACACUUAGAAAUAAAAAGAGUUUGAUCUAAAACACAAUGAAUCAAAGAGAAAGACUGUUCACCAAAGCAAAUUCAUCACUUGAAUUGUGACACAACUUUUCUGACAUGCAACUUUUCCUUAUUUCAUUACAUAUCAUCUCUUUUCCAUGUAAAUUUUCUUGAUAAUUUCCAAAUUUUAAAAUGAUGCAAAACAACAUUAACUAGUUUAAACCCAAACUAGCUCAAUGAGGAGCAAGGGCGAAGCUACAAAGAAGCCCCUCCCCUUGUCCGAACUCAUGCACAGGAACGGUGGUUCUGCCCCUCUGGUCCUUUCGGAAGUUCUGGGUUCCUGCAGUUCUUCUGGUUCUGGGUUUUCCUUCCCUGGUGAUGCGCAAUUGGGGUGGAGCAUAUGAAUUGUAUUCAAUUAGCGCACACCAAGUGUUUGAUAUAUAUUUUGAUGGUCCACAGGUUUAUCGUUCAUGAUAUUGCAUGCCAUUGUAAAAAGAAAACACUCGCAUGACUCACGUCAAUGCAUAUUAAUUUUAGAUCUCAUGUAUAAUUAAAAGGGUUUUACCAUACCGAAUGAGUAAUUUUUUCGAUGUGAUAGUUAUAUUGUCACGUGUGUUACUUAUCCAUCAAGUUAUAACGUGCAAAAUACUAACACCAAGCGACAGUGGAGCCAUCUCACUCCAAGAUUGGCCUCAAGGGUGCAUUUUAAACCAGAUGCAGAGUCUUCACUAUGCGCAUACACACAUAUAAGGUAUAAUACGUAUCUCUCUGCAAACAUUGUUAGAGGUUUUUGCAGAGCAGGUAAUAUAUUUUCGCAAUUCUGCAGUUUAAUUUCUUGUCAAUAAAAUAACAAUUACUUUUAAACUCACUGUUAAAUUAAGGAAAGUGAGCCACACAUUUUUUAUUAUCUCUCACAAAUCUUUCCUAAUUCUGGCCGUCGAAUUAAAAUAAAUUGAAAAAGAUUAAUGGACAAAAAUAACAAUGAUAUGUUAGAGGUAAAAAAAUGUGUGUGAAUAACACAAUCCUAAAUUAAAAGGUAUAAACUCAUGCUAGAGCUACAGAUGCAUACAUGCCCAAAAAAAAUAGUACAUAAAUAAUUUAUUCUAUACUUCGUUUUAUUCAGUCAACUUCAUAUGCAUUGUGAAGCAUACACUUUAUUUUUACAUGCAAGGAAAAAUAAAAAACCUAUAGCUAGACAGGCAUUCUCCUGUACUCAUUCACUGCUAAGAAAAUAUAUCAAAUGUAAUUUGAUUUAAAGUUAAUUCUGCUAGUGCUUUUCGUUGAUGGUUGCACUUCGAUGUAGAAUCUUUGGAAUUGGUACUAUUUCAAGGUGUGGUCGGAUUAGGACCUCCGGACGGGGUACUACCCCUAAGUAUUUGCCUGAUCAAAGGGAAGAAGGGACGAUCCAUCUGAUGCAAAACAUCAUUCUUCAUCUGAUGCAUAAACUUUUCUUCCCCAUGCAACACUCUGCAGGCUUCGGACGAUUGCAUGUUCAUAAGAAAAACCACUAAAAACACUGCCACCAAAAAUAUUUUUAGAAACUUCAUUUUGUUGGGCAAACAAAGAUUAUUUUGCUUCUUUUUAAUUUCGGUAGAAGAAGGAAGGAAUGAAUGAAAGAAGAUACAGAAAAGGUUUUGUAGGGAAAUCAAAGAUUUUGCUUCUUUUUUCUGUCUGUCAAAAACAGAAAGGAUUGAAGGAAUGAAUGAAUGAAUAGAUGGGGAAUAUGGGGCUAUUUAUAUGCAUCAAUUUUGACCAACUUUCGUAUGACUUUGAUUUUUCAAUAUAAAUCUAUUUGUUUCGUUGUUUUGACUGUUAAUUGAUGAUUAUAUGCUAAAGACUUGGAAUUGAAUGGGUCGUCAUAUCCGCAAGGGUUUUGGUUUUAGGGUUUAACUAUAUUGUGGACCAAAUGGCAUACAAUGGUUCAACUCAUUUUUAUCACCGUGUAAAAAUCCACUUGCCAUCUAUAGUUUUUUUUUAAAAUUAUUUUUAAGAAAACCUCGACGUACAAUACAAGCGAAAUUUAUUGAUAUGAAAAAAAAGUUAAACCUAGUCAGGGAGACAAAAACCUUACAUAUCAUAAAGCAAGAAAAACAAAAUACAAGAAAACUAACCACUUGUUAGAGGUUAUUCUAGUACAGUAAAACCUUUAUAUAGUCAUGAUGUAGGAACCAAAUUGAUUUUAAAACUUUAGGGAGAUUAUUACUUACUAGAUGUGUAGCUAUAAAUAUUUUUUUUACUUCGUUAUCCUUAUUAAAAAUUGUAGAAUACAAAGAACUAUUAAUGGAGUACGUCAAUAUCCAAGGUGUAGCAGUAAAAAAAACACCCAAUCUUUAAAGGGUAAAAGACUGUUUACUAUCCUCAUAUUUUGUGGUUUUCAACAUUUAGUACAUCAAGUUUUUUUCGUCUCAGAUUCAUACCUAAAGUGUAAAUUUUGGGACAGUCUCAUACAUCCGUUAGUCAAACUGUUAAAUCUGCCCUUAAUUGUGACGUGGCGCCAUGAUUGGGCACCACGGGUCAUCCACGUUUUUUUUUUCAUUUUUUUCUUUUCUUUUCUUCUUUCUUCUUCUUCUUCUUCCUUCUUCUUCUUCCUUCUUUUGCAACUUUUUUUUCCUUCCUCCUUCUCCUUCUUCCUUCCUCCUUCUUCCUUCUUCUUCUUUGUCCUUCUCCUUCUUCUUCUUCUUCUUCCGAAUCUGGGGAAGUUUUUUUUUUUUUCUUUCUUCUUCUUUCUCUUUCUUCCUCUUUCUUCUUCUUAUUCUUCCACCGACUGCAGCUUUUUUUCUUUCUUCCUCCUUUUUCCUUCCCCUUCUUCUCCAUCUUCCUUCUUCUUCCUUCUUCUUCUUCUUCUUCUUCUUCCUCCGAAUCUGAGGAAAAUGAAGGUUUUUUUUUUCUUCCUCCUUCUUCUCCUUCUUCUCCUUCUUCCUUUCCCUUCUUCUUCUUCUUCCUUCUUCUUCUUCCUCCAAAUCUGGGGAAGAUGAAGGUUUUUUUUUCUUUUUUUUUUCCUUCUUUCUUCUUUCUUCUUCUUCCUUCUCCUUCCUCCUUCUUCUUCCUUCUUCUUCUUCUUCCUCCAACUACAACUUUUUUUUUUCUUCAUUCUUCUUCUUCCUCCUUUCUCCUUCUUCUUCGCCUUCUUCCUUCCUCCUUCUUCUCCUUCUUCCUUCUUCUUCAUCUUCCUCAAAAAAAAAAAAAAUCCUUCAUCUUCCCCAGAUUCGAGGAGGAGGAAGAAGAAGAAGAAGAAGAAGAAGAAGAAGAAGAAGAAAACAAAAAAAAAUAAAAAUCCUUCAUCUUCCCCAGAUUCAAGGAGGAAGAAGAAGAAGAAGAAGAAGAAGAAGAAGAAGAAGAAGAAGAAGAAGAAGAAGAAGAAGAAGAAGAAGAAGAAGAAGAAGAAGAAGAAGAAGAAGAAGAGGAAGGAAGAAGGAGGAAGGAAGAAGGAGGAAGGAAGAAGGAGAAGGAGGAAGAAAAAAAUAAAAAAAAUUGAUGUCAGAGGAAGAAGAAGAAGAAGAAGGAGAAGGAGAUGGAAGAAGAAGGAAGAAGGAGAAGAAGGGAAAGGAAGAAGGAGGAAGGAGGAAGAAAAAAAAAGUUGCAGAAGAAGGAAGAAGAAGAAAGAAGAAAAAAAAAACGUGGAUGACACGUGGCGCCCAAUCAUGGCGCCACGUCACAAUUAACGGCAGAUUUAACAGUUUGACUAACGGAUGUAUGAGACUGUCCCAAAAUUUACACUUUAGGUAUGAAUCUAAGACGAAAAAAACUUGAUGUACUAAAUAUUGAAAACCACAAAACAUGAGGGUAGUAAAUAGUCUUUGACCUAUCUUUAAAAUAUAGUGCAUGUAUGUAUGUAUUCUCUUUAAGUUUAAAGCAUGGGGCGUGAAGCUAUAGAAACAAAAAGGCUACUUAGGGCUAGUUUGGUAUAAAUGUGCUUUUUAAAAAAACUGCUUAUGUUGUGCUGUAAAAAUAAUCAGCUGUAAAAUAAAGCAGUUAAGUGUUUGAUAAACUUUUAUUGUAAAAGUGCUUUUAACAAAAAAAAAAUGUUCAAAUGUUUGGUAAACUUUAUGUAAAACUGAUGUAGCUAUGUUAAAUGACUAAAAGGGUAUAAUAUUAAAUGUGAUAUAAUAAUUUGUUUUAUUUUUUAUUUAUAAUUUCAUCUUCAAUCUUCAUCAUUUUCGGGUCACAGCUCAAAGAUCCAAAUCCCUCCCCUCCAACCCUCUGUUCACUCCCUUUACCAAUCACCAAAAUCUCCGGCGGAUUUCACAGCUCAAGAUCCAAAUCCCUCCCCUCCAACCCUCUGUUCUCUCCCCCUUCCCAAUCACCAAAAUCGUCGACCCUAAAGAGAGAGAGAGAGCAAGAAAUUUAGAGAUUUCGAAUCUCUCCAACUCUAUAAUCGGAUUCCAAUCUGCCAAUCCAUCCAACCAAUUUUGAAAAAACUCAGGAAAAAUAAAAGAAAAAGAAAAAAGGGGGAAAAUCGAAGUUUUUGAAUUUCAGUUCAAAGUAUAUAGCCACAAAGAGAUUCGAAUCCGUAGCUAAUGGACGUAGACGAAAGAAGAAGCUAAUGGGUCAUCCACAUUGUUUGGAUCAAAACUUAAACUUUGGGCUCGGGGGAAGUUGGCCCAAAGAACAGCCUAAAAGGGAGAGGAACCCGAAGGCCCAGUCAAAACCCAGCCAAAGUCUAGAAGACAGGAGAAGCCCGUUUCUGACUAGGUGCAAGCCAUGCAGACCAUUUGCUCACCUACCCAAAGGCCAAGUGGUAUAGACCAGCCAGCUAAUCAGCCCAAAAAGUACUUUUAAAUGGCAGUACAAGUAAAUAGCUGAUGAGUCACUACCCUUCAAGCUGCAUUCAGGCAAGGUUGCUGCUACAGGAGGCCAAGCCAAGGUGUCUAUAAAAGGAGAAAGAGAGGUCAGAGCCAAGGACACUCAAACAAACAAACAAAAGCACAAACUCUACUCAAAAGCCAGAUUUGCCUUCAAAACGAAGCUGUAGUCAGCCCAAACCUUCAUCUCUUUCGGGAUAAACCCUUUGUAAUAGCUCUGUUACCCUGCUCAACGCCUGCUGUAGUAUCGAUUUUCUUUGUGCAAACUCAUUUCUCAACCCCUUUUCCAAGCCUUCAAACCUUCUGUUAACCCACAAACAUAGGAAGUUGCAAGACGAUCAGCCUUGCCCAACAAGGUUAAACCUUGCCCGACCUCAUUUGUUUUUGUCUUUUCAUUCAUUAGCCUAGAAAUAUGUUGUAUACUUCAAAUUAUAUCCAAGUUAUUGCUAGUAAUAUGGCUUUUAAAAGACUCUCUCAGCGCUUGGAUCCGAUUUGAAUAUGUCUUCACAAUUCAAGCCAGAUCUAAGUUCUAAGCCUUCGGGCAUAUAAGAUUUGAUCACCCUAAAAGUCAUUGGCCUCAAGGCAUAAAAAAGAACCUGAUGUGGACUUAACCCAUCCACUACAAGCUUUGGUAACAAGAAGUCCGAAGUUACUUGGGGCACAAGUAAUCGACCUACCACUUGGUUUUAUUUCUGUUAUAUUAUGAUGACCGUAUAACGUUCGAGUACGGGAUGAAUUCUGAUAGGAAGCCUUAAGGCCUACACCUAAGGCUUCACAAAGGCACCUAUUUGGAUUCAUUCUGUUCAUCGGGCAAGAACAUUGAGUAUAGAAGGGGUUCUGAUGGGAAGCCUCAAGGCCUAUUCAAGGCCCCACAAAGGCACCUAUUUGGAUCCAUUCUGCUCUUUGAGCUCAGGUAGUCAGAAGUAUAAUGGUUAUAAGAACCAUAUAACUCACAAAAGGAACCUUAUGUGCUUGAGUACUAAGUUAGUUACUUACGGGAAGCCUCAAGGCCUACACCUAAGGCCCUACAAAGGCACAUGUCAAUAACUAACAGUCUCUCGAACACAUAUAAUUAAAACUCAAACAUCCGUUAUACAUCUACCAUACUGAAGAUGGUAGUGGCACGCCUGAGCAAUUCAAAGUUAAUCUUGAUCGUGAGCCUCAAGGCCUACACCUAAGGCCUCACAAAGGCACAUUUCAAAGUUAAUUUUGUCCUUCUCUUUCAGCCUUCCCCGACAAGCCUUGCCCGACAGGCCUUGCCCGACAGGCUUUGCCCGACAAAGCCCGCCAGUAAAGCAGAAGCCCGACAGAAAAGCAUCACCCGGCGCCAACCUCUCGGGGAGCUGUGUGCUCGUCGACCAGGAAACAUUCCCCAAGGAAAUUCCCGCCACGAACAUAGUUUUGGCACGCCCAGUGGGAUACAUUGAUCAAAGCAAUAUAUGUCAAAAAGAUCUGAAGAUCUCCAAACUGCUUUGUUGCACAUGCUGCAAAGACUGGAGAACACUUCUGUAGGCUCGAGAAAAGAAGAUGACCCGGUUUUAAGACCACCUAUUCCUACGUCUUUACCUCAUCUUGGGGAAGAAAAUGAUUGGGAAGAUGGGGGCCUUAAAACCAAUCACCUAGAAGAAGCUGCGGUGAUGGAUGAACAUACAGAUCCCUUCUCACAGGCCCCUAUAAAUAUGAUCAGUAUGACCUGGGCGGAGAAGGGAAAAAGAGAAGAAGAAAGAAGACUGGUUGACAAACCCAUAAAAGGGGUGGUUAACUUGCCCGAAUAUCGAAAAGCCGCCAUAUUCAAAGGAAGGGUGCUGUGCAGUAAGUGCCAAUGCGAGUGUGAGCUCGAAAUACCACCCACAUGAGCCUUCAUCGAUCAUGAACUAAUCAGAAGGAAUGAAGAGCAAAAGAGAAAAGAGGCACAAGAUAAGGCUCGGCGGACUGUAGGAAUGGAUACCUCACGAAGUGUCUUUCAGUGGCUAGGAGUGAUUCCCAACCAAGGGCUUUAUCAGAAAUAUUUCGUAACCAUGAAGUUUCUGAGGAGGCAGAAGAUAAAGAGGCCAAGAAGCCAAAAGAGAGAAGUGUAGGGCACUCUCAGUACGGCCAUAUGGGAAGAGAGGUCAGGCGGAAUAACAGGAUAACAAACCCUGUUACAAAAGAUAAUCCUGCUCGCCUCGGGCGAAAAUGGCAUGUGGUCGGGAAGAAUGGACAGCCCGUUAAGCAAAUAGGAGCCUCCAUGGUCAGAAGGGUUCAGAGGAAACAUAAAGCCUACAUGAAUUCCUUGAAAACCCCAGCAGCGUUGGAAGCUUCCAAAAAUCAAAAGUUAGAGAAAACAUCGUCUGGGGGGAGCAGUUAGCUCCGCUAGAGAAGUAAGAAGGAGGUGGAAAGGGCUAACAGCAAGAUUGAAUGCGAAGGAAAUCAUGUGCCACAAAGCCUGCACCCUGGGAAAUAUAGAAUCUUGACGAGAGCUCAAGAAGAUAUGGUUAUGGUGCCAACUCCUGGAUGGAAGGCAGAGCAGCCUAUUUGCUUUGGAACUAUCUCCCUUGAGAAAAAACAACCUUCUUCAUCAUUAGGGGAUCCCUUCGGGGAAGUUCCAAAAUAAACACCAUGUCCAUAUGUGAAUCAACUCAAGGGGGCACCAGAACCACUGCUUCCACCAGAUGUUAUGGCAUGGUUGGAUGAGUUCAUGGACCAGAUUGGGAGCAAAAAAGAGGAAUUGCCAGAGCCUAGCAACUUUCAUAUAAACACGGUAUAUGUGCUAUCUGCUAUGUUUGUUGCCCAACCUGAUCAGCCCGCCGCCAUGGAAAGGGAUUAUGUAACAACUGAGCCAAUGAUGACUCAUAUUAAUAUGAAGAUAGCGGAAGAAUGAGAGUCGGGAAAAGCUGCAUCAUCUGAAGCAUCCAAAGAGGGUUCUUUAAGGAUCUACACAGAUAAAAUGGUGUUCAGCCACCCGACCAUUUCACUUGCCAAUCAUCUGAAACCCAUAUAUGUGACAGCUCAUUUGGAGGGGGUACCCUUUAGAAGGAUUUUGAUUGAUGGAGGGGCAGCUGUUAAUGUAUUACCAGCUAAGCAGAUGAAAAAGUUGGGGAGAGGCACAGAGGAUCUUAUUCCUACAGACCUCACAGUUUCUAGUUUCUCGGGCGCUAUCACCAAGACUCUUGGGAUAUUGCCUUUGGAAGUAUAUCUGGGGUCUAAACGGAUCAUGCUGGCGUUCUUUGUGGUGAACUGCACCUCUACCUAUAGAGCCUUACUUGGAAGAGAUUGGAUCCACCAAAGUCUUGUUGUACCCUCCACCCUACAUCAACAAGUUGCUGUGUAUCAUGAGGCAAGCGCAGAAGAGCCAGGUUUUUGGGAGAUGGUAGAGGCCGAAUCACGGCCAUUUCUUCCCACAGCCAAUAUAGCAGAAGCAAGUUUCUACAAUCCCAACGUAGGAAUCUUGAAGUGUUUAGGAGCAGAUGAGAACGGCCGCCCUACCAAGGUGACGGCCCAAAAGCUUCUAGAACAAGAGAUGCUCUUUACUAGAGAGGAGUGGGAUAGACCUUUUAUUAUCCCAACACCCCUACACCAUCAAUGAUAGAACAAAAAAGGAAAGAUCAGUUAAUGGCAGUCAGAUUCCUGAUUAAACGACUGUUGGUGUAUAGGAAAGAAAGAAGACAAGAAAAUGAGCUCUUAGACAGAGAAGAGCAGAGAAUGGCUUGUGGGAGCUUCAACCAGCCAUGAUAAAAGCAGUGAGGAAUCUUGUCAAGAGGAAUUGGAAAGGGCCAUUCAAAUGGCUGAGUGUAUAUAUGACCUGGAUGAACCAGACAACUUGCCCGAGAGCCCAAAGCUAGUCAAAUUUUUGUGUACAGAACUUGAUAAGCCACCACCGGAGGUCCAAGAUCCUCUGGAAGUUAUUGAGCUAGGAACAAAGGAGGACCCAAGACCAAUACAAAUCAGUGGUUUAUUGGAGAGAGAGGAUCGGGCACAAAUUAUCUGUCUCUUGCAAGAAUUCAGAGAUUGUUUUGCUUGGCAUUACACUGAGAUACCGGGUUUAGAUGCAACUUUGGUGGAACAUAGAAUGCCCAUCAAUGAAGGAUAUAAGCCGGUUAAGCAAGCACCACGAAAGAUGUCGAAUUAGAUAGAAGAAAAGGUCAAAGAAGAGAUUGAAAGGCUCGUAAAAGCCGGAUUUAUCAGGCUAGCCAAAUAUGUGGAGUGGUUAGCCAACAUUGUACUCGUUUUAAAAGCUGUAACAAAAGCAGUAUGAUGUUGUGUUGAUUACAAAAAUAUUAAUGGCGCUACACCUAAAGACGAAUAUCCUAUGCCUAUGGCAGAUCUUUCCAUAGAUGCAGUAGCAAAAAACAAAGUCUUAUCUUUUAUGGAUGGAAAUGCCGGGUAUAAUCAGAUAAAGAUGGCUCCGGAAGAUAUACAUAAAACAACUUUUAGGUGCCCUGGGCAUGUGGGGGCAUAUGAAUAUCUGGUCAUGCCCUUCGGGCUCAAGAAUGCUGGUGCAACCUACCAAAGAGUGAUGAAUGCCAUCUUUCAUGAUCUGAUUGGCCAUAAUAUAGAGGUGUAUAUUGAUGAUAUCGUGGUGAAAUCCAAGACGGAAGAAUAACAUCUGAUAGACCUCAGGCAGGCCCUGACAAGAAUGAGGGUCCACAAAUUAAAGAUGAAUCCAAAGAAGUGUGCGUUUGGAGUAAGAGCGGGCAAUUUCUUGGGAAUCCUAGUUCAUCAACGAGGGGUAGAAGUGGACAAGAAUAAAUCUCAAGCAAUAAUGGAGUUGUCUUCACCCACCAACAAAGUGCAACUUCAAAGGCUGCUGGGCAAAAUUAAUUUCUUAAAAAGAUUUAUUGCCAACCUGGCAGGCAAGAUCCAGCCGUUGACUCCUUUAUUAAGACUGAAGGAUAAGGAGAAUUUCGAGUGGGGACCACCGCACCAAGAGGCCUUCGAUGGUAUCAAAGCGUAUUUGACUUCUCCACCAGUAUUAGUACCACCUCAGAGGGGAAAACCCUUAAAGCUAUAUAUCUCCGCUUCAGAUAAAUCAAUUGGGAGUUUGCUGGCUCAAAAUAAUGAAGGCGGGAAAGAGCAGGCAGUGUACUACCUCAGUAGAAUUCUGACCGAGGUAGAAACAAGGUAUUCCCCAGUAGAGAGAUUGUGCUUGGCUUUGUAUUUUACUGCCAAUAAGCUGAGACAUUACAUGUUACCUUGUCACGUGCACAUCAUCGCCAAGACAGAUGUGAUAAAGUACAUGUUGUCAAAACCAAUGUUAACAGGAAGGAUUGGGAAGUGGAUUCUAGCAUUAUCUGAAUUCAGCUUCCAGUAUGUUCCCCAAAUGGCAGUAAAAGGCCAAGCAAUUGCUGACUUCUUGACGGAGCAUCAAGAAUCUCGAGAUGAGAUAAUCAACAUACCGGGAACCCUGGAAGUUACUAAUGUUUGGAUCCCGCCAGGCAAGGGGAUCUCGGGCAAAGAAGAGUGGAUCCAGCAGGAGAUAAGAAGAGUGGUUAGUUUAUGGAUUACUCAUUGGAAGCUGUAUUUCGAUGGUUCUUAUACUCAGAAAGCUUCAGGAGCUGGGAUUGUAAUUAUCAACCCUCAAGGGAUUUAUCAUUAUUACUCAUUUUUCUUGGAUUAUCAAGGGAAUACCAACAAUCGGGCAGAGUAUGAGGCCUUAAUAAUUGGUUUGGAAAUCUUGAUGGAUCUGGGGGCAAUGGAAGUUGAGGUGUUUGGUGAUUCGGAAUUGGUAAUAAACCAGCUCAAUGGGGAGUUCAAGUGCAGACAUAUCACCAUAGCUAGAUACUAUUUGGCGGCCACAUAAUUGUUGAGUUAUUGGGAUUCUGAGAUAUCGGUGAGUCAUGUUCCCAGGGGAGCCAACCUAGCAGCCAAUGAGAUGGCGCAAUUGGCCUCAGGCAUACCAAUACAGGAGAGAAUGUAUGGGAUGAAUGUCGAGAUUCAGAGGAGAAAUCUUCCUUCCAUUCUGGAAAGGGGAUUCAGCCUGGAUGUAAUGGUUCAAGAAGCUGAGAUUGAAGAUUGGAGAUCGCCCAUCAUCCAUCAUUUGAAAGAUCCCUCUUCACCCACCAGCAAGAAAAAUAGACAGCAAGCAACUAAGUAUGUCUUAUGGGCGAAAGACCUACUAAGAAAGACUCCAAACGGGUUACUACUGAAAUGCUUAGGCCAAGAAGAGUCAAUGAGAGUGAUGGCCAAAGUACAUGAAUGAGUAUGUGGAGCCCAUCAGGCCGGAACAAAGAUGAGGUGGUUGCUCAGAAGGUAUGGAUAUUUCUGGCCCGACAUGGAAAAGGAUUGCAAAUCCUAUGCCCGAGGCUGUGAAGAGUGUCAAAGACACGAACCUCUCCAGCAUGUGCCCUCAAUACCUUUAAAUCCAGUGGUUAAACCUUGGCCCUUCCGAGGAUGAGCGAUGGACUUCAUCGGGCAGAUUUACCCAGCUUCUAGCAAGGGGCACACUUUUAUCAUUGUAGCAACGGAUUACUUUACCAAGUGGGUAGAGGCCUCGGCGGUGAAAUCCAUAACCUCAGCCACCGUCAAGAAUUUCAUUGAGACCAAGAUUCUGCAUAGAUUUGGGGUGCCCGAAACUAUUGUGACUGAUCGAGGGCCAUCUUUUAUCAAAAGAAGUUGAAGAAUUUGCAAGCAAAUACAAAAUAAAGAUGAUCCAGUCCAGUCCUUACUACCCACAAUCAAAUGGCCAAGCAGAAUCCAGCAACAAGAUUUUGGUAAACAUUAUCAAAAAAGUGGUGAUGGACAAUCCGGAGAAAUGGCAUGAAAAGUUGGGAAACACUUUGUGGGCAUACAGGACUUCCAGGCGGGCAGGAACAUGCACAACUCCAUAUGCUUUAACCUUCGGGCAAGAUGCAGUACUUCCCAUGAAGAUCAAUGUAAGUUCUGUCAGAAUUCAGAAUCAGUUCGGGUUACACAGUGAAGAGUACGUUGAAGCCAUGUGUCAAGGAAUUGAAGACUUAGAUGUAGCCCGAAUUGAAGCCUUGAAUUAGAUUCAAGAAGGGAAGAAAGCUGUUGCUCGAGCUUAUAACAAAAAGGUGAAGAUGAAGUCUUUCAAAGAGGGAGAUUUAGUAUGGAAGACAGUCCUCCCUCUAGAAGCUCAGCUUAGGGGCUUUGGAAAGUGGAGCCCGACAUGGGAAUGUCCUUUCACUGUUAGUCAAGUAUUGAACAAAGGGGGAUACUACUUGGCAGACCUUGAAGGGAAGGGGCUGAAACAUCCCAUUAAUGUUAAAUUCUUAAAAAAAUAUUGUCCGACAUUAUGGGAUGUUAGAGACUGUUACAUUAAGGAGGAUGCAAGGUAAAGCCGACUUCGGGGUAUCAAGGUGCAGUGUAUGAUCACCAAACCAUUCAAAAGAAGACAGAAAAAACAAAAAGUUGCUAAGAUAAUGUUUAUUUCAUUUCGACAAAUUGGUGAUAUUUACAAACUAAUCCAAGUCCAAAGUACUACAUUCGAUUCCUUCUACAAUGUUAUUUUCAGCUGGUUUUCCGAUGUCUCCCUGGAUAUGACCCGAUCAGGUGAUCGGGUUGUGCGGCCAAAACGCGCCUGGUAGGGGAUCCUUAGGCAGAGUUACCACUAUGUGUGAUGGUGAAGCCUGAUUUAUCACGACGGCAAGCAGGAAGGCAAGCCUUCGUGAGGAAACCGUCUGACCAAGGGUGUUGGAGAUAGCGGGGUGUUUGACCAAAGGUGUUGGAGAUAGUAGUUAUCUGACGAAAACUCUUUUUUCUCACGAACAGGGAGUUUUAAGAAACCCCACAUAAAUUCUGAAGAACUCAUUUCAUAGUUUUUUGGAAGAAAACUAAGGAAGCAGAAACACUUGAAGUAGAUAAAAGAUAAGAUCGAUGAUGGUUUGUGGGGAGAACCAUAAUUUAUAGGAAUAGCAGAAGGUAGUUCAGGGGUCGUGGGAAGAUCGAGAGACUCCGGGUGACGUUAAUCUCAAUCAAAAGAUACAAGUUCCGAGAGCAAAGGCGCAGACGCAUGCAGCUAUUCAAUUAAUAUUGGCGCCUGGAAUUCCAGGCUAAAUAUCAAUUGAAGAGGGCACUGUUUGGAUCAAAACUUAAACUUUGCGCUCGGGGGAAGUUGGCCCAAAGAACAGCCUAAAAGGGAGAGGAACCCGAAGGCCUAGUCAAAACUCAGCCAAAGUCCAGAAGACAGGAGAAGCCCGUUUCUGACUAGGUGCAGGCCAUGCAGACCACUUGCUCACCUACCCAAAGGCCAAGUGGUAUAGACCAGCCAGCUAAUCAGCCCAAAAAGUACUUCUAAAUGGCAGUACAAGUAAAUAGCUGAUGAGUCACUACCCUUCAAGCUGCAUUCGGGCAAGGUUGCUACUACAGGAGGCCAAGCCAAGAUGUCUAUAAAAGGAGAAAGAGAGGUCAGAGCCAAAGACACUCAAACAAACAAACAAAAGCACAAACUCUACUCAAAAGUCAGAUUUGCCUUCAAAACGAAGCUGUAGUCAGCCCAAACCUUCAUCCAUUUCGGGAUAAACCCUUUGUAAUAGCUCUGCUACCUUGCUCAACGCCUGCUGUAGUAUCGAUUUUCUUUCUGCAAACUCAUUUCUUAACCCCUUUUCCAAGCCUUCAAACCUUCUGUUAACCCACAAACAUAGGAAGUUGCAAGACGAUCAGCCUUGCCUGACCUCCUUUGUUUUUGUCUUUUCAUUCAUUAGCUUAGCAAUAUGUUGUAUACUUCAAAUUAUAUCCAAGUUAUUACUAGUAAUAUGGCUUUUAAAAAACUCUCUCAGCGCUUGAAUCCGAUUUGAAUAUGUCUUCACAAUUCAAGCCAGAUCUAAGUUCUAAGCCUUCGGGCAUAUAAGAUUUGAUCACCCUAAAAGUCAUUGGCCUCAAGGCAUAAAAAAGAACCUGAUGUGGACUUAACCCAUCCACUACAAGCUUUGGUAACAAGAAGUCCGAAGUUACUUGGGGCGCAAGUAAUCGACCUACCACUUGGUUUUAUUUCUGUUAUAUUAUGAUGACCGUAUAACGUUCGAGUACGGGAUGAAUUCUAAUAGGAAGCCUCAAGGCCUACACCUAAGGCUUCACAAAGGCACCUAUUUGGAUUCAUUCUGUUCAUCGGGCAAGAACAUUGAGUAUAGAAGGGGUUAUGAUGGGAAACCUCAAGGCCUAUUCAAGGCCCCACAAAGGCACCUAUUUUGAUCCAUUCUGCUCUUUGAGCUCAGGUAGUCAGAAGUAUAAUGGUUAUAAGAACCAUAUAACUCACAAAAGGAACCUUAUGUGCUUGAGUACUAAGUUAGUUACUUACGGGAAGCCUCAAGGCCUACACCUAAGGCCCUACAAAGGCACCUGUCAAUAACUAACAUAGUCUCUCGAACACAUAUAAUUAAAACUCAAACAUCCGUUCUACAUCUACCAUGCUGAAGAUGGUAGUGGCACGCCUGAGCAAUUCAAAGUUAAUCUUGAUCAUGAGCCUCAAGGCCUACACCUAAGGCCUCACAAAGGCACCUUUCAAAGUUAAUUAUGUCCUUCUUUUUUAGCCUUGCCCGACAGGCCUUGCCCGACAAAGCCCGCCAGUAAAGCAGAAGCCCGACAAAAAAGCAUCAACCGGCGCCAACCUCUCGGGGAGCUGUGUGCUCGUCGGCCAGGAAACAUUCCCCAUGGAAAUUCCCGCCACGAACACACAUACUAGAUGGGCAGCAAUUCAACCCGUCAAAGAACCAAAAGGUAUGCUAUCAUUGGAGGGCGAGCAAGUGCAAUCAGCACCCUUGCCUUUUUCUCCACAGAGAGCUUCCGGCGCCAUCGUCGCAGCAAGGUCUCAAUGGGACAGCCUCGACUAAGCGCCAUCACUCCUUCACUGCUAACACUAACGGUCCAUCAUCCCGGAAUUAGGGUCUAAAUAACUUUAAUGGCGGGGCUUCUUCGACGUGGGGCGUCGGAAAAGAAAUUGUUGUUCGGAUCUGCAUGCUCCAGGCUCGAGAUGAUGAAUUUGACCUGGGUUUUCACAAGCUGUCUCUCUAUGACAAUGAAUGGAGCUCUCUGAAUUCGACCUUGGUAAUCAACAGUCAUUCCUUCAUCCCGUAUAUCUUCAGCUUACAUCAAGUGCCAAAAUCGACUCGCUGAGGGACCUCGUCCUCUCAAACAAUCGGAUUCGAUGAUUUGAUACGAUGAGGGAAGCGAGAAAGAGAAAGAAGGUAUAAUUGGGUUUAAGAAAGUUUCAUUAAAUUUUACUGUUCAUCCGCCUUCUUUGAAAAAAAAGCUGGUUUUGAGACGCAGCAAAAUGCUGCUUUCAUUUUUUUGCUUAUUUUGACUGAAACUUUAAAAAGAAACACUUAUUUUUACAUUUAUCGAACACAUUUUACACCACAACUUUUUUCAUAGCUGCUUUUUUUAUAAUUUCAGCUGUGCCAAACUGGUACUUACUAGCUUUGCCUGCUUGGUUGUGCAUAGCUACUAAAGCAAUGCUAUUUUGCUAUUCUACAGCUUGAAAAUAUGUAAACAUGCUUGAGAAGGUAGAAACAUUAGGGCUUCAAGAAAUUGUUCAUGUUGACGAGUUAUUACGUACUCGUAACCUCAAAGAUGUGGUAUCAACUGUAAAAAAUCAAACAUUGUCUCAAACAAUUAUAGAAAAAUAUUUUAGUUCAUCUUAAACUUUUAUUUGUGGCAUUGCAUAUUUUUAUACUUAUUGAAAAUUAUUAUGAUAUGGAGGCGAGUUUCCUUAAUACAAGACUUAUAAAAAUUAUAACAUAUUACAAUCCAGAGUUUAUUAAUAUACAUAAUUGGCCCCAAGUUGAGACUAAAUUUUUUUUUUAGUAUAAGAAGGUUAUUUCUAUAUAGAGGAUUAUUAUAAGGAAACCUUUAAGGGAUGGGAUCUUCAUUUUUUUUAUAAAAAUUGGGAUUAGUUGUGGGUUCCACAUCACAUCGAACUUUAACGAUCCGUACUGUCUAUUUUUCAAAUUGCACCUCAUAGAUCAUUUUUACAAAAUAUUAGCCAAAUCGAAAAUGUUUAAGACAUCUAAUUGGGUUCAAAGAAAUUAACAAAUACUUUGUUAUAUAAAGAACAAUGAAAUUUUAUCUUGCUAAUUAAAUAGGCAAAUAGUUUCGAAUUCAAUUGAAUUUUUGCAAGAAUGAUCUAUAAAUCAAGACUUACAAAAUAGACGUUCGGAUCGUUAAAGUUCGAUGUGAAGUGGGCCCCACACCUAAUCCCUAUUUUUUUUUUAAAUGAAAAUCCCUUUACAUAAAUAGUUUGAUUAUUAUAAAAAGGUUUUACUAUAUAUUUUUAAUUAAGUUGUCCUGAUUCAAUUUUUUUUUGUUUUUCUCUUCUAUUAACAUUACUAAUACUUUAAAGGUAUUUUGACCAAUUCUUGUCGAGUUUUUGUUACUAUUUUUUUUUUCAUCGCAAUUUUGAACUGAGAUUUGGAGUUUGGCAUGCAAGUAAAAGCGUGUGCAAGGCCUUUGAUGUUUGAACGUUGACUAUUUUAAUUGAAGUUUUAGUCGUAGCUAUAGUAUUAGUAUCGGUGUGUGCUAACCUUUCACACGACAUGAAUAGUUUAUCACACACACACACACACAAUUGAACCAUAUUGUGAUGACUCAAGUCUUAUUUGACCUCAAAUGUGUCCAACCGUGUUUGUUUGAUUAACUAAAACAUCUCAAAACUAAUUGAGUCCUCUCUAAUUCACUAGCCAGACCUAAGUAUUGUUUUUUCUCUAAGUUUUAUAGGACAAAAUUGAAUAAGAAUAAGUCUUAAUGUCUAGAAAUGACUGUCUUUUUUAUAAAAAAAAAAAUGAUCGCCUAUAAAAUUUGAACUUGUAUCUUCACCAAAAAAAUGAAAAAUCAGGUUCCGUUAAUCCAAAACGAUAAUGAGCAAACAAAGUGUAUUAAAAUAUUAUUGGAGGAAAAUUAAGAGAAGGUGUUGUAAUCAGUACCACAUGCAAGAAAAUUUUGGUAGAAAUUAGUUAAUUCGGCCUCAAAAGAAACGUUGAAAUAGGAAUUGAGGAAUCAUUGCUGACAACUUUUUAUCAUGCAUUAGUUUCAAAAUCUUCAAUAGUUUGAAUCACCGUCCAGAGAAAGAGAGAGAGAGAUAUUAAGAUGUUUUAUAUUGCAUUUUGUGUAGCAGAUACAACAUCACCAAUCUGUUACAAUUACAUGGGUUACAAUUUUCAUUAGUUUUCCUUCUUUGAAGUUAUAAUAGUCUCAUGGGUUACAAAUACAACCAAAACUUUUUAGCCAAUUGACCAACAAAAAUAAUGAAAAAAAAAAGGGUUAUUAUACAUGACUUGUACUGCAGGGAUACUAACCGCAGGGAUACUAAACUAGCUAAACAAUAUACACAUUUUGAACUUUUUAACAUCUGUUGCUCCCGUUUCUGAAUCUCAAUAGCACCGGCCGGAACGUUAAUUCUCGGUAUUAAUAGAGUGAAGAAUGCAUGGCUAGGAAGGCUUCAUGCAGAGUGGUAAGCUACAUUCAUCUCAUUCAGGUGCAAAUACCCGAGCUGCGGCCGGGGAUGUGGGUGUAGGGAAUAGGGCCGGUUUUGGUGGUGGGUGGGUGGAUGGGUGGGGGGGGGGGGGGGGGGGUUGGGGCGCGACCCCUCUGGAGGCACUGAAACACAAGUCAACGCCAUGGUUCUUAGCCCAUUGCUCUGCCUUCAAUUGCCUCUUUUCUCCAACUUGCAGACAAGAAAACAGAACAACAACAACAAAAAGAGUUGAGAAUAAAGUCCUCCUGUAACAGAACCUCAUCUUUGAUACUCAAAUGGAACUUUAGGGUUCGAGGGACGGAGCUAGAAAUUUCUUCUAGUGGGGGCAACCCGAAAAUCAACUAAGGAAACCUUAUUAUAGUAUGGCUUAUACCCAAUAUGAUAAGUGAUAAGAAAAAUAUUAAUACAUGAUUACGUAAGAGAGAGGUUUUUCAAUCUGAAUGACAGAACAAGAGCACUUUUACUCAUAUAAUAUUUGAUAUGGAGUAUAUGCAGUAUGAAGGUAUGUUAGAUAUUAGUUACAUAUAUUUUCUUCAAAGAUAACGCGUGUAUAUUAUAUAAUUGUAGUCUGCAACUUAAUAAACGAAUCACUUGAGUAGGAGCAUAUGCCUCCGGUGAGCCUUCAUUGGCUCCUUCCACAUGUGGUAACGUUUUACAGACCCAGUUUCGGGAAAAUUGCUUUGGAAAGUGAAAAUGAGUUUUCACAGUAGUUUGUAAUAAGGAAAUGGAAUCUGAGAUGAAGUGUGGUGGAGGUGAGACCUGUUAUCUACGACUCUAUAAAUUUCAAAUUGCUCAUGCCCUUGACUAGUACAUAAGCUAUAAUGUUAAUUCGGAGCUUGAAAUUGACUUGGGCCAAUGGAACAAGGUUCAACCAUGGCAUGGCGGUCCAUAUGGAAUGAAUCAAUACACACUAACUUGAACGCCAAACAAUGACACAUUGUAGUUUGGGUGCAAAGCAAUAGUUCAAAUUUUAAUAGUCGCCUAUGAGAAAGACAUGAUGAGCUUAGGUGGGGGAAUACACCUUACAAGAACACGAUGAUUGUUAUACUUAGACAGGGAUGUAUCAUAUAGCCGCCGUGACAUAUGCAAGAAUCCGCCUUGAAUUACAAGGCAUAUAGAAGAAGAAUUAAAAAGUAGACUUUUUGGUGGUUGAUGCAAGCCCUGAGGAAAGCAUAACGCAGAGAGUCAAAUUCAAACAAUAUUUUUAACACAGUAGGGGAAUAGAAGUCACUCCUCAGCUGGUUUUAACACGACUGAACAAAUUUCCUUUUUCUUGAUUUUGAUUGAGUCGUUUACGAGUCUUGACUGGCAGAGAAGCCAUGACCAAAGGUUCCCAGCAUCCCCAAAAAAAGGGGUACAUAUUUAUCAGUCAAACUCAAUACCCUUUAAAUUAUGGAGUUGGAAUAGCAAAUCGUAUGACGAGAAAAAAUUGGGUGUAACCAGGAUAUAUCCACAUCACCGUGUAGCACUCAUCACGUGGCCAAGUCACGUGUAGGAAUCUCCCCUUACUUGAGGGCUGGCUCUGGCCACUUCAUCUAAACAUGCAUGCAUAAACUGUAAAACAGUAACUCAGAAGCCUUCCAAGGAAAGCGACAUAGAGAGAUAAAUUCAUAGCAUCCAUUUUGGUUCUUCCGAACAUGUUCAAAAUUACAAAGAGCUCUUUUUCAUACAUAAACUAAACAACUCGUACAAUAAUAUCAAUCUGAAGUUAUAUAACAAAUCAUCACGAGGUGAAGACACUCAUCAGUUACUAGACAACAAUAAAAACUCACGUUUAUCAGGCAAAUACAUAAAGAUACAGGUAAUAACUUACGAAACAACUUUACAGUCAGAUCAUUUUGAAAGAGAGGCCACCAGCUUCUCCUUUAAUUGUUCGGCAUCACCGCUUUGAGUUUGAAUGGAGAAUGUAUGAAUAACCUUAUCAUUGUCUGUUAUGGAAACGUUAGACUCUUGAGCUACAAUUUUAUGUUCCCCAAGUGUUCUGAAGACUUCAGAAACCGGGUGAGAAUCCAAUGGGCAGUUCAUCCUCACAACUGCAUCCUCGAGGCGUUCCUGAAAAUCAAUCUCUGGAACCGGCAACUGCUUUCCCUUGUUGUUUACCAUCUGCUUUUCAGUUUCCAUGAGUCUGAUCUUCAUCUGGAGAUCGGUGAUAUAGGUAAUGGCAUCACCAAGAAGAGAGGCUUUAUCCAUCUUCGAUAUGUUAGGAACAACAGCUCUUAGUGCAUAGAACCUCUGGUUAAGCUUCUCGCGCCUCUGCCGUUCUGCUUCCACAUGAUUCAAUGGUUCUUCUCUCCCAUUGGCAGGCUUUCUCCCUCUCUUUCUGGGUUUCCGCUCAUCAAUUUGUGCAGAGGACUCAUCCUUGAGCAGCUCUGAACUUGAGACUCUUGUCUGAACAUUGAAACCGUCAACCAUCAUUUGGUUCAUUUGCGGAAACAGUUUUACUUCACCAUCCUCACUUCGACAUCCAUUUGAAGUGCCUACUGAUUGUAAUUCAAACGAUUCUGGAGGAAAUGCAAAAUCUUCUUCUAUUUUUGGAGUAAAGGAAAUGUUCACUGAUUGUGAUUUUGGACCCCCGAGACUUAGUUCACGUCCAAAUAUCAUUGGAAAUGCCUUUGCCUGAAUAGGAAUAGAUUCCCCAAAUGCACUUCUGACCGUAUCCACAUAACUUUGUUCUUCCGGAGUUGAUUUGACCGAACCGAGUUCCACAACUCCUGAUUUCAUUGGUACAAACACCACUGUCUGAAACCCAGCCAAUCUUGCUAAAAAUGACCUCGACUGGUAAUGAUGUAAACAACUACCGGCAUCCGAAACCCAUAUCAAUUUUCCAGACUUGUACGACUCUCCUGGACCACAGUGUGAGAUCGAAUCAAGUUGAAAUGCAUAAAACAUUGAACUGAGAUGAAACAUCUCCAUAUCUGACACCCCAUCCAACCUCCUUGCAUAAUUAUCCCCAUUCAAACCGCCAAAACACGCGUGGAGCUUCUCAAGCACCCACUUCUUCACCUCUUUUUUUUUCUGCAUUGCCUCCGAACUACUAUCCCGAUUAGAAUUCACGUCCCCAGCUCCACCGCCCUUGGUGUCUCUGCAAUGCCCAUCACCCCAAAUCAAGGCAGGUCCACCAGAUUUCGAGCUAACAGCCUGCCAGAAAAUGGCAUAAUUCCAAUUCGACCCAUUGACAAGCUGGCACAGCCCCUGCUGCACGCCCAAUUGACCCGGUGGCCUAAUCAAUUCUGACAAAGCAUUUUCGGAAGCCAGUG
rnacentral:lncRNA from 1 species